rnacentral:lncRNA from 1 species
AACCAUCCUCUUACCAGGCUUCCUGUUCACUCCAACCUUGGUAUCUUUCUUUGGCUCCACAGCAAGCUUGUUGGCCUGCAUGUUUUGGUAUCCAUUAGUCUCUGAAACUCUUCUUGCCCUUCGACUUUGCAAUCCCAUGGCCGUGCAUCCAAAGAAAGAAAAAAAAAUUAGUAUUCUGUUAACUUUUUAUAUCUAGAUGGGACAUGACAUUAUGAAAACAUUAGGACGAGGUAAUAAACGUUGAUUUCUACUAGAGGGAAAGUGACAAUCUAGGUAAAUAAUUAAAAUUAUGUAUUCUCACUUUUCAUUUCUUUUAUUUUUUUUUUCCAGCUGAAAAUUGCUUUGAGGUUAAACAUCAAGUGAUUUUAAAAUGAAACUUCCAUUUUUUAUUAUAGCCUUUUUUUCUUUUUUGAAAUUCUAUCAAUAUAUAGAACUUAAACAAGCUAAUAACAAUCCCCCAACUGGUUUAGGAUACAGAGCAAAUGUACCAUAAACGUUUACAAAUAAAAUUAUAGUAAAAUGCACUUGCUAGUUACUAGUGGCUUCAGCUUUCAGUUAACUGCAGUGAAUGAAGUGGGGGCAUUGGGGGACUAGGAACUUCCAGAUAACCUUCUAACAUUUUCACGAUCAUCUUCGUUGUAGGCCUUUUUAGUGGAUCUUCUUGAACGCACCACAGUGCUGUCAUCAACCAUUUACACACCCUUGAUUUGUCAGCCAUAGCUGCUUUAUCAUUGUCAACCAAAACAUCUAGUCUUCCUUCAACAUAGCAGUCAUAAGCCCAAUCUGUUAGUAUUGCACUUCUUUCUUCCUCCAGUUCCAUCUCCACACUUCUCCUACAGCAAAUGAUUUCCAAUAACACAACACCAAAACUGUAAACAUCCACUUUGGCCGAGACAGGUACAUUCUUGAACCAUUCUGGAGCCACAUAUCCUCGAGUUCCUCUGAUCACGGUGCGUGUUCGAGACUGAUCAGAGAGUAACAGCUUGGAUAAUCCGAAAUCAGAAAUUUUUGCAGUGAAAUCUUGGUCUAGAAGUAUGUUUUGAGGCUUUAUGUCACAGUGGAUGAUGGGAACAUUGCACUCUUCGUGCAAGUACAGAAGCCCUCUUGCAAUCUCCAGGGAAAUCCUGACUCUUAGACUCCAGUCAGGUCUUGGACUUGCAAAAAGUAGGUUAGCCAAGGUGCCAAUCCCCAUAAAUUCAUAUACUAAAAGCCGGUUAAGACCUUCGUCACAGAAUCCAAGUAGCUGGACAAGAUUCUUGUGAUGUGUUCUGCCGAUUGCACUCACUUCAGUUUUGAAUUCCCUUUCCCUUUCUUGUGCCAACUUGUCCAAUUUCUUGACUGCUACAACAUUUCCUGAAGCGGAUUUGAGGACACCUUUGUAAACUAUGCCAAAAGAACCCCUCCCUAGUUCGUCCUCGAACCCAUUUGUUGCUUCAUUGAGUUCAGCGAGCGAAAAGAAACGCAAAUUUGUUUCGGAAAUACUUGAACGUUGGACCUUGUUUCCAUCUUUUCUCUUGCGCCACACAAAGACGAGAAGAGAUAUUGCCAGUAGCAAAAGUCCAUUGAAGAAUACAGAGCUACCUAAUAGAAGUGCUCCUAGUAAGAUUGGUAUUCCUUUCUUGCCACAAGUAUUGCCAUCAAAAUCAACAGGAAAACCUCCUUUCCUUUCUUUGAUGAGAGCUUUUGUAAAUCCUGUUCCUGCAUUGUCAUAGGCCCCAAGGGAAAGGGGGAAUCUCUUCUUCCAACAUUGUCUAGCAUUAUUAUAUAUGGCAACAGCACACAAGCAAUCAUGCAAGCAAGAUGUUUCACACUCUGUUUGAUCAUAAGGUUCCAACCUUUCAUAAUCUCCAAAAGGCCAAUUUACAUUAGCGAGUUCCCUCAUUUCAUACAACUCUUCUGCAUUUCUAGAUCCAUCAUCUGGUCCACAGCCUUGCGAGUAAUUUGGCUUGCAACCACUAAAUCUGUUACUUGGAUCCACAAAUAAAUACCCUGGAGGGCAUUCACAAAAAGGUCUCCCAUUUUGAAGUAAGCAGUAGCUAUUGAAGCCACAGGCACCACUACCGAACUCAUCAGAUAUAGCAGUGCAAAUGUUGUUAGGAAGACGACGUGUAGUAAACCAGCUUUGGUUAGGAGCAGAAUUCUUUGGAUAAGCAUAUUCUGUGAAUACUCCAUCAAAAUCCAAUGUUGCUCGAAAAUAGUGGUCCGCAAUAGGAGAUAGUCUAUUCCAUUGUGGCAAUUGAACAAUUUGACCAUUAUUUUUUUUUAUGUAUAUGUCAGCUGACUCAUUAAAAACCAGCUGAUGACCAGACUCAGAAGAAUUAGCGCUGUAAGUAUCACUGGUAUAAUAACUUUUGUAUUGGAAUGGGGUUGGCCAGGCCACAGGAAUGAGCUGAAGACUUCCACUUGAAAAAUGGAGCUCAAAUCUGCCUUUGGAGAAGUUGGUUUCUGUAAGCCUGGAAACCAACACGCUACCCAAAUCUAAUAUUUGGGUAGGCAAGAUGGUGUCUGUUGGACUUUUAAAACUCUGCCAAGCGUAAUCGGAAUUGUUACCAGAGGCUAUAAGCACAAAAUUACCUGUAUCAAGCAUGGCAGCAUCUGAUACAAUUUUGUUGGGCUUUUCAUCCCAUAUUGCUUGGCCUCCAGGAUCUUUAAGCUGAAGGCCGGUGGCAGUAAGUUCAAGUGUUGAUCCUCUGGGAGCUAGGACUGGGUGGUUGUCUUCAUUGGCGUGCCAAAUGAUGGUUCUUUCAGGUAUUUUGUUGAACCAAAGGGCAAGCAAGAAAAGAUCCGAACUGUUGUUUAGUUGGCGAAAUCCGAAAGCAAAAUCCCUUGAAGGUGAAAUCCAUGAAGAGUUGUUGCUGGUGCUUGAUAGAGUUGAACCCAAAGGUAUGUUGGCAGCGGAUAAAAAUGGUAGCAGUGGAAGAGAAAGCAAGAUAAGACGAGAGAGAGCCAAAGAAUCCAUGGCAGGUCGUUAUUGCAAUUGCAAAGAAGGGUUGCAUUUACUAUAAGAAGAUGGUGCUUUGUUAUUAGUCAAUUACACGCACUUUAAGCCACUAAGCUUUAGCCGAAUUCAUGCCACACAAUUGUAAAGUCAUGGGUUCGAAUCCUGUUUAAUUUUCUUCUCAAUUUCAGUGAAAACAAUCUUUUCUUUUUUUAAAUUUAAGUGAAGUAAAUGCUUCUCGAAUAUUAGAGAAGAUAAAAAUUUAGAUAGUUUUCAUAAGAAUUGAUAUAAACUAACCUUAUAAAUAAUUUGAUUUAUAAAUAUAAGUUGUAAUCUCAUAUAAUAUGAGUUGUACUCUUGAGUAAUAAUUUCAUAUAAUAAAAAAAAAGUAAUGAUAUAGCCACAAACUCUUGUACAAAUUUAUUUUGUACAAACUGAUGUAGCAUGAUAAGAUUGGUUGAAUUAAAUAUCACUUAGCCCACAUGAUUUGUUUUAAUUAUUUUAUAUUUUUAUUCAGUUAAUGAAUUAAUGACACAUCAAUUUAUACAAAAUACGUUUAUACAAGAGUUUGUAACUGUAUCAUCACUCUAAAAAAAAUUACAUACACUUUGUUUGAUAUUUACAAUUGAAGAAUGUGGUUCACUUGAGUCACUUCGUGGAACAGUUAAUUCGUGAAACAACGUAAUCAUGUUUGUUUCGGGGAAUUGCUCAUUAUACGUACACGAAUGAAACACGUAAAAUUUUUCAUUUCAUAGUCUUCUUGCAGGAAAUUUGAUGGAACUAUCAAAGUCAAUGGUCAUGAAUGGCUGCCCCCUCUCUACAUGAUGGCUAAAUCAAUUAGUGUAGAUAUCACAGCAUUAAUUCAGUUCGAUUCCAAAUCCCCAAUUAGUUCUAAAUUAAUUUUUAGAUUGUUUUUGAGAGAUCUAAAAGAGAUUUAAAAAUUUUAAAAGUUAAUUUUAGUAUUUUAUAAUAUGUUUUUGAAAUUACCUUUGAUAAGAUCACCUCAUCCUAUAGUAAAUUUGGAGAAGUAGUUCUAUAUAUUAUAAAAAUUUAAAAUUAUUCUUAUUAAUUAAAAAAUAAAAUUAUUAAUUUUAAAGAGAUUAUUAUUAUUAUAAACUGAGGUAAAAAAAUAAAUUACUAAUAUAAACUAUUUACUUUAAUUUUUAAUUAUUAUAGAUUAACAAUACAAAAUAUUUUUUAUAUAUAUUUAAAAAUAUAUAAAUAAAUUUUAUUCAACAUAAUGUCUAGUUUAUUUAUUUAUAUUCUCACAAUAAUUUAACUAUAAGAUUUAUUAAAAUACUUUUAAAAUCCACAAUACUUUUAAAAAUAAAUUUUAUCAAAUAUUUAAUUAAUCUCUUAAUAAUAGAUUAUUUUUACAGCACUAUUAAAAAUAAUUAUUUCAAAAGUUACAAUAUCACCAGUUUAAAAAAGAGUCGGACUAUUAACACUCCUCCAAAAUCCUAUUCAAACCCCUUUUUCAAUUAUAUUCCAUUUAAUGCCAGAAAUACCCUUUUUUUCUAAAUGAACACUCUUUUCAUUUAUGAAUUUUUCAGUUUAUAAUAUUUUUCUUACUCUUUAGUCUUAAUAUUUGUAUUCCUCUCUUCAAACUUUCUCUAUUAAUUAAUUUUUAAAGAAAAAAUCUAUAAAAAAAAGAGAAAACAUUAUAAUUAGAAAAUAAUGAAACUUUAUGUGUCUAAUACAAUUUUAUUCCACCUAUAAAAUUUUCAUUUAGCAAUUAAUUUGAGAAUUCUUAAAAAAAUUAUUUGCAAUUGGAUAAAAUUUUAUUUAGCUUGUUUUUCCACUGUAUUGUAUCUUAAUUAAGUUGUUAUGUUUAUUACAAGAAUUUUGUUUUGACUUAGAGGAUUACUUCUUAAAUUCAUAUUAUUUUAAUGAUAAUAAAAGAUAUUUAUAUUGUGCAAGCAAAAUAAAAGAAGAGAAAAAGAAAAUAUAAAUGGCUUAAUUCUAUUUAUAGUUGUCCUUAAAUAUAAUUAUAAUAUAACAUGGGUUUUAUAAAUUUAAUGAAGGGGUGCCAAUAGUCCAACUCUUUAAAAAAAAAAAAAUCACAAUAUCACCAAACUGCUCCAAAAGUCUUCGUACACAUCCCGACGGCUUUUUUUGGGGGGAAAAAAUAAUUGGGCAUAUGCGGGUCCCACAUGCACAAAUCAAAAAAGAAAGUUGGCCUUUUGGAUUCACGGCCUCUUGAUUUUUCAGUCGGAAACCAGAUCGAUUGCCAACCAAGAUUCAUUUACAUGUUUAUAGAAUCAGAUUAUUAUUAUUAUUCAGACCCAAAAAAAAAAAAUUUAUUAUUAUUAUUAUUAUUAUUUUGGCAAUAAACUUUUCUUCAGAGCCCACCCCCAGGAAAAAAAAAAAAAGUUAGCUUUGAUGCAUAUUCAAUACGCAUCCUGAUAAUGUUUUAGAUGCAACUACAAUCUUACUAGUUUAAAGUUGUCUAGAUGAAGCACCUUGAACAAUGCUAUAUUCAGAGCAGGAUUUCAGAGGAAUAAACGAUUGAGCAUCGAUGACACAGCUCCUCCCUGAAAAUGUUAAGUUUUGUGUGCAGCUUUUGUUACUUUCUUUGAUUCUUUCGCAAUAGCAUAAGUGGCCAGCAGCCAAGAAACUCCUUCAUCAGAUGCUCUAAUGACUAACAUCAUCAUUUUACAAAACCGAAAUCACCCGGAUGGCUUAUGAACUUAGGGUGCGUUUGGGAUUGAGGUUGCACUAAAAUAUUUGGUAAACACUAACUGCUGUAGCUUAGAAGUUAUGUUAAUAUAUUUUUUCACUUGUAUCAUGAAAAAUCUUUUAUAUCUUUAAUAAUUUUAUUAAAAUUAUUAUUUAAAAUUUAUAUUUACUACAUAUUACUAAUUUUUAUUUCAUAAUUGUAGCUUUUUUUUUCUACAGCAACUACAGUUUAAAAGUUACAGUAUCUCAAUCUCAAGCACACCCUUAACCUACCUCUCGAAACCGGCCAUGCUGCCCAGCACCUUGACAGAAAGAAUAACUUCACAUCCAUCAAUUAAAACAAGCUUCUUAAUUUGGUAAUGGGUAAAUAUAAUACCAGAUACACAAGGCAGAGAAGUCGGCGACCUUCAUAAUUUCGCAAGCUUUGUCUCGAAAAGUUGUCCUUUCUUUAUUGAAACCGUAGACGACUAUCGUCUUUAUUCUUAUUAUUUAUAUGACGUGUCGCCUUAGUUCUCUCCUACAGACGUCCUGUCGUCAAAUCUAUGGACCGACAUCAUCAUCGUUACGACGAUUCGUCUGAUUGAUUUUAAAAUAGACGUCUUGUCGUCUAUCCCCUCUGUUCACCUAAUGUUAAAAUUUCAUCUAUUUAAAAUUUUUAUCAUUUGUACACUGUGUUUUUAUUUUAAUUAAUUAAUUACAAGGAAAAUUUUUAAUUACACAUUGUUUUAUCUUCGGCUGCCUCUCAAAGAAAAGUGUGCUUGUCAUCAAAGAUAAUGCAAAAUGUUAAGGAAGCUCACUGUACAAAGUAAAAGAAGGAGAAGCUAAAGCUGAGAAAGAUUAAAAAGUCUAUGAUGUCACAUGAUAGUAGGCAAAGUGACAGCUCAACUGCCAGCUCAGCAUAAAUUGUUGAAUUUGUUACAAUUCAUUAUGUACACUUAAGUACUGUUUAUUUUUUAGUCUGAAAUUUUAAGCCAAGAUGAGAUAAUGUUAUUGGAACAAUUUCGAUGGCUUUAUUCAUAAAACUUUUGUGUUGCAUAUAUUUGGAAAAGUGCUUCUGUCGACAAUGAAUGAAAAGCUAGGUCUACAAGAACGCAUGCAAGAGAAUCUUAUCAUAUCAUAAACGGAGUAAGAUAAUAACUUGGUGUCGGUUAAAAUUAAUAUAAAAACGAAAGCCAUAAGCACUUUGAAUUAGUGGAAAAUAGACAUUGGACCUAAAAGAUUUUGCUUGAGAAUCAAGGCAAGCACUCACUCGCAAAUCGCAAUGAUGUUUUCUUCCAAUAAAAUUCUUAUGAUAUCACCAAUUCAAUCGGAUUUCAAAAUUCUAAGCCAAAAUGUUUAUAAAACAAAAAAUAAAAAAUAAAAGGGCACUUCCACCAAUCAAAGUGAAAAUGCACUUAAUUAUUUUUUAUAUAUACAAUCAUAUAUAGGUGGCCUUGUGUUUAAUUAACUAUGGAUUAUCAAGCUUUCACGAUCAGUGUCAUCACAUCAUUAUUUAUGUAUUUUGUUCACCUCAAGUUCCAGGAAGGAUCUUACAAAUGAAAUCAAGAGAGAAUCUUGCUGACAAUCCCCUUCACACUUUUUUUCCUCCCUUUCAUUAAUUAGAGGAAAGGGUCCCUUUCGCAAUUCCAUUAACACUUUUAAUUUUCUUUUUAUAUAUAUAUCAAAUAUAAGGAAAGAAAACCUAUAAAUUUAGGUCUCUAACUCUUAUUAAAGUUACCAAAUCACUUUUACAGUAUUGGGUAUUGACUAUGAAUAUCAUACUAUGUAAUUAUACAAUAAUAUUAGAGAUGUAAUAUUUGAGUCAUAACUUAGAUCUCAAAUACUGUGCAUCACUUAUCUACUUGAUGAUGGGUCUUAAAGUUUGUAAAAUUAUAUAACUACCAUCUAAUAGAUGAAUGUCAUGUUAAUCGAGACUUAAACUGAAACUUGGAUGUUGGAAUGUCCCGCAUUACUUGUAACAAUAUUAUAGUGUACUUCAAUUAUUUCAAUAGAAAUUUACUAAUUAUCUGAUUAGAGACCUAUUUAAUACACAUUGACAACCUAUGUCCUUAUAGAUAUUUCAUAAAAAUUUGGGGAUCCAACUCUUAUUACCCUAAAAAGAUUUAAACAAUAAUUUUCAUUAUUUUAUUUUAUUUCUUUUUCAUGAAUUGACCAUUCCAUCAAUAAAAUCAUGGGCCAUAUAUGAGAAUUUGUUCUCCUUUUUUUAAUGGAUCAAAAAUUCAAGUGUUAAAAUUGACCAUCACCCAAUCUUUGUUUGAGUUUACUGUUUGAAGAUAGUAAACCCAAACAAAAAUCUUGUCAUGUUGUUACGACCAAUUCUAAAUUUUACAGCUUCAACUUCAUUAAAAUACAUUUACUGAGAAAUGGCCCUGAAAUUUAGUAUUGAAAAGUCAAUUCAUGGAAAGAAAAGAAAAAAAGAACAUAUAUAACAACGACGGGCUUUUCUAAUUAUUUUUUAUUAUGGCCCCACUAUGGACCUCUUCAAUUUAUAGAGUUUAUGCUAUAACAUACUUAAGUUUAUAAUUUAGUUAUUUGUAGCUCCAUCGAAUCAAAAUCUCAAUUGUACCAUUCAGCUCAAUGGUGGUUCAAAUUUGAUGGGGACCAUGAUGGUGAAAUUAUAAAUUUGAGUAGUCUAAAAUAUAAAAUUUGUAAAAUUGAGGAGACCAACGUUGGGGCCAUAAUGGAGAAACAAUAAAUGUUUUGUAUGCUAUAACCGAAAUAUGUAAAAUUAGGGAGCCAAGAGCCAACAUGCAACAUAGUACAUGUAAGUGAGUGAAAUUUCAACCACGUCCUGUAUCUCUCCCCUGCUUGUGCUAUUACUUCCGGGAUAGGUGGCCUAUUACUAUUGGCGAACUAUUCUUUUCAAGGGUAAGUGGGGAUACUGCUUUCAAACAGUAAUAUUAUUAUUAUUUAUUUCAAUUCCAACGCCUAUAAAGUCAAAUUAUUUUUUACUUUCUACUUCACACUAUUACCAAUAUUUAGAAUUCUACACCUACUAAAGAAAAAAUUGAAACCCACACCAUUCUUCAAACCUAAUUUUCUUGAAAUAUCUACAGAUAGCAGCCUACUCCAAAUAGUUGGGUAAAUGCUUCUUUCUCAGGUAGUGGAGGUGUGAAAAUAAAAGGGUUUUAUUAGUCGGAGAUUAAGACAAAAUGGAAGAAAAACUAAGAUAAUACUUUGGCUACAUAAUAAGAGUUGUUGAGAUAUAUAUUGAUUUGGACACAAAAUUUAGGUGAAGAAAAUUUGGAAAAUAAUUCACAAGCUAAACUUUUUGACUCAAAGUUUCACUUUUUUGCACUAAACUAUUAAUUCUUCAAAUAUUUUUUCAAAGUUUGAAUAUUCUAACCCUCUCAACAUUUUACACAAGAAGAAUUGAUUAUGAAUCUUAAAUUGAUAUCAUGCGGAGGAUUCUGAAGUUAUUUAGUAAAUCCAAUCAUGUUAGAUACCUAUUCAACAUAAGAAGUUGAAGAAGUUGAAGUUUGAAAUUAAUCUUCAUACUGUUAAGGUAGAAAAUUCAUGUGACUCAACAAGAGAAUGCGCAAAAGAGUUUCGUGAUUAAUGCAUUAUUCAUAAACUUUGUCAUUUACACCAGCUGAAGUUAUUUGAAUAAAGAAAGUUGAAUUUUUUUUUUAAUAUGAGUUUUUAUUCAAUAAAUAAGCAUCGCCAGAUACGUAUGACAAUUUUAUUCUCUUCUCAUAUAUAAGUUAGCAUACUUUUCUAAAUGCAAUAUUGUUAAACAUUUGAUAAUACAUAAGUUAACUAUAUAAUGUGUCAAUCGUUUAACAUAGUUCAAGUAGUUGCUUAUUUCUAAAAUACAAGUUUAUAUAUAAAUCUAAUAGAAACAAGUUAUAAUUAAAGGCCAAAGCUCAUUACAUGAAGCCCAUCCAAAAAUAAAUAAACAAACUCCAACAUUCAUAUGAGAUAAAUCAAAUACUCUACCCUAAGGUUAAGGAAAAGAAAUAUCAGCUAACUCAACAGCAGAAUUGCUGACUUCUAAAUUACAACUUAAAUAUUGAAAAUAUAUUAAUUCGUAUUACGUAUCUAAGCCCUAGCUAAGCUAUGUUUACAUGCAAGUGUGAACUGAAAAUUUUCCCAAAACCUUGAACCAUGAGAAAAAAGGCUUCGGCAAAAUGAUUACAUAUUUCUACUUUUCGGUGGGUGACUUUCUAGCAAACUUAUAUUUCUUUUAUCUACCAAUAUUAUAAAAUUCUUAUUGUUGAAGCUUGAGUUGAGUCUUCACUCAUGUCGUGCUUCUAUAUUGGGGAGGGUAUGGACCACGCCAAAUAUAUCCAAAACUGGGUAAAUAUUAUUUAGAAGACAAAAAGUUGCCUAAAUUCCACCGAUUUGGGGCCCUUUGCUUUGAAUUUCAUGCCUUAAUGUUGUUUCAAUACAUUUGAAAUUCUAGUUGCUUCCUUCCCUCCUUUUUUUUUUUUUUUUUUUUUUUACCAACCGAAAGAGAUUCAUUCUCUUUUCUACUCCAACGGUCGAAAGCAUGCCCUCAUGUGGGUUCACAAAUCUCACAUCCAAAGGUCAUCAUAUCACCAAAUAAAUUUUGUUGAAGAUCUCAGCCGUUGAGUUAAUUCCAAUGUUUUGACCAUAAAUGUUUGACCAUAACUAUACCUAAUUGAAUUGUCUUAAACGCGGGUUAUUCAAAUAUACUUUAUUCUUUUUUAAUAUAAUGAUUGCUUCACCUAAUUUACCUGCCUACAUCAUACUUCUUGGUUUCUCUAUAGGCAGCAAGCAAUGCAAUUGUUUUAAUAAAUUCCCCGAUUUACACCCUUUGAACUUGAUUGCGGAUGAACUGAUUAGAUGUUUACAUGUGGAUUUGAAAUUAUGAUAAAAAUUAAUUUAUAUUAUAUAUAUAUAUAUAUUAUGAUCCCAUGUGCAUUUUGGCUCCAAGAUUAAACAAAUGUGGCUUUUGGGUGCUUUUAUUUUUUUUAAUAUGCCUCUAUAAUAAAGUUCUUGGUGUUGCUGACUUUAGCAUAAACAAUUAAAUAAUUUGUUAAAUUAGCUCUCGACCAACAUUACAUUGUUAAAUUUAAUACGAGGAACAUGUUUCAUUUUUUAUAAAUGUUAUAUUUAUCACUUACACCCCUAUUAGAUUUUUAAUUUCUUAUUUUAUCUAUUAUGUUAAUAGAUAAUAGAAUUAAUUGUUAAGAUAAGAAAAAAAAUCAUUUAAGGCGUAAUUCUUUAAAAUUUAAUUUAAAAUCUGACGCAUGCCAUUGGAAUUCAAAAAAAAUUGAUAAUUACAUAGGAUUAAUUCUUUUCAUCUUCUCUUUAAUUGUGACACCAAACUAUUUAGAAAUGUUAUAAAAUCAUCUAAGAAGGGGUAAAAUACAAAUGAAUAAAAAAACUAUUAACAUUCUAUGUUACCUCUUAACAGAAUGAAUGAAGUAAUUAAAAUCUAAUACAUAUAUAAGCUUUAAAUAUAAAAAUCUAUUAAAAAUAAAAUAUGCAUUCUCCCUUUAAUAUAAAUCUACGCCAUAAAUUUUAUAUGAAAAGAGUUUAGAUCUUCUAUCUAAUUAUGUACUGAAUUUAACAUUAUAUUUUUCAUGGAUACCAAGAGACUUUAGCGGUUAAUUGACAAAAUUUUCCAACUUGAAAAAUGAGUUGUUGUAUAUUUUUUUUCGUGGAUUGUGGAGCUUGAAUCCAUGUUGUUGGAGAACAUUUGAUUGACUAAGUGCUAGUAGACCCCAUAUAUAAUUGACUGAAAAACAAUAAUAAUUGGUCCCAUUUUGUCAAAGAUAUUGGCAUUAAGGAGCUGAUUAUGCGUAGUUAGUUAUGCACCCACAUUAGCUUUUCCAUCAUAUGCUCUUUAAAAUAAAAUUAAUUAUGGUUAUAUAUCUUGAUUCUUUCAUUUCUCUUUUCUUCCUUACCUUGUUUACUUUUAAUGUUGAAAAUGUGGAUCAUCAGUGAAGCAUGAGAAUUGAGAAUGCAUGCCCCAAAAUAAAAGUACUUUAUAAUCAAAUACAUAAAGCACAGCAUGAGCCAUGAUUAAUUGGUUAUCAAAAACCGGAGAAACAAAAAGUUGAAACUAAGAAAAGCAUAAUAAACGGAGCGUUUGAUGCAUGGUUCAUUUUCUUGCUAUAAAGUCUUAAAACUAAAUAAAUAAAUGCGAAAAUGAGGGUUAUCCCCUAUUAUUUGAAGAAAUUGAACAAAAUACCCUCUUGUUUUAAAAUAAGUUCAAGCCCCCAUGUAGUUAUAAUGAUAUUGGUUUUAUAUAUUAUGUUAUUACUCUACCCCUAGUCUUAAUGUUAGUCAUAAAAUUUAAAUUUUUUGAUGAUUUUUUUAAAACAAAAUAACUUAUAUACCCUUAAUGAGUAAAUUAAUUUAAUAAUAAAUUUUGUAAGUUAUAGAGAAAAAUUACUAGUAGGAAAAAUUUCAUAGAUAUCCUUAAUAGUUGUAUAAACUGGCUUUCCAAAAUAUAUGCUAAGUGUAUGAAAUCUAAGAUUCUAAAUAUACUUCUCAAAACAUAAAAAAGAAAACAAUUGAAGAACAUAUUCAAAUACAUAUACAAAUAAAGGCUGAAUAAAUAAUUAGACUAAACACAAUAAACUCAUCAACAAUUCACUGCAAAUGAAUAAUAUACAAUAAAUUAAAGAGAGAAAACAAAUCAUUAUAUGAAUUAUGAAAGGGGUAUAUCAACCACGGAAAAAAUAAUAAAUCACACACCUUUAUUACUGUUUGAUAAGAAAUAAUUAAUUCAGAUUGCUCAAUUAGCAUAAGCAAGUAAGCACGCAACAAUAUCAAUGGUGGUAAACAACAAAGGUGUUUGGUAUGAUCCAAUCUAUGCUUUUCCAACGAAACAACUAGUUGUGUGCCAUAUUAAGAAACAUAUAAAAUACAUUAAAUUUGUGAUAUUCAUUUAGAUGAAUACUUUAUACAAUUACUAGGGGUAUUUAUGAUAUUUUUCCCUACUUGUGAUUUUUCACCGUACUUUGCAAUUUGUUAUUAAAUUAAUUUAAUCAUUAAUGGUAUAUAAGGCAUUUUGCUAAAAAAAAUAUUCUCAAAAUAUUUAAAUUUUAUGGUUAACAUUAAAACUAGGGGCAGAAUAGUACAAAUAUAAGAUUAACAUUAUAACUGCAAAGAGAUGUGGAUCUAUUUUAAAACAUGAAGUGCAUUUUGCUUAAUUUCUUUAAACAAUUGGGGGUAAUCCUCAUUUCCUAAUAAAUAAAUAGAUAAAAUGAAAUAACAUGAUUUUACUAGGAGAUAUAUAUCAAACUAAAAUUAGUUUAAUUAUUUGUAGAAAUAAACAUGUAUCAUCUCGUAGCCAAAUACUCACACAAAAUAUUGUUGUAUGAAACAAAAUAAUUCAGACUAAAAAGUUAGAUUAUCAUUAGUAGUGGCAGACCCCGACACUCAAAUUAAGGGGACUAAUUCAAAAAUUUUAAAUUAUAUUUCGGGUACUUAAUUCUUUUUACUGUUUACUUAAAUACAUUUAAAGUCUCAACAGCUCAAAUUCUAUUAUUUGUUUUAAAUUUUUGUAAAAAAAGUAAUAAAUUAUUCAUUUUAAAUGUUGAGCUCAUUGUGGCCAUAUUUAUGAAAAUAUCCUUUUAGUAAGUAAUCUCCAACAAAAUAUCUUAAAAAUAAAAUUAUAUGGCUAUUAGGAUUUGAAGUAAGUCACUAAAACCACUAAAUAAUAAUAUUAUUGGUAAAUUACAAAUAUUUUAUCCUUUUUUUUUUAAUUUAACUCUUAAGGGGCUUUGACCACAUUUAAAACAAAAAAUAAUAGUCCAUAGGGGAUUGAAGCCUCUCUUGAGCCUUAAGUUUUAUUUACUUUUAUAUAAUAAUAUGGUUUUUAUUUUAUUUUCAAGUAUGUUCCUAAUUCAAUUAUUAUUUUUUUUUAUCAAUUAGAGUUAGUGACUUAUUUUUAAAAUGAUUAAAUUAUAUAUUUAUUGAAUAAAUUGAAAUUACUAGGGCUAAAAUAUUGUUAUUGCUUCAACUUAUUAUAACAUUAUCACUAGUAUUAGAAAGUUAAAAAGAAAAAAAAAAUAACACAUGGUAGCAAUUAAAAUUUUCACAAUAUCGUGGUUAAAUUUUUUUAUAAUUAUAAUUGCUCAUUUUCUUUCCAUUAUAUCAAAAAUUAAAAAGGAUUUCAAAAAUAGAUUUUUAUGGUACAAUUUUAAUAAUUUAUGGAGAAAAGCAUACCUAUACUCUCAAGGUUUCAGAAAAUACUUCCAAAGAUUGGAAAAAUAGUCAUGUAGAUCCCCCAAGUUUUCAGUAAGAGACACUAAGAUUCUCUUAAACUAUAAUACCCCUUGUAUAUAGUAACUAAAAAAUUUGAAUUAAGUACAAAUAUAAUUUAAAUAGUUUAAUUAGUCUAGUAGACUAAUAAUAUUAUUUAAUAUAUAAAGUAAUUUUUAAAAUAUAAAAUAUUAUAUUUGUUUUCAUAAUAUAUUUGUAUUUAUUAUAAAAAAUUUAAAUAAAAGUUUGGUUUAAAUAGAUUUUACUAUUAAUGAAAUAUAUCUCAUGUUUUAAUAAUAUAAAAAUUGUUUUAUACAAUAUUACAAAUAAUUUUAAAUUUUAAUAUAUUUAUUUAAAUAUCAGGUUUUUAUUUAAUACAAAAUUUAGUUUAAUAUAAUAUAAGAAUGUAAAGUACAAAAAUAUUUAAAUUAUUUUAAAAUGUACAUAUUGUUAUAUUUAUUUUAAUAUUAUAUUUAUAUUUAUUAUAAAACAUUAAAAUUAAGCUUUUGAGUUAAUAGAGGCGAAUCAUAUUAUAAUUAAAAGGAGGUCUCAGUAUCCCUUAUAAAAAAUUUGAAAGUCUACCUUAUUAUUUUUUUAUACCUUAAGGACAUAAGCAUCUUUUUACCUAAUUUAUAUUAUAAAUUUGUUUGUUGUAUCAUUGUCAAUAUAUAUAUCCCCAUAUCUUACAAUUAAUGUAAGAUACACCUAGGGAUGGCAAUUGUACCCGCAAACCCGCAAACUCGCCCAAACCCACCCGCCAAAACCCGCCCGUUGCGGGUAAUUUUACCCAUUGCGGGCGGGUUUAGUAUUAUAAAUUAAAACCCGCAUAUGGAUGCGGGUGGGUUUGGUAGUAACCUUAUAUCCGGUGGAUACCCGCAUGGAUAUCCACCAAACCCGCAAUAUUUUUUCCAAAUAUUUUUAAUUUAAUUUUAAUCUAAAAAUGUAUAAAGAAAAUAAUAUCAUUAAUCAAAUUACCAAAUAGCCAAAGGUUCAAAGUUGUGUAUGUGUAUAUGUGGCCCAUCUCCUAUUCUAAAGUCAUAAACUAAAGAAAACUAAAGGUAUUUACCUUCGAAUUAGUAUUUGAAAAUAUUAAUCUUAAUUAUUAUUAUAGGCAUUGUGUUGGAUGGGUGCUUAUGGUGGUGAAUGAAAUGAAUAUCUCUCUUGGAGCUUGUUUUAAAUGAUAAUAUGAAAUGUAAUUAUUAUUUUUAGGUACUAGUUUGUGUUUUUUAAAUAGAUUUGUGUAAUUUAUACUUAAAUUUGAGAAUUUGUGUUGAAUUGAUGUGGAAAUUUUAAUUUUUCAUUUACAUUGUUUAAAUAUAAAAUUGAGUAUGUUAUAUGGAAUUUGAGGUUAUUAUUAUAAAUUUAUAUAUUAAACAUUUGUGAUUUCAAAUACGGAAACCCGCAAAAAAUCCGCCGGAUACCAUUGCGGGUUUGGUAAUUGUUAAAACCCGCUGCGGGUGGGUUUUUUUAAAAAAAUUAAAACCCGCUGCGGGUUGCGGGUGGGUUUGGUAAUUUAAAUUUUGUGCGGGUUUGGAUUUGGUAAUGGCAAACCCGUUGCGGGCGGUGCCCAUUGCCAUCCCUAGAUACACCCCUCACAUAAACAGUAUAUGAACCCCACAUAUACACUGUUUAUAUGAGGGGAUGUAUCUUACUUUAGUUGUAAGAUAGGGAUUGACAUAUGGAAAAUGAUGUUUGCCCCGGGUCAAACCCCGGGUCAAACCCCGAAACGACUCAAAACGGCGUCGUUUCAGUUCUUUUAUUUUUUGUCCUUAUUUGCUAUGAAAUGAUGUCGUUUUGGCUUACGUAAAGUGAAAAAAACAGAACCCUGCUUCUUCCUUCCUCUUCGUUCGCUUUGCUGCAGAGCCCUUAAUCACGCAAACAUCAGCGGCUUCAACUUGGACGAGUUUCGACAUUGUCCCUGGAAGAUUGAUUUUCAGCAUCGUCCUUGACAGAAGAUUGAUUCUUGCGUGUUGAUAACAUUGUUGAACGGCUUGUUAUAACUUAAAAAAACCAAAAUCGAUCGAAGAUCUGAGAAAAAAGGAGGUGGGGGGUUAGAUGUUUGAUUAUAGGCUUUUAUAUAUACAUAUGCGUGUAGCAGCAUACUUAUGAUUAUUCCCACACUGGAGCUGAUGCAUAUAUAUUUUAAUUUUAAAUAUAGAUCUUAAUUAAAUUAGUCAAAAGUAAUUGGAGUGACCAGUGAUCAAAUCCCAGGGAAAGUGGGCUAGAUUCCAGAUUCCAGGGCUUGGUAAAUGGUAAUGAUGCAGAGGCUGCUGCAACCAGAGUGUCAAGGAAGACAAUCUGCAGUUGGGUUGUGGUUGCGCAGCUGAGUUGCGGUUGUCUGGUGAAACGUGGCUGUCUUGUGAAAUGAGGAGAACGAAGACGAAGAAGCAGCUAAGUUCUGUAACUUCUGUUGGUGCUUUUGCGAUUUAUCCGAGCCAAACGUCGUCGUUCAUAGCAAAUGAAAACAAAAAAAAAAUUAAUAGAGCAAACGGCUGUCGUUUCAGCCAGUUUCGGGGUUUGACCCGGGAUUUGACCCGGGACAAAUAUCAGCGCUCUUGACAUAUACACACACUACCGAUCUGGUCCAGGAUUUUCUCAAUCUGCCGGCAGUUUUUGUUUACUAAUAUAUGGCAGGCCGCAGGCAAGUAGUAAUCCAAAAUAUCAAUUUCAAUCAGAUUUAUAGCUGCAAAAAGUUGACUACUUUUGUGUUGUUAUACUGACAUGCGCAUGUUCUUGCUUCUCUCAGAGUUGCGCGUGGCUACAUAUCUAUAAACCUAUUCAAAAUACGUUUGUUUUCGGCUUUGAUGUGAAAAUUUGGCGACGGCUACAUGUUUUUGGAAUGUGAAAUGCAGAAUUGUUAUUGUCAGCGACUCGACCUGUUGCGUGGAUCUUGGCUUGUAACGAUGGAUUGUCAAAUUUAUAACGCGAAUCUUUUGUCUGUAUUUGUGAUUGGGAUCAUACGGAGCUGCCAUUUCACAUGCAUAUAUGGCAAAUAAUCAAAAUCAUUAUGUGAUGUGUGUUCAUGAGGCAAGAGUAUGGUAUACACAUUAUAAUACUACAUACAUGCAUAUACAUAGCCACACACACAUAUACAUUUUAUAUAUGUAUACGUGUGUGUAAUAUUAAAAGUGUUCUAGUCAUCAAUCCCUAACUAUAUUAAAGUUAGUGAAAAAUAAAAAGACAAAAAAAAAAUACAAACUCUAAUACACUGUAUUUUUUGUCCUGUAAUAUAUUGAAAUUUAUAUUUUUUUAUCUUUUAAUUUAACUUUAACUUUAAUAUUGAUAUAUACAUAGUAACCUUUUUUAUGAGAGAUUAAGUAAGUGAUAAGCUAAAAGUCAAAAAAAAAAUAUUACAUGAUAAAAUAUACUGCAAUACAAUAAAAUGUAUGUUUUACAUGUCUUUUAGUUUAUCUCUUAUUUUAAUAACUUAAGUUUUGUGUGUGUGUGUGUAGUUAUGAAAGUCAUCAAUCUACCUUUUUUUCUCUUAUCUUUUGACCAAAUAUAGGGAUAAUUUGAUAUUUUUAAAAGUAAACUGGCAAUUUGAUGAUAAUUAAUUCAUGUGGGGAUAAUUUGAAAUUCACCCAAAUAUGUAUUAAUACUUUUGGGGGACAAAUUGAAGACUAUUAAUCUAAGGAGGGGUAUUUUUAACAAAAAUAAGGGAUAAAUUGAAGUUUUUAAAAGUAAAAGGGACAAUUUGAAGAUAAUCAAUUCAUAAGGGGAGUAAUUUGAAAUUAACCCAUCUAUUUACUUCUAAGAAGAGGAAAAAAAAGUCAUCAAUGCGCACACUAUUUGUUAUCAUCUUCCGAAUAAAAAUAGGAGAUAAAUUGAAAUUUUAUACUAAUGUCAGGCAAAAUUAAAGAUUGCUAUUCUAUCUCGGAGUGAAUUGAAGAAUCAAGACUGCACGUUGAUUUGGAGGAUGAAUCAUAGUGUUUGAUUGUAACCUUUUUAUAUUAUCGAAUUUCUUGUAUAAAUAGGGCCAUUAAAAAUAAUAAGGGUAACCAAUGUGUGCAUGAGAUAGGGAUGACAAUGGGGCAGAUAUGGGUUGGAUCUACUCUGCUCCAGAUCCAAAUCCAUAAUAAAAAUCAAGAUCCGUAUCUACUCCAGAUCCGUCAUGAAUCCAUAUUUUUCGUUCCAUAUCCAGAUCCAAAAAAGAAAUAAAUAUCUAUAUCUGCUCCAAAUCCGAAAAAAAAUUAAAAUCCAAAUCUGCUCUAGUCCGUCAUGAAUUCUAAAAUUCUGUAAUAAAAAAGUAAUAAUUUUUUACAUUGAAAAUUGAAGGAUAAAAUGUAUUGAUAACAAAUAAAUUAUAUAAUUUUACUCAAAAAUAUAAUAAAUAUUGUAGCUUAUACUUUUACACCAAAACAACAAAUAAGAAAGAUAAUAAAAUAUCAUUCAGAAGUAAUUGCAGGAGUAAGAUCAAUCUAAUAUUCUAUUAUCUCAUUCAUCAUUCUAAUAUCCACGAUACACAUACCCUCAUUCCUACAACAUUAGAUAAUGACAUAUAAAUUAAAUAUGAUUUAUAUUAAGUCCUUUAUUAUUUUUAUUAUGACCAUAUUUGACUAAAUAUAUGAAUAACUAUAUUCCUUAAAAAUUAUUUGGCCAAUAUAAUAAAAUAAAUUGCCAGGUUAUAUUACUUGGCUUGCAAUUUGAAUAUUGCAUGUACAUGCUUUGGGGCUGGUUGACCUUUAAAUUUACAAAACUAACCUUUAAGUUUUAAGAGUUUAAAUGCAUGGUAAAUACUACUAAUAUGCUAUGAAUAAAAUUUAUUAUCAUUAUAAUUCCACAAUUGUUAAGAAACUUUUAAAAUAAAAUUAAAUUAAAAGAUGAGUGGAUAUGGAUAUGAAUUUAGAUAUUAAGAUAGAUCCAGAUCCGUCUUAGAUCCGCACAUCGAUAUCCAAAUCCGAUCCAAAUCCAUUUUAAACCAAUCCAAAUCCGAUCCGAUAGGAUUUGGAUCACGUGGAUCUUGGAUCAAAUCCAAUCCAUUGCCAUCCCUAUGGCAAUCACUAUGGAGCACAAUCACUGGCGCAAAAAGCUCUCCGUCAGGGGUACUACUGCUUACCAUGAGGGAAGAUGCCAAGAAUAUGGUACGAAGCUGUGACAAAUGCCAAAGGUUCGCCAGGGUACCUCAUCUACCCCCAGAGAAGCUAACAAUUAUAUCUUCCCCUUGGCCCUUCACUAUGUGGGGAGUGGACCUCAUUGGCCCGUUACCUACCGGGAGGGGGCAAGCAAAAUAUGCAAUCGUGGCGGUAGAUUAUUUCAUAAAGUGGGCGGAAGCGGAGCCACUAACAAGCAUCACAAAAAGGAAAACCACAGAAUUCAUUUGGAAGAAUCUUAUUUGCGGAUUUGGGAUCCCCUAUGCAAUUAUUAGUGAUAAUGGCAAGCAAUUCGAUAAUGAAAAAUUUCAAAGUUUUUGUUCGGAGUUGGGGAUAACCAACCGAUUUGCUACACCUGCCCAUCCCUAAUCUAAUGGGCAAGUCGAAAUCGUUAAUAAGAUUAUCAAAGGUAUCCUGAAGAAGACGCUAGAAGAAAGAAAUGGAGCAUGGGUAGACGAGCUACCUGGGGUUCUUUGGGCCUACCGGAAUACUCAAAACACCUCCACCUGGGAGACCCCGUUUUUCCUCGCAUUCGGUGUUGACGCAGUGGUACCAGCGAAAAUCGGGGUACCCUCUCACAGGGUUGAAUGCUUUGAUGCGGCUGAGAACACCUCUUUGAUUGCUUCAAACCUUGAUUUGGUGGUUGAGAAAAGGACUAGAGCAGAAUUGAGGACAACCAUAUAUCAGCAUCGCAUUUCGGGUCUAUAUGAAAAAAGGGUACGCCCUCGAUCCUUCAAGAACGGAGACUUGGUCUUGAAAAGGGUAAUUCAGAACACUAUGGUACCCUGCGAAGGCACUUUUGGGGCAAAUUGGGAAGGACCUUACCGCAUCGACAAACUCAUUGGGUCAGGUGCAUACAGGCUACUCCACAUGGAUGAGACAAUCGUGAGGCACCCUUGGAAUGCUGCAAUGCUACAGAAAUAUUACUAAAGGACAAUGUCUUAACCUCUAGUCUUUUACUGUUAUUUGCUUUCUUUAAUGUUUUUGUGUGGUAGGCCAAAUGGGGUACCCCAAAUGCCCUAUGAUGGUCAGUUGCAACUUUAGAGUUUCUUUAAUUUUCAAAUGAAAAUGAUAGGAGGUCUUGCGGUCUCCCGUUCUCCUCAGGGUAACAAAGCUAAGUCAUGUAUUGAUCAACGCUUUCGUUAUCUAUAAAUGCAUUUUCUUUCUCAACAAAUAUGAUGUGGGUUCUUUCUUUAUUUUUCACCACUUCGAUCUUAGAAUGCGGAUUACAUUCAUUUAUCGCCAUUAAUAUACCCUCACAUAUGGUUAUAUGCAAUUCUCGUCAUACGCUUGUCAAUUAUGACUAACCUAUCACAGGACCAGCCAGGAUACCUUAUAUGCCUAGAUCGUGACGAUCUAUGCAAAGCCAAGAUAGGCAACAGAGUGAACAGCCCAGGGGUAGCCUUUCUGCGGAAGCAUGACAAAGCUACCUAAACAAAUAGAGGGAGGGUUGAAGAGGACCCAAGGGUGGAGUAAAACCGGCAUACCCUAGCGCCACGAGGUUCAGCUUAGGUAUGAGUACACCCACACAUCCGUCCUCUUACUUGAGCAAAGUAAGGGGUAAGCUACUCAAAAUAUUCGGAGAGAACUUCGAAAGAAUAAGAAAGUGAUUGGUUGGACCAAUUGCGCUUUCAACGUUUGAUCGAGAUGUCGCGAUGAUAUUUUGAUUACCUAUUUGUGGGGAAUCCGCCUGAUGCCGAAUAUUUGUUAUGGUACAAGGGGUACCCCAUUUUAAAAAAAAUUAGAGGUACCCUAGAAAUUUGUAAGAUAACAGUUUAGCCCAGCAUUCAUUUACAGAUAACAAGGAUGCAAAAUACAAGAGGACUCGGUGGCAUGGUAUCAUAACAAAAGAGAAGUCUCAAUAAUACAAAAUAUCUCAAGAAAUCAAAAAGAAAGAAACAAGUUCCAAAUAGCAAAAUGUGGAUAGAUCCCAAAAGACAAGAGCACUAUGAAGCGGCUACACCGAGGGUGGAACAUCAUCCCCGCCUUCCGUCUUCGGAGGGCGAUCAGCAGAGGACUCUGAGGUACCCGGAAUAUGAGCAACCGAAGUAGGGGCAUCUGAGGCAGGCAACGACUGAAGCACGCGGGGUACCCUAGGCGACCCGGAAGGGGUACCUGACCGUGCAUGGGAAGACUUCUUCCUCUCCGCAAUCAUCUUUAGAAUCGUGGCCUUGUUAACAAAUUUCUGCACACGGGGUACCUUCAGUUCCGGAUCCACGCUCCACACAUCCAUCAUGAUGAGUGAGAACGCAUCCUCCGCCAUCGUCUUUUUUCGGGAUAACAGAUCCUCGUUUGUGGCCCUCAACUCGUCGCAACCAUUUUCCACUCGAGAUUUCUCUUCAGAAAGGCCAGUAAUGCGUUCCUGCAAAGUCUUGAUUUCUCGAGCAAGCUCGUCCUCGCGAGACUGACGACUUUGGAGCUCACCCCUUAACUUGUCAACCUCCGAUUGGGCGGCAACAAGGGAGUCGAGAUUUGGAAGGCAGUGGCUGAGAAUAUAUGAUGCAUGCAGGUCGUAAAAGACGUGUUAAAUAUAUGUGUAUGGCAAUAAGAGUAAAUAAAUAAAAAUGGAGGAUACACCCGGGGUACCCCAUUAAAGCUUACCUCUUGGGUAGCCUUGAGUGUUUGACCAUAGCGCUGGUUCAAACUCAUCUUGUUUGUCUCUUCAGCGACCUCAGAGGUAACAUUUUCGGCAAAUAGUAGAAGCAGCGAGCCAAGUGCGAAACCUCCUUGUUAGAAGCCGGGUAUAGGUCACCUUCACGCAACUCAUUGGGGAAAGCCGAAACCAGCCCGAAUUUUCUCUUCUUUGAACGAGGGGUACCCUUCGACCCACUGUGGGAGGUACCCUGGGAUUUCCCCUUUGAUUCGGGAGCUCGAGGCGGCCAGGAACUUUUCUGGGGUACCGCCGAAUCCUGAGAUCCAGAAGCACCGCCCACUACCGCUUGGAAAAAGGCAUCAAAAGCGUCACCCGCCGAUUCCAUAACUGCACCCAAUGCACAAAAGUUAUGUUAGCAGGACAAGUACCAAGUACUACAAAAGCAAAAAUAGGAAAUGAAAAGCGGGGAAACAAAAUAAAGAACGCGGUGAUAACGGAGUACCCUAGACCCGUAGAUAAUAAUAGGGUACCCCACGACACUCGAAUCAUACAUGAGUCACCCCUAGAAGCAGGUGGAGGACUUCGAUCAAUCAACCCUACUCUCCGUAAUCUGCUCUCCUCUAGCACAUCACUACCCCUCUGUGCACCUCGAAGCCUAUCCACAAACUUCUUCGCCUCUCUCCCCACCUCCUGAACUGGGCAUGAUCCUUUAGCUCAUGUCACACCUGCAAAAGCAUGAAGAACCUAAGGUUAGCGAGACAUUCAUGUGAAAGAUUACGAUAAAGAACCGUAAUUAAGGGAGAUACUUAUAGUCUACAUUGAAGGAAUUGGGAACCUCCACGGGGUUACCCUUUUCACCCAGAGUCUCUGUCCCCCAGCUACCCUCAGCAACAAACCAUCCCUUUCUGUAACCCUUCUUCAAGGCGGGGUUUCCUUCAACAAUAUGGCCAUGAUCACCCCAAGUGGAGAAGUAAGCAAUACCGGGACCUUUAGGCUUUUUGAAUUGGUAAAGGCCCCUCAAAUCCCGAAUAGAAAUGUCGCGCUUCAAGACCUCCAACCAUAACACAUGUAAGCCCGUAAGCGUCUUCCACCCCGGAAGGGACAGCUGCCCAGGAGCUACUCCCAAAUAACUAAACAUUCUCAUAUAGAAAGGUUAGAGGUGUAGGCGGAGUCCUAGAUUAAAGAGGUCAAUAUGAAGAGCAAUCUCAUCAGACGUUGAACACUCAGGCCGCUCAUCCACAUGGGGUACCCUAAGCUGAACAGAGGGAGGAAUAUUGUAUUUGGCUCUAAUUUGUUCUAAAUCCUCCAAAGUAGCCCUUCUAGUGCCUAGGGAAAAAAGGUUGCUAGAUUUUGAAGGUAUGGCAGGGGGAGAUUUGGGAUGUCGGUCUGAGGAACGAGCUGGAGCCUUAGGCUUGGAUGACCUACCCUUCUUUCGAGGAUGUGGGGAUGGCCGUUUACUGGGAAAGCAUGGGCUGACACGAGGAGUACUCCUAGGGGGAGGGAGCUCAGAACGAGAGUUACAACUCCUAGAGGUACUAGGGGGGACCUCUAGGAGUUGUCAACCCUACUAGCCCCAACUGCACGUCGCUUCCUCACUGGUCCCGUAUGUUUCUUACCCAUCUACUUUCCCCCAACAACAUACCGACCAGGCCACAAGUCCCUAACAACACAUCCAACAAGCCACAAUUCCCCCAACAAUAUUUUCAUACCAUACACCACCCACCACACAUCAACCAUCAAAUGCAAACACCAACCACAAAAAAAAAAAAACAAAAAAAAAAUAAUUUUUUUUUCAGAGUAUGCAAAAUUGCGCCACUGUAAAUGCGCCAAAGGAGGAGUAACGAGGAGGGAUACCUGUGAUUCACCAACUCGGUAGAUCGGGAUUGAUAAUCGUUGGGGAGACGAAGCUACAGGCAACAAAAAACAGUAGGUAAAAAUAUGCAAGUAUAAAAAACUAAAAAUAAGCUUAAAUAUAUGUAAUUAUUUAUAAAUAAAUAAAAUGAAAAACGAAGGGCUGCAACCACCAAGAACCAACGCCGGCUGCCAUGGCUGCAAACCACCAAGAACCGACGCCAGAAAAAUGCAAAGGAGGACGCCAGCCAAAAUAAAAAAAAAUGAAAAUGAUGAAAAACGAAGAAGCUGCUGCCACUGAACCGAACCGACGCGGGGGGAAGAGCUGCAGCCACCGAACCGACGCUGGCUGCCAUGGCUGCAACCACCAAAUCGAUGCCGGAAAUCGCCAAGGAGAACACCGGCCGAAACGAAAAAGAAAAAGAAAAGAGAGAAGAAAAGAGAGAAGAAAAAGAGAAAAAAGAGAGAGAAAGUAAGGAUAAAAUGAAGACACAAGGGAGGAGCGUUACCGUGUCUACCGCUGGAUCGAGAUCUCGCCGCGAAGUCGUGAAAAACGUCCUUGAACCAAUCAGAUCUGGAGCCAAAACCACCACUGCAGCAGUCGAGAUCCACACCGAAAAAUGCACCAGAUGAACGCCGGCCGAGAGAGAAAGAGAAAAAGAAAGAAAAUGAAGAAAGAAAAGGGAGAAAGAAAAGAAAAUGGGAAAGAAAAAAAACGCAAGAGGAAGGAAAUAAACUAAAAUAAAAAAGAGGAAGAGAAAUAAAGAGAUGGAAUAAGCCUAGGGAGAUGAUCGGGUGUUAAAAAAAAAAAAAGAAAUUUGUACCUGUGAGCAAUUUGUUGCAAUCAAGAAAUAAGACGAAAGUUUGAAGAAAGAAGCCACUGAAGACAAUUGAUUUUUUGGGAGAUUAUUUGGGGAUUUUCAAAAUAAAUGAUAAGAGAUUGACAUUUACCUCAGGAGUCUUUAAUUGAAUCUGUCAGAACACACUGCACGAAAAGGAAGUCAGGGAUGUUUGCGUGAGAUAGAAAUUUUUAAAAUUCAAACUGCAUGUCAGACGACUGCUACUUCCCAAGAAAAACGGGAGAGAGACAUAAAGACAAUUGUUCGUUCUCAUUAGCAGUUGAGUAAAAAAAAAAAAAAAAAAAAGGCGGGAAAGGGAAAAGACAAAGAGAAGAUUUUUAGCUCGGCAGUACACAAAGUUUAGUCAAGGGAAGAAACUAAGCAAGGUAUCCCCGGUCUAGCCGCAUCGCCACAUGUCACUCAUACAAUGAGUUUCUUUUGCCUCCGAUACUUCUCGCCAAAAAGAAACUAGGGGGAUGUUGUUUGAGGGAAAAAUAGGAAAGACGGUAAAGCGCCACGUGUCGACAAAUGGAAUGACUCCAGCACAAUCUGAGGUACCCUGCACGAUCCGAGGUACCCGGCAUGAUUUAAGGUAACCCGGACAAAUUGAGGUACCCCGUACAAUAAGGGGUACCCCACAUAAAUUGAGGUACCCCACGUAACUCGAGGUACCCGGCAGAUUAGAUAUAAGAGAAUCCUCCGAAAAUAUCCGCCAUGAGAAACGUCUCCAUCUCUUAAAAGAUAUUAUUCGAUUUUGUCAGAAUUAAGAAUCAAGAACGUCGUAUCAAAAGGGGGGGACAGCCGCCUGCUACCUCUGCCAAAAGUGAAGGACACUGUCCCAAGGACAGUGGUCCUCAGCUGCCUACCCGACAGCUACUGCAGAGGUACCUUGGACCACUCUCCAGCGCGCGCCACGUUUCCAAAGGAUGAGAUACGCCGCGAACAUGCACAUAACGGCCCAAAAAUCAUAAAAAAGAAAAAUGACGUUGGCCAAAAAGGGUACGCCACGUGGCAGCUGAGGUACUCCAUAUAUAAAGGUGCCUAGGUUUCAUUCUCCAUCAUGCUCUCAUUCACCAUUAACACUCACACUCUAAAAAAUAGGUUUUCUUCAACCUUAAACCCUAAUUUACAGAGAGCUUGCCAGCUCUCUUUACCAUAAAAGCUUGAGUUUGCUAACUUGAGCGUCGGAGUGUGAACGCCGGGGUACCCCGGCUUCACCUCUAACCUCUAUUUCAUUGUUUUGCAGGUGUGGAGCCCAUUUGGAAGGACACCUCUCUUGGUUUUGACCUUUCACCAUUGUUACCACUCCCUCUCCCCUUUUCACCUCUCCCAAAUUUCAGGUACGCCGCACCGUACACAACAAACCAGUGAGGUACCCCAUCUCCCCUGAAAAUACAAAUUCAUUGUUCUAGAUAGAUUUUGAAUUUUCCUACCCCAAAAUCUGUUGAAAACAUUAUGUAUAAACUAAUAUUUUUUUAUUAUUCUUGAAGUUAUUUUUUUAAUUGCUUUAAUUUUUUAUUCACAUAAUAACAUUAACUAAACUGAAAUAUUGAACAAAUCAAAUUAUGUUUAUUGUGAUGAAUAAAAAAUAAAACAAUAGUAUUAACUUUAUCAUAAAAGUUGAUGUUAUAAUUACAUCUUUUAUUACAAAAUUAAAUUAAGAUCAAUAAUGAUAGAUCUUUUUAAUGCUACCAAACUAAUCAACCUGUGAAAAUUAUAAAUUGUGAAGAACAAAAAUAUGCACCACUUAAAAGGAUAUAUAUAUCAAAUUACGAGCUUUUAAAUUUUUCUCUUCAAAUGUUGAAAAAAAAAAUGUCAUUCGGACAUCUUUAUUCAGAAUCUAUUCAGAUUUCAACUAAAUUCAGACCUAUUUAAAUUUCAGAUAAAACAACAAACGCAACCUUAGCUCGUAUUAAUCAUUUUAGUUAGUUAUGAAUUAGUUACAAUAAUGAUGCCUAAGCAGUGAGUAUAAAUUGAAUGUAAUUGUAACAUUUUGUUUUAAGCAAUAAAACUAAGAAAUCUGGAACAUUCUCUGAGAUAUUUUUUGAGCCACCAAACAACUCCAUUUCUGUUUCUUUCACAAAAGAUCCACGAAGUAUGCGGGCUUAAUGCUUUGAGCUACUCCUAUGAGACUAUUUUGAUUGUUCUGUACUGCCGCCCAAACGGAGCAUCUAAAUUUCCCAAACUCAUUAUCUAAUAAACUCCUAAACAACAACUAAAACUAAUAAAUUUUUGUUCCAAUGCUAAGCUGAGAUUUUUAUAUAUUUUUUUUUCAUGCACAUCCACAAGUGCGUAAUUAAGAUUUAAUACAUGUUAUAUUUUUGUCCAAUAACUACCAACCAUAGUAUUAACAAAGCAAUAAGGUUUUUGUCGUUCUUGGAGUAUUGUGUCUUAUCCCUUUAAUUCUUUCCACAUGGGCAGCCUAUUAUCAUGACUGUUGAAGUACAUAUGUGAUUGAAUGUAAAAAUGGCAGUAUCCCAGAAGCAUCCAAGAUUUGCACAGAGCUAAGCUCAAUCUUAAAUUCAAAUCAAAACUCGCACCACUUCUUUGAGAAUGAAGGAGCAAGAAAAAUAGUCCUAAUAUAGCGCCCAAAAAUAACCAAAAAAAUGAGAUAAGAGAGACGAUGAUUUUUUCUCUUUGCUAUAACAUUUUCUGCCAAACCGACUAGGAGUAUCUUUUACUUUAUUUUAUUAUCUAAAAUUUACGUUAAAGACUCUGUUUUUGACAUCUGACUUAAGUAUUUGAGGAUUAUUGAGAGUUAUAACACUGGCACACUUUACAAUUACGACUACGUUAUCGUGUUACAAUUAUAAUUUUGUUCUUUGAAGCCGAAAUUUAGCAUCAACAUAAUUGAUUAAGGAACUAGAAUUUGCGUCAUCAAUUUAAAUAUAAAAUUUAAGUUAACACAUAUAUAUCUACCGUAUAUUAAAAGUAAUGUGUUUUCAAUUGAAAAUAAGUAGAACUGGUGGUGAGUUUACUGAAAAGUGAAAAUGGGUUGAGAAAGAGAGUUUACAUCUAGCUUCCGUCGAACCAAAAUCCUAAUAAUAACGUUGUAAAGUUUCACUAAGAACCUGUCAUAUGUGAGUGGUUAAAAUAUAGUUGCAAGAACAGCUGAUGUGGCAGCCAACUGCGCCAAAGUUAGUUACAAAAUUGCUAGCUCAGCUAUGUCUGUUUGGAAUUCUGUAAUUACUGUUUUCUUUAUCAAAUUAUCUUAGCAUUAGCUUUGCAUGAUUCGGUGAUUAAUUAAAAUGGUUGCUGAAAUAGUACUUUAAAGACGUAUGUUUUUAACUAAUAUUCAUUAAUUGAAUCAGAAGAAAGAGACUGAUUUUUUUUUAUAUGUUUUGGAAUUCUGUAAUUAGUGUUUUGUUUAAUAAUAUAAUAAGGGUAAUUAUCUUAGAAUUCGUUUAACAUGAUUCGCUGAUGAAUUAAAAUGAACUCCAAAUUGUUGAAAUAGUCCGUCAAAGACGUUUGACUUUGACUAAUCUUUCAUUAAUUGAAUCAGAAGAAAGAGAAUGAUUUCCAUUAAAUGAUUAACGUGGCAUGUUCUUGAGUUUAAAUCGAAUCUAUGACCCUUGGCCAUGCAUGAUUUUUAUCUGUUGAUAUAAGCGUGUCCACAUUCUGUAUUCUCUAGUAAAGGAGUUUGUGCAUUUGGCUAUUAGUAUCCUCCUUUGACUUAUUAAGGGAAAUUUGAAAUUAUUGUGCAGGGACUUUAUCCACUAAUAACGCAAAUAAAAUUGUUAGCUAUUGACUAUAGGAGGAUGAUUUGUUGUUAAAGUGAAAAUUGAUGUCGAGUAAAGGAAAAAUUCCCGAAUAUUUCCCGUGUGGAUACCCUCUCUCUUGAUUAAAUGAGAGCAGCACAUUCUGCUUUCUAGUCCUCAUCUUAAUUAUAAAAUAUUUUCUUCUUCAAUUUAAAGAAGCCACAAGCACCAGGCACUAGCGGAUUCAAUUUUUGCCAAAUUUUCUUUGGUACGAAAAGGAGCUGAAACAGAGCAUUGACCUUGGUUAACAUAGAAACCCAAAUUAAAUAAAUGCAUAAGAUAGUAUACAAAUACUAAUAAUAAAGAAUCAAAUCAUGCUAUCGUAAGUCAUAACCAAUUCUUAUUAUUUUUGACACGUUAAUUUUCCAUGUUUAUCACCUGGACGUUUCCCCCCCUUAUUUACUCAGAUUUACAGUGUUCAGCUGUAAAAAAUCUGGAAUCUUGAAGCAUAACAAGUAACGGACAACUAGCUUAUCAUUUACAGUCAUUUAAUUAGUAACAAUAAAAUUGCAUAAUUCUGCCCUUGUGUAUGUGCUUAAUGGAUUGUUCGCACCCCUAUGGUGUAUUAAUGGGGUUAAUAAAAUUAGUAGUCCGUUAUAUUUGUACAAAGAAGAUAUGAUACCCAUUUUAAAAGAUUAUUUAAGAUACCCCUAAGAAUUUUGUCGUUUUAAAUUCUUGACACGCAUACCUUUGUUUGUUUGUUUUUUUUUAAGUUUCAAACGCUGCUCAGGCGCUCAUCAAGAAUCAAUGGUCGUCUUAGAUCUAAAAUAUUGAAAAAAUAUCAUGAAUAGCAUGCGAUUGAAUAUUCUUACAUAGUCAAUCAACAGGUAAAAGUUAAAAAAAUCUCCAUCGUUGAAAUAUUGACAUUCUUACUGUUAUUUUUUUCUUUUUGAUUUUUUUAAUAAUAUUAUCUUCUUAAAAUAAUAUUUCUUUUUUAAGACAUUAUUAAAAAAAUAGAUUAUUAAUUUAUCCCCAAAAUAAAACAAAAACAAAAAGAAUAUAUGUUAAUUUUUGUGAUUAAUAUAUAGAGAAAAGCAUGUUAGAUGAUGUCCCUAUCAUUUCAAGCUUGGGAUUUCUAUUCACAAAAAAAAUAAAAAAAAUUUGGGGUUUCUAUAUUUUGGCCCUUGCCGCACCACUUCCUGAAUGGCGUAUGACGAACUUGUUCUUUCUUACAUCAUUUCCAUUCAAGCAUCGUCAUCUUCUUUAGGGGGUUCAAGGUUCAAGUCAAAAAAUGCAAGCUUUUCGUAGCCUUUUCCUCGAACCAGCCCAGUACCAUUCUUAUUUGCCUCAUCAGUCUUCGUAGCUGUACUUAAAAGAGCAAAGAAAUUGAAAGAAGUGUGUCAAAUACAGAUGAUGAAACAGUGCCGGAGCUUGAAAAUUUAUGAAAAUAGAGAAAGACCUGCGCUAGCUGCGGCGUGUGUCACCAAGGACUUGUGUAAUCUGACGGCGCCUGGAAACAUCAAUGUGUUAUACUUGAUUAAUUCCGUCAUCAAAUUACUCUCAAUGUGGGUAAAUCCAUACUUGUUGAUCCACAUUGGGACAAGUUCAGGGACCGAUGGAAUUACAAGGUUUUCCACAUUGAGCAUACGAAGAGCCUGUAAAAUUAGAUUCGCAUGAGGUCAAAUGCCAAUAUCAAACAGACUAAGCAGAAGGUUAUUCAGCACAAUGAAAUGAACAAUAUGACACAGUGCCAGCUGGGUAGUAGCUUAAGGCAUCAGCACUCACUGAUUCAAUUUGGGCCAACAGUUUCUGCAGCAUUCUUCUUCCCCUGAAUCUUUCACGGGUUCCGAUAAAUGGCAUCUCGGCAAACUUUGUCCCAUGUACUCUGUACAAAUGAAGUGAAUACUCCAAGUUAAACGAAAGCAUGUAGCUGCAAAACGCAUGUAUGUAUGUACUGGAUCAUACCAGAACACAUGAAAUGCCAGUAGCAAUCAUACCUUAUUGAUGCCACGGAGAUAAAUUCAUCAUUCCUCUCCAGUAUAGCGGUGUAAAAACCUCUAAAAUUUACCCGCCUCAGGUUAGACCUGAAAGAGAGAAUUUAGAAGAAGGAAAAGGCUAUGUGUAAGCAUUUUCUUGAAUGAACAAGAGUGACAGAAAGAUUUAACGGAAGGAUCUAAAGCGCUUACUCCCGAUUGUAGAUGACACUUUGAGUGAUGUUAAUACCAGUGUAGCGGUCAAUAACUGGCAUGAAAAUUUCUUCCAUGACCGUCCAUGCUACAGAAACUUUUGAGUUGCCUACUGAAAUCUCAUGCAAAAACUCCCCAUUCGAAUGUGGGUCCCGAUCUAGCUUCAUCUGGACAAGACUCCAAGUAUAUCCAUCAGCAAGCUCUUUUCGGACUCCCAAAUGCUUCUCUUGGAUCUCCGAGAAAACCUGUUCACAAAUUCCUUUUCGAAAUUAAAGCAUACAUGCAUGCAUUAAGGUUUUUUAAUUAAAAAAAAAAAAGAAUGCCCAUGAAUGUGUGUAAUAAAGAAUUCACAAAUACCUCUUCACAACUCUUCCCACAAAAUUUGGUUGGUGAAUCAGGACUAGACGGUUGUCUUGAAGAAUUAAUACAGUCCAGGUGAUCUGUAUCAAGAAUAUAAGUUAGAACUUAGAACUUCGGCACUAUCCAAAUAGUGCUAUUUCAAAAUGUGCUUUCUAAUGAUGUACUGUCAAUUAAUUUCCACAUUGAAAUUUUAUGUGUGUUAGUGAGUAAAGAAGCUGUUCUCUUUCUUUCACAUCAGCUACGUAGCUCAAUUACUGCCCUUAUCACAAAGAAAUUAAGCAAGUGUAAAACCUUACAUCUCCUUUGACAUUGUUUGCAUUCGUGCAAAUCACCUGGCCCGCCAGUACCACAAAAUUUGCAAAUGCAGAAAGGACACAGCCAUUCUCCUUGCGGUAUUUUCUGCAUUCACUCCAAUUUCUUAAGAUUUUGCAACUAUAUAUGCAAAAUAAUAAUAAUACCAACAAUAAAUGAGCAAAAUCCAACCUUCAUGCCCAUGCAAUCUGGAUGAAAAGUAGAGGGACAUUUCUCACAACAAAUCAAGUCACCCCCAUCAGCGCAAAUCAUACAGGCAUCAUCGUUCAAGUCAGAAGCAUCUUUCCGAGGCUCAACAAGGUUAAAUCCACAGCGUGCCAGUUCUUCCGGACGCAGUAACCCCUUGUAAUAAAUCCAACCCAAGAGAUGACAUCCCCAAUCCACUAAGUAGAUGUGGGCAUAUGGCUCCUUAACAUGACCUUCGUUGGCAUGUUCUUCAAACCCGUACACAGUAAUCACCUUAUGACAGCAAUUACAACGCACACCGUCUCUCUUAAUGGUUCCUUCUAUAAUCUUUUCUUUAUCGCGGAUGUACCAAACUCUCAUACCUUCGAAAAUGAUCCCCAGGUCUAUCAUCCAUGAUAGUAUUGUCCUUUUCUUGGAAAACACUCCCCUGUUGCUCUUGUUUGAUGCACCUGGCCUUCGACGCAGUAUCCUUCUUCUUCUUGUUGCAACAACACCACUAUUCCUUCUCGAACUUCCAAACUCAGUAGCCUGGUUUGGAUUAUUAAUGCACGGGUUUAUAUUGAAGUUCUUUCGAGAGCUCCUUUGAUAACUUGUUCCAGCUACGUAGUCAGGAUCAGAAUAGCUGGAAUCAUAAUCCUGGCUUUCUGAUGAGCUGCUUGAUACUUCUAAAAUUCUCUUCUGUUUCCUCUCCCUCAUAUUGCUAAUUUUGUUACUGUAAAAAUAUAACUGAAACAUAGACAAAAGUAAAUGCCGGUGUAGAAUGCUAAUAAAUUAAUAAAAAUAUCAAAUCAUGCCUAUGAUUUUUUAUGUGUGUAUAUAUAUAUGCAACACUCAAAUCAAACUCGAAAUCAUGCAUAUAUUUCUGAUACGUUUCCAUUUUAAUUUCCUUCUUUGUUCAGAUUAGCAGUUUUUAUCUGAAAUCUCGAAGCAUAAGUGCAUAACUAGUAGAAAAAGAACAGCUAGCUUCUCAUUUAUAUUGAUUUAGUAACUAUUUAUGUAAUUGCAUAAUUCUCCUUUUGUGUUUGUGCUUUCUUGUGAAUAGUGGAAAUUCCAUGCUAUUUCGUAAUGCAAGAAUGAUCAACUCAAUAGCGAUUACAAACAAAUCUUAGAUUAGUCAAAAUAAUUCCAUGCUGCCGUGAAAACAUUUUUAUGCGUAAAUGACUCGAAACGCCUAUUCAGAUUUAUACUACAUUAACUUUAAAUUCAUGCAUUAGACUCACAUUACUACAAAAAUUAAUCAAAGUAAAUAAAAAUAAGAUGUUUAUUAUAACAAUAAUGUUUGGGAUCAAUAUUAUAAUAAAAAUAAGAUGUUUUUUUUAUAAAAUUAAUCAACAUUUGAAUCCCAACUUGAGUGUCAAUGUUAUGUAUCAUUUAUCUAUUGGAUGAUAAAUUUCAUAGCUAGUAAAAGUACUUAAUCAUCAUCUAAUGGAUGGAUACCACAUUAGUUGGGAUUCAGAUUGAGGAGAAAUUCUAGAAUACAUCAGAGGUACCAUGUUAGCCAUACAACAAGUAAAUAAUGUUAUGAUAUGUGUGCAUUUAGUUUGAAAAACCAUCAUGCAAAUGGUGAUUAUAUUAAAUUCAACUACACAUGACAUACAUGCAUGAAUUGGUUGUAAUACAUCAGAUGUAUUUUAAAAUUUCUCCAGAUUGGGACUUAUGACGUGGGACAUCUAGCAUUGCUCUUAUUAAAAUAAUCAUUAUGAAAGUACUCGAUAACUAGCUUAUAGAAAUGAACCAAACAGAACCGGUUUAUCUUGUUUUGGGGAAAAUCUAAAAUUUCAACUUUAAUUGUGGCUUCCAUAAAGUAAAUUAACAUUAUCAGUUCAUGCAUAACACACACACACACACAUUCAUAUAUAUAUAUAUAUAUAUAUAUAAUAUCUGAAAUAGCGAUUGUCUAGAAAUAUUACCUAAAAUAUUUUUAAGGUGGCCACCACUUUAAAUUCUCAAAAUGCAAGCAAUUUCUUCAGCAUUUGAACUACGGAUCGUCAAGAAUGAUUUAAAAUUUUCAGAUCUAGAAAAUCUUCUCGUACACAAAGAAUCGGUAUACUAAAUUUAAACAGUGAAAAAAGUAGUUCUUUAAUGAAAAAUAAAAAAUGAAUAAAUUAUUUGAUGGCAGUGAAGAAAAUUUUAUUUAGAUUGCGAGUGGCUAAAGGGUGGACAACGAGAAUAAAUAAGAGGGAAUCAGAAAAUGAGAGAGAGAAAGUGCAAGAAAACGAGUAGAUGAGUAAGAAAAAUGUAUAUAGAGUAGAUGCGAAAGAGAAAGAAGAAUAUAUAUAGAGUAGAUGCGAAAGAGAAAGACACGAGGCAAUAGCGUGUAUAUCGCAUGCAAGUCUAUUUGUCUUUGUGGCAUUGAAUUUGAAAUAUAUUUCAUGGAAAGUGUUGAAUUAGAUUUUUGCAUUUCUUUCCUAAAAAACAAUUGUAAAAAUAGUGAUAGAAUUACAAAUUUUUAUACAAACUGACGUGGCACAAUCAUAUUAGUUAAAAUAAAUCAUGUGGACUGCGGCAUGUUUUGAUCUAAUCAAUAUCUAGUUAUGUCAUAUUAGUUUGUAUAAGAAUUUGUAGCUCCAUUAUUACUCAUAACUACAUAACCUUAAGAUGUACUUGAAGAGUUUUUUUUUUUUUGAAUUACAUGAGACUAUUACUCAGAUUACAACUCAUAUUUCAUACAAAUCUUAUAUAGCACUGCCCAUAUUUUACCUUUUCUAGAUUUUACAAAUCUUAUAUAGCACUUACUGCCUUCAAUCACAUUGAGAAAUGAAAUUAAACCCCCAUAAUGCGUGUUUAUUAGUCUAUAACUCAUUUACAUCAUCUUCAUUAUUUAGCUCUAUAUUGAUUAUUUAUAUAUGAAUUGUUUAAUGAGUUAUAUUUAUAAAAGGACGCAUAUAAACAUGAUUUUAUGAAGUCAGGAUCUAGUUUUCGUAAUUAGCUCGGUUUAUUAAUUUGCAACUCUUACACAUAAAAGGACUUAUGGGCAUUGUAAAUUUAUAAUGUUAGGUUACAGGCAUUGGCCAAGUGUUAAAAAUAAUAAUACAAUUUUAAAAAUCUAAUGCUACCAAAUCGCUAAGUACUAUUAGUUUUAUGUUUUUAAAGUUCUUAAUAAAGAUUUUCACUUUAUCUUCUUAAUUAAAAAUUAGAAGCUCUGGAAAGGAACCAAAAAAUAAAAGAAAAAAAAAUUAACGUCAAUGUCCAUGCAAUUUGAUGGAAAUAAGUAAAGGGAAAUUCCUCAUAACAAAUCAAAUUUUCGUUAUUUAAGAUACUUAAUAAGUACAUACGUUUAGUGUUAUUUUCGUACGCAAUACAUGAUUUAGGAGUGUUUUUUUAUUUUGUUAUUUAUCUCAUAAUGAUGACUAACCAGAGUUCAAUUCUUAGUUGCAGCACUACACUCACAAAAUUAAGAUGUGAAAUUUUUGUUAUAAUUGAUGUAGUAAAUGAUCUGGCAUUAUAACAUCUUCUCAUUGUGUCACAUGAGUACGCAAAUAUUCAUAUCUUAAUUCUAUCGGUAUAUAAUUUUUUAAUUCUCAGAAACAAAAAUUUAACUAAUAAAACGCAUUGGUUUGAUUCAUUUACAUAUUAUUAAAUUUACCUAAAAAAAGUGAUGACAAAGUUACAAGCUCUUUUAUAAAUUUAUUUUGUACAUACUUAUAUGGUUUAAAUUCAUUAGUUAAAUAAAAAUAUAAAAUAAUAAAAAUAAAUCAGUGGAAUAAGAGCUGUUUAAUCCAACCAAUUAAGUUAUACCACACAAUUUAUACUAGUGGUUUUUUACUCUAUUUUUACUAAAAAAGAAAGAAAAUAUAUACUUUAUUUGGCUAGUAAUUUUCACCCAUAUAUAGAAUUCUCCUUGCAAAGAAAGAAAUCUAAUAUUUUUAUCAUCUUUAUUCUUAUUUAGUUUUCUUAUAAAAUAGUGUAAUUAUAACAGUAGUGUUCUUAUCCAUCUACCCUUUUGUAUAGUCAUCUCUACCCUGCUUUGGGUUCCUUUUUUAGUCUUAACAUUAAUUGGCUAGCCAUUUUUGCCCAUACAGAAUCCUCCUUGUAAGGAAAGAAAAUCCAAUAAUAUCAUCAUCUUUAUCCCUAUUUAGUUCUCUCAUGAAAGAGUUUAAUUGUGCUAGUAUUAUUCUUAUCCCAUAUACCCUUUUGCACAGUUGUCUUUGUCCAUGUCUCUGAGUUGUCUCUUAUAUGUUUUUUCUUUUUUAUGAGUCGAAUAUUUAGUUAUUUCAUUAAAGGGUUUGAAUUAUAAAAUACCACACUUGUACAAAUAAAUUUUAUGUGACACUCAUUUAUUGGUACGUCACAUUAAUUGGAAUACGAAUUAAGAUCCAAUUAUUGGGAUCGCUAGCCCUAUUAUUAUUAUUAUUAUUAUUAUUAUUAUUAUUAUUAUUAUUAUUAUUAUUAUUAUUAUUAUUAUUAUUAUUAUUAUUAUUAUUAUUAUACGGUGUUCUAUCAUAUCUUAUGCAGAUGAUUGCCAUUAAAUCAUUUUUUUUAAAAUGAAUAUUCAAGUUGUAAUAUAAGAGCAUCUCCAAAAGACUUUUUAGAUUUUACUCUUCAAAUGUCAAUUUACUUAUUGAUGUGGUAAAUAAGUAUAUGAAAAAAUACAAUCUCUUCCAAAAGACUCAUCAAAGAAGAAUAAGUUAAUAUUAUUUUAAUUAAAUCAUUCCAUUAUUAAAUUAAAUUGUUGUUAUAUUUUUGAAAGGAAACAUAAAUAAUAAUUAUUGUAGUCUAAUCUUUUCAAUAAAUAAUAAUAAAAUAUUAAUAGAAGAGGGAGAAACUCACUCGACAAUAUUGAAGAGUGAGAAACAAAUCUUAUUUAAAGAAUCUAAAUUAAUGUGUCUUUUAAAGUGUUUAAUAUUGAUAUGACUCUUCAAAUAAGAAGUAGAAUUUAAUUUGAAGAGUUUUUUGGAGAUGCUCUAAGUAUUGUAAAUUUCUUGAAUGACUAUAAAAUCAUUUGGAUGCAAAUUAGUUUAUUUGGUAAAAUGUCUUGAGUGAAAAAUAAGAAUUGUGAGUUCAAACGUCGCUAUAUGAGUGAGAAAGUAGAGUAAUGAUAGACAUCCCAAAUUUUAUUUUAAAUGAUGUGUCAUUCAUUAAGUGGUUAAUAUUUUUUUCUAAAAUCCAAGUGAAUUAAUUGAAUUAUUUCACGAACUAAUUGAUGAAUGCCACAUCAUUUGAAAUAAUUUUUUAGAAUAAAAAAUUUAGGGUAUGUAGCACUACUGAAAAAAGUAUUUAGUUAUUCUUAGACUAAAAAACAAAUAAUAAUAAUAAUAAUAAUAAUAAUAAAAUGGCUACACUUCACUAUAAAUUUGCCACCUACAAUCUCUCAAGUUGCAGUUAACAAGCAUAUUAUCUCUCUUUCAUAAACCUAUCUUCUCCCCUUACCUUUCUUAUAGUUCUAAAGCUUUUGCCAAACAAACUAGAUGAACAAUAUGCUCUUCAGAAUACUUAAAAAUCAGUGAAAGCUAUUGAAUGGAGAGACCAUUUGAAUUACUCAAAUACUUCAUCACGUUUCAUAUUGAUUAUGAAACAAAAGUGUGGCCUCUUCUUAGCAGUAGUAUAGAAGAGAGAUCAAAGUGUUUGAAUUACAUCGAAUUAGUGAUUAACCAGAAUGUUUCGGUUGAAGCCACGCAUAGGUAUUUCUUUAUCCUUCGUUUUCUUUCUCAUUAAGUUUGAAUUUCAAGCAAUAACAAUUAUGUUUGACAAAAUAUGUACACAUUAUAAUAGGGAAAUAAAAAUUUAUAUUAUUUGUGCGAAGACCGAGGAUUGCGGCGGACACGAGAAGGUAUGCUGCAUAUUUAUUUUCCCUGUUCAUUGAUUAAAAAAGUGAUUUUUUUGUCUUGGAUAAUAUCUUCUGUGUUUUUUCAAAACAUUAUCGCAUAAUUAUCUUCUUGUUUUGCCAUCAGGGCAAGAAAGCACCAUAAUUUGCAUUCAUAUAGACAACAACAAGGGAUUUUUAUUAACAUAUUUUUAUUGUUUUGCCUUUGUCAAAUUCAUUCGUUUGCAGGUACUAUACGACUUCUAUAUUUUGGGAUUUCUAUAUUUUGGCCCUUGCCGCACCACUUCCUGAAUGGCGUAUGACGAACUUGUUCUUUCUUACAUCAUUUCCAUUCAAGCAUCGUCAUCUUCUUUAGGGGGUUCAAGGUUCAAGUCAAAAAAUGCUAGCUUUUCGUAGCCUUUUCCUCGAACCAGCCCAGUACCAUUCUUAUUUGCCUCAUCAGUCUUCGUAGCUGUACAUAAAAGAGCAAAGAAAUUGAAAGAAAGGUGUUAAAUACAGAUGAUGAAACAGUGCUGGAGCUUGAAAAUUUAUGAAAAUAGAGAAAGACCUGCGCUAGCUGCGGCGUGUGUCACCAAGGACUUGUGUAAUCUGACGGCGCUUGGAAACAUCAAUGUGUUAUAAUUGAUUAAUUCCGUCAUCAAAUUAUUCUCAAUGUGGGUAAAUCCAUACUUGUUGAUCCACAGUGGGACAAGUUCAGGGACCGAUGGAAUUACAAGGUUUUCCACAUUGAGCAUGCGAAGAGCCUGAAAAUUAGAUUCGCAUACCUGCGCUGGCGGUUGCACUGGCGGUUUGAAUUACAAGAUUUUCAACAUUAAGCUUACCAGGAGCCUGAAAGUGGAUCAGAUUCGCAUUAGAACUUGUUCCAGGCAGACAUAUAUUGAAAUGAAAAAUAUGACACAUACAGCUGAUUAUUAGUAGCUUCAGCACCAGCACUUACAGAUUCGAUUUGGGCGAAUAGUUUCAGCAUCAUUGUUCCUUUGUAGUCCCCGCUUCUGAACUUUUCACGGGUUCCGACAAGUGGAAUCUUCGCAAUCUUGGUCCCAUGGACCCUGUAAAACUGAAGUGAUGAAUGCUCCCAAGUUAAAUGAAAAUUGGCUGUUGUAAAAUGUGUAUGUACUGGAUUGAUUGUACGAGAACACAUAGAAUGAAGUGAUGAAUACUCCCGAGUUUUUCUUAAACUGAACCGAUUAGUUCACAAAAACUAAAAUAAAUAAAAUUUCAUAAAAAUUUAAUCUAAAUUAAUCAGCUCGAUUCCACUUUGCUUCCCCAGUUUAUUGAAUUCAAUUGAAAUAUUUGUUGAAAAGUUUAUUUAGAUAAUCAUUGUAGUAUUGCUUGUGUUUAUCAAUUAUAUUUUCAUGAAUGUAUUUUAAAAAUAAUCUAACCAUUAAAACAUAGUUAAGCUGGCAGAUUGAAUUAACCAUAAUUUAUAUCUUAUACGUUUACAUUAUUGGUUUCCUAUAUUUUAUUAUUAGUGUUUCUCGAAGCGAAAAUCAUAUUUAAAUUAUAAUAAUUUGAUAUAUAUUAUUAGUUUAGCAAAAUUUGGUUUGGGGAUUAAAAGGAAAAAAUUGGGAGAUCGAAUGACAAAGUUAAUCUCUUAACCAAUAACAAUAACCGUUCAUGCAAUCUUUGAGAAAAUGUAAAAUUAAUUGCUACUUCAAUUAAUGUUUUCAUAAAAUAAAUAAUUAAUUAACAUUAGCAAUUUUUAUAUACACACAUACUUACAUAGAAACUAAGUGAGGAACGCCCUAAUCCAAUUCCAGAGCUUAGUUAUAGUUCAGAAUCCUGGACUGAAGAUUCACUACAUGUAUUAUUUCAAACAGUGAUUGAAAGGAAACAGUGAUUCAUAUUACCUACGAUAUUUAAAAGGAGGCCUGUUGAAAAGUCAGAAGCAAAUGCCAACUUUGCAACUGUUAGCAUGAAGGCUUUGGAGAAGCAAAAUCCAAUUUGGUUUUUGUUAGCCGAAAAGAAAGAAUGGAAAAAGGGGAUGUAUUGAAAAUAAUAAUAAUUAUUUAUUAUAUUUUCAAUUAUUUUAUUCUUUGCAUAGUGCCAACAUUUUUCCUAUAAAUAGCUUAGGAUUUCAUUCAUUUGAAAUCAUCCCAAAAUUGUUAAGCUUAUAAGUUUCUAAGCUUUUGAGAGAAGUGAGAGAAGUGUGUCUGGGGAAUUUAUCUUUCCUGCAGAGUGUGAGAGUACUGGGUAUAUUUGGGUUUCUGGGAAGUGAGAUUCGUUACUCAAAUAUUGUAUUCUAUUAAUUGUUAAAUAAACAAUUAUUCUUUCUUGCCUCCGUGGAUGUAGGUUUAAUUACCGAACCACGUAAAUUCUUAUGUCCUUUAUUUUUCAGUAAUUUUUGGUGCGCUUGAUUCCGCAUUCCGCGCACAACAAGUGGUAUCAGAGCCGAUGGUUCGUACUUGGGGGGAUACGGUACUGUUCACGUAUACGGUACUAUUCCCGUAUACGGUACUGUUCACAUACGGUACUGUUCACGAAUACGGUGGAGACGUCCAUUUGUACUUGGGAGACAGUCUAUUGUAAGUAGUGUGUAUUUUUGCAUGUCUAGGAAAGUUCUGUCAACAAAGGCGAUAAGAGUCUAAGGAUUCUGGUUUUUAAUUGGGACCGAGUUCCCGUCCAGUUUCCUGGGAACUUUCCUGGUGCAUUUAUUCACGCGAAAUUAACAUCAUAGAGGCUGUUUUUCAAGUGGAAAUAGUUCGUUGAAAAAAUGGUAGAAGGUGAAACUUCCAGAAUUGGGGAGAGAUCUACCGAGACUAUUUCAGGAGACACUUCAGGUGGGAGGCGAGAUUUGUCAAAUCGCUAUUCAGCACCUGUUAUAGGAGGCCAGAAGAUCGAUGUUGAAAAGUUUGAUGGGAAAAUCAACUUCGGCAUGUGGAGGCGCGAAGUUAUGGAUGCCCUUAUUCAAAUCGAUCUCGAUGUUGUCCUGAAAAAUAAAAGACACUUGUAUGAUGAAGAAAUUUGGGAUCGUAUGAACGAGAAAGCCUGUGGUUAGAUCAGAUCUUGUUUGACCAAGGAGGUGAAAUACUUGGUGAAAGAUGAGGAGUGUGCAGUGACUUUGUGGCGUACAUUGGAAGAGAAGUACCUGGUGAAAAGUCCUGAAAAUCGUCUUCAUGCAAUGAGCCAAGUAUAUGGCUUUCGAAUGAAGUCUGGGGUGUCAAUGCACGAUCAUGUUUCAAGAUUUGAAAAGUUACUUGCUGAUUUGAAGAAUCUUGAUGAAGAUAUUAAAGAUGAAGUUAAGGCUAUGAUUCUGUUACACUCACUACCAGAGGAAUAUAGCCAUUUUGUGACUACUUUGAUAUAUGGGAAGAGUGUGAUCGUCUUUAAAGAUGUUUGCACAGCAUUGACUAGUUUGGAGAUUCGGAAUAAUGAUAAAAAUUCUGAACGAGCAUCGUCUGAAGCUUUGGUGAGCAGAGAUUGGGCGAUGGAGAAACAGAAGAAGCGUGGUGGAAAGAAUUCUCGAUCCAAAUCGAGAAGCAGAAAUAUAGCUCGAGAUGAGUGUGCCUUUUGUCAUGAAAAGGGUCAUUGGAGAAAAGAUUGUCCAAAGGCUCAAAAGAGAGAUGGGAAGAAACCAGCAGCAGCAAACAUGGCACGGAAAGAUGAGAACUCUGAUUAUUCACUAAGUAUUACUCCUGCAGCAUAUGUGGCUAGUUCGAGUGAGUGGAUACUUGAUACUGGAGCAACCUAUCAUUUGUGUCCUAUUAAGGAAUGGUUUACGGAUUUUCGUAAUCUGGAAUCCGGUGCAGUUAUGAUGGGGAAUAAUCAACCUUGUCGCACAAUGGGGAUAGGAACAAUUCGGCUCAAAAUGUUUGAUGGAAUGGUCAGAGAACUCAAAGAGGUUAGAUUUGUUCCAGAGAUAAAGAAAAAUCUAAUUUAUGUGGGUGUUUUGGAAGCUAAAGGUUACAAAGUUACCAUUGAAGAUGGCACAAUAAAGUUUACACAUGGGGCUAUGGUGAUUCUGCAAGGGGUUCGGCGUCACAAUCUGUACUAUUUGAAGGGAGGUACAACUGAUGAAGCAAAUGUUGUUGAGGUCCACAGUGACACCACCAAGCUAUGGCAUGUACGACUGGGACAUGCAGGAGAGAAGUCUUUGCAAACUCUGAUGAGGCAUGGACUCUUAAAAGGUACCAAAACCUGUAAAUUAAAUUUCUGUGAGAAUUGUGUAGUAGGCAAGAAAACAAGGGUCAAGUUUGGUACAGCUAAUCACGAUACUCGUGAGAUCCUUGAAUAUGUUCAUAGUGAUGUAUGGGUGUUGUGCAAAUUUUAAUGUACUCGCAAGCGCACGAAUCUAUUGUAGUAUAAACUAAUGGUGACGAGUGUCGAUCCCACGAGGAGGUGGAUUUUUAAUUAUAUAUAGAAUUAAUUUUGUAAAUGGGUGGUUGGAAUUGUGGUGGAAGUGAUUUAAAAUAUGCUAAAAUUGGAAUUGCAAUGGUGAGAAUAAAUUGUAGAGAAAAUCGAUUAAAUUGACGUACUUGGGUAUCUGGAUCCGUAUCAACAUGCAUCAUGGGCUAAAUAAUCCGUAUUAAUGCUAAUUAAAUCAUGAGGGGGGAAUCCACACCUCAUGAACCACACUCUAAUCAAUAUGGUGCUAAGGGCUUAUCGUGCCAAAUAAUAAUAACCUUAUACUAAAGAGCCGGUGUAACCAAGGCGGUAUCUAGACAAGAUCAGUAUUAUUUGUCGACGACAAGUCAAAUCAUCCACAAAAACUAGAGGGGAAAAGAAAAUAAAUUUACCAAAUAAAGCCCAUGACACAUGUUGAGACUUCACCUUCAACCCAAGCUUGAAAGGAAAUUAGCUACUCAUAAUUGAACUAGGGGCAAAAUGAGAAUUUAUUAAAAUACAAAGAAAAUACAAGAUGGAGACGGAAUUACAGAAAAUGGAUCCCAAAAAUGGAUUCAGAGAUAUCAAAUUAGGGGGGGGGAGGCCCCCUUUUUAUAGAUACAUGGAGUAAAUCAUGGCCAUCGGAUUAAAAACAGUUUGGACGCUCAGGAUUGCGCCACGUCAUCAGUCAACAGUCCACGGUUUGACCACGCAGAUGAACAGUAACACGAUUUGACCUGGAUGAACAGUAACGCGGUUUGGUUGAAAAUAAUCCUGUGUGAUGCAUGCACCGUACGCGAGAUUUUUCGUCCACUAGUAUGCUGCCACGUCACCAUCAACAGUACAUAAGAAUUUUAGUCCAACAGGAUCGCGACACCUCAUCAGUCAAUGCCACAUCAUCGGUCAAUGCCACGUCAUCGAUCCGUCUAUGUGAACAGUGUCGUGAACAGUAACGUAGACAGUACCGUAUACGUGAAUAGUACCGUACAUGUGAAUAGUGUCAUUUUUCCUUUUAUGCUCCUCCUAAGGUUUUCGAUCGUCCUGAGUUCAAAAGUGAUGUCCGUUUUGCCGUCUGAUCUCUCCUUUAUUGUGAAAUGACUAUAAUGCCCCUAAAAUACAUAAAAUACUUAAUUAAAAUAACACACACGUAAUUACAUCACAAGAAGGUUAAAUACAUAAAAGUAAGAGUUGUUAGUAAGACUUGAAAUGUAAAAUGAUGGUUUUCUCCUUUAUAAAUAUGCAUUUUCUAAUACUCAACACACCCCCCAACCAGCUUAUUGCUAGUCCCUAGCAAAUAAAGCGAAAACAAAAUUCAAAUUCAAAAUGAUUUUUUUUUAUUUUUUUAUUUUUAGAAACACUCGUGUUUAUUUAAUCAGAUUAAUGAUAGCAAUCAAAUAAAAGUAUAAGCAUUAUCUCCAGUCUAAAGCAACAUCACACCCACAUCAACCAUCCACAUGAAUUAGCCCAGUAGACUUUGUUAUAGCUACUUUCAAGAAUAACAUGUCAAACCCCAAAAUCUCACUGGAAGUAGUGACACUCUCACAAAGAAAUUAAAACCCAAUAAACAUAGUCACUGCAAUGAAUGGUAAUUGAGAGAGAAAAUAAUAAAGAAAUGAUAUCACAUGCUCUCACCAAGAUGAAAUAAAUAUGCCCUCAGCUUAGAAAUAAUACGAUCUCAAGUCAAAUAAAAUGUUAGUCAACCCACUUUAUUUAUCUUUUUUUUUUUAUUAUGCAUCACUACAUCUUUUUAGCCCAUAUAACUAGCUUCUACUUCAAACUAUAGUUCCCUAAAAUCAAAAAGGACUUUUAUUAGGACGUAACGUAGGCUAGGGAUAUGGCUAACAAAGAAAGGAAAUAAGGAAAACAAAGUGUAUGUUUGAGAAAAAUGCAAAGAAUUUUUUUUUUUUUUUUUGGAAGUUGCAAGGUGGAUUUCACCUAUUAUUUUUAUUUUUAUUUUUUCUUUUGAAACAACGACUUUUGUUUUUUUUUUUUUUUUUUUUGCAUAACUUUACUGAACAACAUAAUUAUUUACAUUUUCUCAAACAUAAAUAGGUGAUGGAACUUAAAAGACAUUGGGUAAUACUCCAAAUCGGAGUGGGUCAAGAUGAUAAGUUGACAAAGAAAAGGUUUUUGUUCUUUUUUUUUUUUUUUUUAAAGGCUCAAAAGGGGUAACUAUGGAUAUUUAAUAACAUGGAUGGCUAGAAAGGCUCAAACGGAUCAAAGAUGGCCUUUCCAUCGUUUUUUAGGGCUCUAAAUAAUUAUCCAUAUCUACUAGUUAGAUGAGCCUCCCAAUGUAGCAACACACAUUUUUUUCUUUUUUCUUUUUUUUUUUAAUUUUACCAUUUUUUUUAAAGGGUUAACUCAAAAGAAAUCUAGAGAUCGUGUAUAAAAUAAUAAACUGCUAAGCUGUAUAGAGAAUGGGCAAAAGGGUUACUCUCCAAGAAAAUAAUAGGCUCAACAACUCACUUGGCACUUAUUUAUGACAUGUUCAUUCCUUCAAGCAACUCAUAUUUGUCUCCGACAUCAUCAUGUAAAGUAGCAAACAUAGCGUAACAUCACUUAAGACCAAAGAUAAUACAAAUACUAAAAUUUGAAAUUAAUCAUGUCAUCCAAUGUUAAAACAAAUCACAAAUUUUUUUUUUUUUUUAACAACAUUCUACCCCCCAACCUAUUCUAAACAUGAAAGGAAAAUAUGCAUGCAGAAAUGUGAAAAUGAUGCAUAAAAACUAAUUAGAAAAGUUACACGUAAAAUGAUAGAAAACGAAAAUGAUUUUUUUUUUUUUUUAAGAAGAUGCGUUUCUAGAGGAACUACACUCCAUAUUCAGCCAUCUUCGACUCAAAAGUUGGAAAAUGUAUAUUUAUAGAGGAGAAAUUAAAAAGAAGAAAAAUAAACAUAAACACAUAAUAAAGAAAAAGAAAAUGUCUGAAUUUUUUUUUUAAGUUUUUUUUUUUUAAACGAUGAAGAUGCGUUUCUAGAGUCACUACACUCCAUAUUCAGCCAUCUUCAACAAAAAGUUAGCAACAGUUAGUUUCUACAACAAAAAAAAUUAGUAAAAACUUAACCAAAAUUCCACAAUUGUCGAUUAUUCCCUCCCCCCAACCAGAACGAAACAUUGUCCUCAAUGUUUGAAAUGAAAGAAGUAGAGUUUAGAAGACAUCACCUGGGUGGUGCAACACAGAAAACAAUAUUUACAAGCGGAGAGUUAAAUCUAAUUUGUACUUCUUACUGCGGCUACUGUUACCAUCAUUAUGUGGAUGCUCCAACACAAAGGUCCAGGGGUCUGGCUCCGGUUUAUAAGCUUGUAACAGAUCAAGUAGCUCAUUAGCAGUGUGAGCACAAAUAAAAAGUUUUUUCACAUUAGAAGGAAUGAAAUAGUUUUUUAUUGCAUGGUUAAGAAAUGCGAUAAAGCCAUCAUAAAAGUUAUUGACAUUUAACAAACCGAUGGGUUUCUGGUGAAUGUGCAGAUGGGCCCACGAUGCUAGUGUGAUAAGUGCCUCUAGUGUUGCAAGAUCUCCUGGAAGGAAAAUAAAAGCAUCAGCAUGAUUAAGCAUUUCGGUUAUUCUUUCUUGCAUACCUGAGACGACUAACUCUUCUCCAGUUGAUGAGUCAGAGGAACUGCCCAAUGGUUUUAGGACUCUCGGGAUGAUGCCUAACACUUGACUUCCUCUGAUAAAAGCUGCUUCUGAGACCAUUUUUGAUAACCCUCGGUUACCUCCUCCAUACACCAAGUGUAAUUUUCUCGCUGCUAUGCUUCGACCAAAAUCUAUGGCUGCCUCCACGAACUCUUUAUGUUUGCCAUAGGUAAAUCCAGAAAGCACACAAAUGUUCUUGAAUUGUCUAUUGGGAGUAGCUGCCAUUGGAAUAUUUCUCAAAAACAAUUUGUGAGUGCUUGACAAAAGAUAAAUCACAUUUAAGAAUCUUGGUGACAAUGGAUCACAGCUGUGAAUGAGGUAACAUAUCAGUGUCAAAUAACGUGUAAAGCACGUGGCUCGCGAGUCAAAAAGGAAACAGUAAAAAGGAAAAAGCAAACAGUAACAAAAUUAUUAAAGACAAUAAUGCAAACAAUAAAACAACAGUGAAAUGAAAUAAAAUAACAGUAAAGUAGAAGGAUAUUUACACGUAGUUGCGACUGUGGCUCACAUCUUCCUCUGGUUUUACGUCCAGAAACGGCUUGAACGCCCUCUAUGGGUCGAGGAUCGGCUUCCCAUCCAGUUUUCUUAUAAACUGACAAACAGGGUCGUUUAUAGUCAGAUUUCCGAGACUAUAUCGUGCAUGCUCUUUCUGGAAUAAUGGCCAUAACCGGAGAAUCGCUCCUUGCACAUAUCCACUGGGAUGCGUUUCAAGAGACAAAAGGAUAUCAUCCAAUGACUCCUUAUUCAAGCCAUCCCUAAUGAAUUGAAUCUUAUCUUCCCUGUUAUCAGACACCAUUCCUAAAGAACAUGGGUUUUUAUCGCAACUCAUUCUGGCACACUUAUGACAAGCAACAGAAAUUCUUCGAGCUCGUCGUUUUCUUGCGUAAUUUCCUUUACCACAACCAGGUAUGUAUGCAAUAAAUUUAGGAGGUAACUCACCUGCCAAUCGUACUUUAGCCUCGAUUAACCAACGGAUGUCUGCAGGUAUGUUAUUCCUCAUGAGCAAUCGCAUGCGUUCAGACCGGGCUUUAUAGAUCGUAAGGAGGGCAUUCUGAGGAAGUGAAGGGAAUCGCUUGUGAAGCUUCGCUAGAAUCUCGUUUCUGUCCAUACUUUCGCCUCAGAAUGUCAGUUAUUGUAGGAAACUGAAGUAACCGACUUGAUUGUCACGGAGUACCGUUAUCCGCCAUUUCACCGGGGUAACAAACUAAAGCACACAAACAGAAAAACAAAUUAAAACACACAAAAAAAAUUAAAAUCGUCCUCUUAUUGAAUUUACCUCAAGCUCCAACUGGAUGUCGUAAACACUUCUCUCAAUGUCUCUGAGUUGGCGUUCUAAACCCUCAACAUAGGCUACUAACUCUGGUGGUUGUAGAGCCCAAAUGCGAUGUGUUUUACAAAAUUGAAUCUGCUUUUUGAGAUGAGUUUUGACACGUUGAAGUGGUUUAAGAAUGUUCAGGAGGAACGGUCUAAGUAAGGUACUCAUGAUUAAAAAUGAUAAGAGAAAACUCAAUUGUUAAACAAACACACUUAUGCAAAAAUAAUUUCAAUUAGCAAAAGAAUAAUAUAAAGAAAGAAAACAAAAUCAAAUCAACGAAAAGAAAAAAAAAUCAAUUCAAAUCUGGUGGGUCACUCAAAUUUAUUUCGGUGUCUUCUCCAUGUGGUUGGUACUCAAGAUAUGGCUUUAAUCUUUGACCAUUAACUUUAAACGUGACACCGUUCUUUGGGUCCUUAAUUUCAAUUGCCCCAUGUGGAAAAACAGUAUUAACAAUAAAGGGACCAGACCAUCGAGAGCGUAACUUACCUGGGAAUAGGUGCAAACGAGAAUUGAAUAAAAGCACUUUCUGACCUGGAGUGAACGAUUUUCUCAUAAUGUGCUUGUCAUGAAAGACUUUCAUUCGUUGCUUGUAAAUCUUGGCAUUUUCGUAUGCAUCAUUGCGAAUUUCUUCAAGUUCUGCCAGUUGUAAUCUUCUUUCUGAGCUGGCUUGCUGCAUGUCAAAGUUGAAUUUCUUGAUGGCCCAAUAUGCACGAUGCUCGAGUUCCACAGGUAGGUGGCAAGCUUUUCCAUACACUAGCCUAUAGGAUGACAUCCCAAUCGGGGUCUUGAAAGCCGUUCUGUAUGCCCAUAAUGCAUCAUCAAGUCUUAAUGACCAAUCUUUUCUGUCUGGCCUCACCGUCUUUUCUAAUAUGUUCUUUAUUUCUCGAUUGGAGAUCUCAACUUGGCCACUGGUUUGCGGAUGAUACGGGGUCGCCACUUUGUGUGUGAUUGAAUACUUUGUCAAAAGAGCUUUGAAUGCUUUGUUACAAAAGUGGGCACCACCAUCACUAAUUAUUGCUCGAGGGAAUCCAAAGCGUGAAACAAUGUUGCUUUUCAAAAAUGCUAUCACAACCUUGUGAUCAUUGGUCCUACAUGGAAUUGCUUCUACCCAUUUUGAUACGUAGUCAACAGCAACCAAUAUGUAUUGAUGACCAAAAGAUGGGGGAAAGGGUCCCAUGAAGUCGAUACCCCAUACGUCAAAAAUCUCAACCACUAAAAUUGGAUUUAGUGGCAUCAUGUUCCUUCGUGUAAUGCUCCCCAUUCGUUGACACCUAUCACAUGAAGAACAGAAAGUGUAAGCAUCUCGAAAUAUAGAUGGCCAAUAGAAACCACAUUGUAAAACUUUAGUCGCUGUUUUCUUAGCACUGAAAUGGCCUCCACAAGCUUGUUCAUGGCAGAAUGAAAUGAUAUUCUGAAUUUCACUUUCUGGGACACAUCGUCUAACAAUUUGGUCUGCACAAUACUUGAACAAAUACGGGUCAUCCCAAAAGAAAUUCUUUAUUUCCGCAAAGAAUUUAGCCUUGUCUUGCUUGGUCCAAUGCUCUGGAAGUUUACCUGUAACAAGAUAAUUAACUAUAUCAGCAUACCAAGGUAAUAUUUCCACACUCAUUAAUUGUUCAUCUGGAAAUGACUCAUUCAAUAUUAAUGGCUCUGUUAUUGUGUCAAAAUGGAGACGAGAGAGGUGGUCCGCCACAACAUUUUCUGUGCCUUUCUUAUCUUUAAAUUCCAAGUCAAAUUCCUGCAAAAGUAAUACCCAACGAAUUAGUCUAGCUUUUGCAUCUUUCUUUGUGAGAAGAUAUUUAAGAGCAGCAUGAUCUGUGAAUAUAAUUAUUUUACAACCAAUGAGAUAAGAUCGAAAUUUUUCCAAUGCAAACACUACUGCUAGCAUUUCUUUUUCAGUAGUUGAAUAAUUCAACUGUGCAUCAUUCAAUGUCAUACUAGCAUAGUAAAUAACGUGGGGAACUCGAUCAACUCUUUGUCCUAAUACUGCUCCUACUGCAUAAUCAGAUGCAUCACACAUGAGCUCAAAUGGUAAGCUCCAGUUUGGGGCCUGAAUGAUGGGUGAUGAUGUCAACAACUGCUUUAAUUUUUCAAAUGCCACAAGACAUGAAUCAUUAAAGAUAAAAGGUACAUCCUUAGCAAGUAAAUUGCAUAAGGGUCUAGAAACUUUGUCAACCUCAAUACCUUUGCUCGAAAUGAUGUGACCGAGAACAAUACCUUGUUUUACCAUAAAAUGGCAUUUCUCCCAAUUUAAGACCAAGUUCUUCUCGAUACAUCUCUGCAAAACUAGUGUUAGAUAAUGUAAACAUUGAUCAAACGAGUCACCAAAGACAGAAAAGUCAUCCAUAAAGACUUCAAGGAAUCGUUCAACCAUAUCAGAAAAAAUGCUCAACAUGCAUCGUUGAAAUGUAGCAGGUGCAUUACAUAAUCCAAAUGGCAUCCUCCUAUAUGCAAAAGUGCCAAAAGGGCAAGUGAAAGUGGUCUUCUCUUGAUCUUUUGGUGCUAUGGGAAUCUGAUUAUAUCCUGAGUAGCCAUCUAGAAAGCAAUAAAAUUCAUGGCAUGCUAAUCUAUCAAGCAUUUGAUCGAUAAAUGGUAAAGGAAAAUGGUCUUUACGUGUGACAGAAUUCAACUUUCUAUAAUCAAUGCAUACACGCCAUCCUGUAGUUACUCUAGUUGGUAUCAAUUCAUUAUCAGCAUUGGUAACUACUGUGACUCCUGACUUUUUGGGGACAACUUGUACCGGGCUGACCCAUGAACUAUCAGAAAUUGGGUAAAUGAUACCUGCGUCUAAUAGCUUAAGGACUUCUGUUCUAACAACUUCUUUCAUAUUAGGAUUUAACCGACGUUGCAUUUCCCUAGUAGAUUUAGCAUUUUCAUCAAGGUGAAUGUAAUGCAUGCAAUCUGCAGGGUUUAUACCUUUUAUGUCCGCUAUGGUCCAUCCUAAUGCUCCUUUGUGCUCUUUUAAAACAUCCAACAACUUACCUUUUUGUUCGUCAUUGAGGGAUGAUGAGAUGAUUACCGGCAGAGUACUUUCUUCUCCCAAAAAUGCAUAUUCCAGAGUGUUGGGCAAUGGUUUGAGCUCGAGUUUCGGUGGUGAUUCUGAUGAUGGGAUGAGUUUCUUUUCUGAUGGUGCUAGUUGUUCAACUCUUGACUUCCAUUUAUUAGUGUCCAUGGAUGGUGCUGAGUCAAGUAGAGCGUUGACCUCAUCAACUGAUCUGUCAAUAUCAAAAUCCAAACCAAAGUGAGUUAAGCAUGUCUGUAAAGGGUCAUCACUAAGGUUUGAAAUAAAAGUAUUAUCGACUAUUGUUUCUAUUAAAUCCACAUCAACAAUUCCAUCAUCUGCACUGUGAGGUUGUUUGGCAAUGUUGAAAAUAUUUAGCUCCAUAGUCAUGUUGCCGAAGGACAACUGCAUAUUUCCAGUCCUGCAUUGAAUGUGAGCAUCCGCAGUUGCCAAGAAAGGUCGGCCUAAGAUAAUGGGGAUGUGCUUCCUUGAAUCCUGUAUUGGUUGAGUGUCAAUUACAAUGAAAUCAACAGGAAAAUAAAACUUGUCUACCUGGAUAAGCACGUCCUCCACAAUACCACGAGGUAUUUUCGUGGACCGAUCUGCAAGCUGUAACACCACUGGAGUUGGGUGUAAUUCUCCCAGUCCAAGUUUCACGAAUACAGAGUAAGGCAAAAGAUUUACACUAGCUCCUAAAUCCAACAAAGCAUUCUCAAUUGUGUGGUUCCCUAUACUACAUGAGAUAGUGGGGGAGCCUGGGUCUUUGCAUUUUAAAGGAAUUUUAUGUUGGAGUAUAGAACUAACGUUUUCUGUUAAAAAUGCCUUCUUUUGAACAUGUAUAUUUCUCUUUUUAGUACAAAGGUCUUUAAGAAACUUGGCAUAAGAUGGAACUUGUUUUUAUAGCAUCAAGUAAAGGGAUGUUAACACUUACCUGUUUGAAGAUUUCGAGAAUCUCACCUGUGGAUUUUCCCUUUUUUCCUUUCGCUAACCUCUGAGGAAAUGGAGCUUUAGGAACAUAUUCUCGUGGGUUAGUUUCUUCUUUUUCCUCCGGUGGUGAGUCUUCAACAUUCACAGGUACAAUUUGAUUUUCUUUUGUCACCGGCAUCUCCACUUUGUUGUCGACUUCCUUUCCUUUUCGCAAGGUCAUGACUGCUUUGACCUCUCCAUGCUGUUGUGGUGAACUGGUACUUGCUUCAUGUACUCCUUUAGGAUUAGGCACUGGUUGACUUGGAAAUUUACCUUUCUCAACAGUAAUUGCCAAGGUCUGAACUGAAGAAGCAAGUUGUCCUACCAUCUUAUCGAGGCUUGAAACUGAUUGGGCUUGUGAGUUGAAGCCCGCUCUCAACUCAUUUCGUAGUCCAUCAAUAGUGCGGUUCUGUUGCUCAAUCGUAGAGUGAGUAGCAUUCUUGAAAUUCUUGAAUGAAUCCUCCCAUGGUCUAGGUUGAGAGUAGUUCUGGUUCUGAUUGUAUGAUCUAAAUGGUGGCUGAGAGGCUUGAGGAAUUUGAGGAAUUGGUUGCAUUGAUGGAGCUGGAGCUGCUGGUCCAUUCUGUUGGAGUCCUUGAGACCAUGAAAAAUUAGGGUGGUCUCUCCAUCCAGGGUUAUAUGUGUUAGAGUAUGGGUUGUAAUUUGAUGGCUUUCUCAUUACACCUAUGGCAUUGGCUUGAUCUGGGUAUGAGUCAUGGUCAUGUGGUUCUGUUGAUUUAGCAGUCGAUAACGAUGCUAUUUGUCGAGAGAGACCUUCAAUUAUUGCUUUGACUUCUUUAAUUUCUGAACUGGAUUCGCCAAUUUGAACCUCAUUUACUCCUUUAAUUCUUCUGGUAUUCCUGAGUGACCGACUCCGUUGUUGGGAAUUAUCCGCUUGUCGCUGGAAGAAUUCCCAAAUCUCUGAUGCACUUUUUGACAUUAGCUCUCCUCCACUUGUUGCCAUUAGCCAUUCUUGCACAUUUGGUAGUAAUCCCUCCAAAAAGUAUUGACAUUGGUGCCAUUUUUCGUACCCAUGAUGUGGACACUUCAAGAGUAGUCCAUUGAAUCGCUCCCAAGUUUCGAAAAACUGAUCGUCCUCUCUUUGUGUAAACUCUGAAAUUUCCCUGCGAAUAGAAUUGGUUUUAUGCACUGGGAAAUAUUUAUUUAGAAAUUUUGUAACCAUUUGUUCCCAUGAUGAAAUGCUAUUAGCAGGCAAUGUAUUAAGCCAUGAACGAGUUCUAUCCUUUAAAGAAAAUGGGAAUAAUCUAAGCUUUACAUCAUCAUCUGAAAAAUUCUCGUAUUUAAAAGUUUGACAAAUUGCAUGAAAAUCAUUCAGAUGAUUAUAUGGGUCCUCAUUUUCUAAGCCAUAAAAUGUGGGGAGACAAUUUAGCACACUAGGUUUUAAUUCAAAACUCCUAGCAGCUACAUUUGGGUAUCUUAUGCAUGAUGUGCUCAAAUUAGCUAAAGGACUAAAAUAGUCCUUAAAUGGCCUCUCCUGUGGUGCUUGUAAAUCCAUUUUAUUUUUAAAUUGUUUGUGUGUGCGAAGUGUUUUUUUCUAAUUCAAGGUCUAUAGAUUCAAGAUUUGGUAAUAAUGACCUACGACCAUGCAUGCAAAACAAAUAAAAUAAAAAUAAAGAUGGGAACAAAACAAAUAAAAAUAAAGAAGAGGGAGAAAUUACGAUACUAACCUUAUUGCGCUAUUACAACCUUUCUAUAAAAAUACACAAAAAUAAAUACGUGAAAUAAAUUAACUAAAAAUUAAAUUAAUAAAAUAAACAAAAAUUAAAAAGAAAAAAAUAAAUUGAAAAUUAAAUUACAAAAAUUUAAAGAAGAGAAAAAGAAAAGAAAUACUAACCUUUAAAUGUAAAUUCACUUUUUUUUUAAAUAAAAAAAAAUACAACAAAACAAAUAAAAGAAAUUAUUCACAAAAAUUAAUUCUAUGAAUUAAAAUUACUUACCUCCCCGGCAACGGCGCCAAAAACUUAUUGUGCAAAUUUUAAUGUACUCGCAAGCGCACGAAUCUAUUGUAGUAUAAACUAAUGGUGACGAGUGUCGAUCCCACGAGGAGGUGGAUUUUUAAUUAUAUAUAGAAUUAAUUUUGUAAAUGGGUGGUUGGAAUUGUGGUGGAAGUGAUUUAAAAUAUGCUAAAAUUGGAAUUGCAAUGGUGAGAAUAAAUUGUAGAGAAAAUCGAUUAAAUUGACGUACUUGGGUAUCUGGAUCCGUAUCAACAUGCAUCAUGGGCUAAAUAAUCCGUAUUAAUGCUAAUUAAACCAUGAGGGGGGAAUCCACACCUCAUGAACCACGCUCUAAUCAAUAUGGUGCUAAGGGCUUAUCGUGCCAAAUAAUAAUAACCUUAUACUAAAGAGCCGGUGUAACCAAGGCGGUAUCUAGACAAGAUCAGUAUUAUUUGUCAACGACAAGUCAAAUCAUCCACAAAAACUAGAGGGGAAAAGAAAAUAAAUUUACCAAAUAAAGCCCAUGACACAUGUUGAGACUUCACCUUCAACCCAAGCUUGAAAGGAAAUUAGCUACUCAUAAUUGAACUAGGGGCAAAAUGAGAAUUUAUUAAAAUACAAAGAAAAUACAAGAUGGAGACGGAAUUACAGAAAAUGGAUCCCAAAAAUGGAUUCAGAGAUAUCAAAUUAGGGGGGGGAGGCCCCCUUUUUAUAGAUACAUGGAGUAAAUCAUGGCCAUCGGAUUAAAAACAGUUUGGACGCUCAGGAUUGCGCCACGUCAUCAGUCAACAGUCCACGGUUUGACCACGCAGAUGAACAGUAACACGGUUUGACCCGGAUGAACAGUAACACGGUUUGGUUGAAAAUAAUCCUGUGUGAUGCAUGCACCGUACGCGAGAUUUUUCGUCCACUAGUAUGCUGCCACGUCACCAUCAACAGUACAUAAGAAUUUUAGUCCAACAGGAUCGUGACACCUCAUCAGUCAAUGCCACAUCAUCGGUCAAUGCCACAUCAUCGAUCCGUCUAUGUGAACAGUGUCGUGAACAGUAACGUAGACAGUACCGUAUACGUGAAUAGUACCGUACAUGUGAAUAGUGCCAUUUUUUCUUUUAUGCUCCUCCUAAGGUUUUCGAUCGUCCUGAGUUCAAAAGUGAUGUCCGUUUUGCCGUCUGAUCUCUCCUUUAUUGUGAAAUGACUAUAAUGCCCCUAAAAUACAUAAAAUACUUAAUUAAAAUAACACACACGUAAUUACAUCACAAGAAGGUUAAAUACAUAAAAGUAAGAGUUGUUAGUAAGACUUGAAAUGUAAAAUGAUGGUUUUCUCCUUUAUAAAUAUGCAUUUUCUAAUACUCAACAAUGGGGACCAACCAAGACUACAUCAAUUGGUGGAAGCCAUUAUUUUGUUAUAUUUGUUGAUGAUUUCUCUAGACGUGUAUGGGUGUACACCAUGCGAGCAAAGGAUGAGGUUCUAGAGAUUUUCGUGAAGUGGAAGAAAUUGGUGGAGACUCAAACUGGCAGAAAGAUCAAAGUAUUACGAUCUGAUAAUGGGGGUGAAUAUACUUCUGAUCCAUUCUUGCAAGUAUGCCAGAACGAGGGUAUUAAAAGACAUUUCACGGUGAGACAUACUCCGCAACAGAACGGUGUGGCUGAGCGUAUGAAUCGUACUUUACUGGAGAAGGUACGAUGUAUGUUAUCUAAUGCUGGUUUAGAUAAAAAGUUUUGGGCUGAAACUGUGAGCUACGCAAGUCACUUGGUAAAUCGGUUGCCUUCUGCUGCAAUUGGAGGUAAAACUCCUAUGGAAAUGUGGUCUGGAAAGCAUGCACAAGACUAUGAUUCCCUUCGUGUAUUCGGGUGUCCAGCUUAUUAUCAUGUCAAAGAUGGUAAACUGAAUCCUCGUGCUAGAAAAUCUAUCUUUGUGGGAUUCAAAGGUGGAGUAAAGGGCUUCAAGCUUUGGGAUCUCGAAGAUAAAAAGUUUGUGUGUAGCAGAGAUGUCACAUUUGAUGAAGCUUCAAUUAUAAAAGCUUCAAGUUCUCAGCAGGUGGAGAACAAGACCACAGAGGUAUUGCAGCGGGUGGAGUUUGAUGCAACUCCAUAUGUACCAGUUAGUUCUACAUCAAAGAAUGGUUCAACUAUGGAGGUGACACCUAAAGUUGAAGAAGAGGUUGUUUCUUCUGAUGUCCCACAAAAUGAAGAAACAAUUGAUGAUGUAGAUGAUGAUGAUUUUAUAGCAACAAGGAGGCCAAAAAGAGAGAUAAAGAAACCCGGAUGGCUUACUAAAGAUAUGGUGGUAGCCUAUGCACUUCCAGUUAUUGAUGAUGACAUCCCCAAUACUUUCGGUGAAGCAUUACGCAGCAAUGAAAGUGAUCAGUGGAAGCUAGCCAUGGAGGAAGAGAUGAAAUCUCUCCAUCAAAACCAGACUUGGGAACUUGUAAAGUUACCAAAGGGGAAAAGGGCUAUUGGCAAUAAAUGGGUCUACACCAAAAAGCAAGGAUCUCCGAAUCAAACAACUCCUCGAUACAAGGCAAGGCUUGUGGCAAAAGGUUUUGCUCAAAAGGAAGGUAUUGACUACAAUGAAGUUUUCUCUCCAGUUGUAAAACAUACUUCCAUUCGUAUCCUACUUGCCUUAGUUGCAGAAUAUGAGUUAGAGUUGGCUCAGUUGGAUGUUAAGACGGCGUUCUUACAUGGAGAUUUAGAGGAGGAAAUCUAUAUGAUUCAGCCUUGUGGUUUCAAAGUUGCUGAAAAGGAGAAUCAUGUGUGUAGGUUGAUUAAAUCUUUGUACGGACUGAAGCAAUCGCCAAGGCAGUGGUACAAAAGAUUUGAUCAAUUUAUACAAGGGCAGAAAUUCACCAGAAGUGAACACGAUCAUUGUGUUUACUUUAGAAGACUACCAGAUGGAGCUUUCAUCUAUUUGUUACUCUAUGUCGACGAUAUGCUUAUAGCUUCGAAGAAUAGAGAUGAGAUCGAAAGAUUAAAGAAGCAGCUGACUUCUGAGUUCGAGAUGAAAGACUUGGGUGAUGCACAAAGAAUACUUGGGAUGGAGAUUCAUAGAGACAAGAAGAAUGGGAGCGUAUGGUUGACUCAAAAGUCUUAUUUGAAGAAAGUGCUAGAAAGAUUCGGUAUGGAUGACAAAACUAAACCGGUAUGUACACCUCUAGCUCCUCAUUUCAAAUUAAGCUAUUCUUCAUGUCCUAGAUCUCAAGAGGAGCGCGAUUACAUGGCUCGUGUUCCAUAUGCUAGUGCUGUGGGUAGUCUUAUGUAUGCUAUGGUAUGCACAAGGCCCGAUAUAUCUCAAGCAGUGAGCAUAGUUAGUAGAUACAUGCACAAUCCGGGUAAAAAUCAAUGGCUUGCGGUAAAGUGGAUUCUCCGAUAUCUGUAUGGGAUAGUUGAUGUUGGGUUAUUGUUCAAGAAGGAUUGUGGUCAACAAUGUGUUGGGUAUUGUGAUUCUGAUUUCGCUGGAGACCUUGACAAGCGAAGAUCAACAACGGGCUACGUAUUCACAUUGGGUGGAGGUCCGGUUAGCUGGAGGUCGAUUAUACAAUCGACAAUUGCUCUGUCCACUACGGAAGCAGAGUAUAUGGCAGCAACUGAAGCUGUAAAAGAAGCUAUCUGGUUGAAAGGCUUGUUAGGUGAUUUGGGAGUAAUCCAGGAGAACAUUGCGGUCUUCUGUGAUAAUCAAAGUGCGAUAUUCCUUGCGAAGAAUCAAACAUAUCACGCUCGGACGAAGCAUAUAGAUGUGAAAUAUCAUUAUGUGAGAGAGAUUAUCAAGAGCGGUGUUGUGUUGUUGAGAAAGAUCGAUACCAAAGAUAAUCCAUCAGAUAUGUUGACGAAGGUAGUUUCUGGAGUUAAGUUUCAACAUUGCUUGAAAUUAAUUCAAAUCCUUCGAUUGUGUUAAGAUAUAUCCUUCGGGAAUUAUGAACUACGGUUGGCUUGAUCCCAAAUUUUGGGUACGUAGGCAGUCGGAUAGAUGCAGCCAAUGUGGAUCCUUUUGAGGAUCAUGUGAGGGAUGAAGUUUGGCGGAUCAUUGUCAAUCGGCUCAGAUUUGGAUAAAUUUUCGCCGAGGUGGAGAAUUGUUGAAAAGUCAGAAGCAAAUGCCAACUUUGCAACUGUUAGCAUGAAGGCUUUGGAGAAGCAAAAUCCAAUUUGGUUUUUGUUAGCCGAAAAGAAAGAAUGGAAAAAGGGGAUGUAUUGAAAAUAAUAAUAAUUAUUUAUUAUAUUUUCAAUUAUUUUAUUCUUUGCAUAGUGCCAACAUUUUUCCUAUAAAUAGCUUAGGAUUUCAUUCAUUUGAAAUCAUCCCAAAAUUGUUAAGCUUAUAAGUUUCUAAGCUUUUGAGAGAAGUGAGAGAAGUGUGUCUGGGGAAUUUAUCUUUCCUGCAGAGUGUGAGAGUACUGGGUAUAUUUGGGUUUCUGGGAAGUGAGAUUCGUUACUCAAAUAUUGUAUUCUAUUAAUUGUUAAAUAAACAAUUAUUCUUUCUUGCCUCCGUGGAUGUAGGUUUAAUUACCGAACCACGUAAAUUCUUGUGUCCUUUAUUUUUCAGUAAUUUUUUGUGCGCUUGAUUCCGCAUUCUGCGCACAACAAGGCCAUCACUUUAAAAUUUGAACAUGCAAGGAAUAUUAUUCGGCGUUUCCAGUACCGAUCUCCACGAAUCACCAUUAACCUCUAGGAAGACCUAAAAGACUUAGAAUUUAUAGAUCUUGAAAUCUUCUCAUUCUCGAGCAAUCAACAUAAAAAAUUGUAAUUAAUACUGAAAAAUAUGAUUGUUAUGUAAUCAAAGGUAAAAAUUAAGAAAUUAUUUGGUAGCAAUGGAGGUUCCUAAUAAGUUUUAGUGGUCAAAGAAAAUUUUGUUUAGAUUGCACAUGGCCAAGGGUGGAAAAUUAGAAUAAGUAAGGAGUAAGAAAAUAAGAACGAGAAAGUACAAUUAAUAGACGGGUAAGAAGAAUAUAUAGAGGCGGUAGAUAUGAAAGCGAAAGACACGAGGCAAAUAGCGUGAAAAUCACAAGUGAAAUAAGAAUAUUGUUUUUGGAUUUCUUCCCCCAAGACCCAUUCGUUUUCCACUACGCACAACAUUUGAAAAUGUAAUUGCAUUAAAAAAAUGUAUAAUAAGAAUUUAUAAAUUUAUUUUGUACAAAUUAAUAAGAUGUACCUCUAUCAGUUAAAGUAAAUCAUGUGGAACAUUACCAAUACAGAUUGAUUAGGAGCCAAGGAGGUGCUCAUGCAACUUCAUGCAGACCAUGUUUCACAUGCGGGAUGAAUUUGUUUGAGUGUCGAAGCAAUAGCGGGAGAACCACCACGUCAAACUAUUUGUUGCCGGUGUGGAAGAGAAUCAAAUUGUGGUUGUCAUGUUUGAUUUGGAUUCGGUCACUAGGUUUAUCUUUAGAUGUUUUUUCUUGUUUUAUUUUACUAUAUUCUAGCUGAUAUUGUUGGCUAAGAACCAAAGACUUGUGAUGUUAGCUACUAUAAAUAAGUUUCCCACUGCGAAUAAAGGGAGGGAACAAUUAUCAAACUAAAUUAUCUCUAGUCGUUCUCACCAAAAGCAUAACAACAUUAUCAUCUUUUAAUCAUUGUUAGCAAGCAUCUGACUGGGGCCUAUCAUAGUCAUGCCUAGUGACAUAGCAAGACUUUAAACCCAAUAAAGGUAAAUGUAAUUUACACAAAGAAUUUGAUUUUCCUCAAGUGUUAUUAGAUAAUUUUAGAAUUAAUAUACUCAUUUAAGGUGAUUUUGAUGACAAAAUUAUAAUUUUGAGCAUUUUUUUUGUAUAUUAUUCAAGUUGGUAGGGAGAUAAAAUUUUUAGUUGAAAUAAAAAAAUAAAUUUUUAUGAAAAAAUUAGUUCCACUACUAUUUAUGACACGAUAAUUCGUACAAAAUAAAUUUAUAUAAGAAUUUGUAAUUAAGUCGCUGCCAUAAAUAUGUAACCUCAUGAUGGACUUGAACUUGUUUGUUAGUUUAUACUCAUUUAUCUUCAUAUAGCUAUAGUUCUAUAUUAUAUGAAUUUCACUACUGAGUUUUAUCUAAUGACAUUAAUGAACAUGAUUUUAAGAAGUCCCGCUCUAGUUUUCGUAAGUAGCUCGGUUCAUUAAUUUGUAACACUAACUAAUAAGGCCCUCUUAACAUAUUAAAAAAAAAACUGAUUGGCUAUUAUCUUAUAAUGGUAGCUAGGUUAAAGGCAUUCGGUCAAAUGUUAGAAACAAUGCAAUUUUAAAAAGCCAACGGGAUUCCAACCCCCCCCCCCCCCCCCCAAAAAAAAGCCAAUGGUAAAAGGUCAUCAUCAAUUUUAUGUUUUGAACUCCUUAAUCUGUAAUGAAUUUUAAUUUUCCCCCUGUCUUGCGUAAUUAAUUUAAUUAUUACACACAUUAAGAUCAAGGUAACAUCUCUUUUAUGUGUAGUAAAUGACUUUUCAAUGUUUUGUUCUUUAUGUUCUUCACUCAAAAUUGUUCAAAACAGUAAAAGUAAUGGACAUAAAAGUACAGAUAGGACAAUUGCUUACUAAUCUGAUUUAAAUUCUUGUGUGCAGUACUACAAUUAUAGAGUGAAGAUGAUAAAUUUUUAUCAUAAUAGAUGUAGUCAACAAUGUGACAGUAUAGCAAAGUACUGUUAAUCAAUACCAAUUUUCUUUGUUAUUUAUCAUGACAUUUCUCAAUGUGUACUGUGAGUUUAUAUCUCAAUUUUAUUCGUGAAUAAUUUUUUAGUUCUUAAAAAUAGACAUUUAAUUAAUAAGACACCUUGGUUUGAUUCAUAUACGCACAUUCUGAUACUUACCAAAAAAAAAAAAUCUGUAUGUCUAAUUUUUAGUCCUAAUAUUGAUUGGCUAGUUGUUUCUGACAUUUUUGCCCAUAUAUAUAGUUCUCCUUAUAAGGAAAGAAAUCUAAUAAUAUUAUGAUCUUUAUCCUUAUUUAGUUAUGGCAUAAAAGAGUUUAAUUGUGGUAGUUAGUCCUAACAUUGACUGGCUAGUUGCUUUUAACAUUUUUGCCCAUAUAUAUAAUUCUCAUUGUAAGGAAAGAAAUCUAAUAAUGUUAUCAUCUUUAUCCUUAUUUAGUUAUGGCAUAAAAGAGUUUAAUCAUGGUAGUAUUGUUCUUAUGUGUCUACUCUUUUGCAUAGUUGUCUUUGUUAUUAUUUUGGUAAUCUAUUAAAAGAAUCUAAUUGAAUACUAUUUAUUUACGUUAAGAUUCUCUAGCUAUUAAUUUUCUUUUAUUUCUUUGCUUUCUCUCUCUCUCUUUUUCAAAUUUCCAUAUUUAGAGAUACUUAAUUAGUACAUACGUGUAGUAUUAUUUUCGUAUGCAAUACCUGAUUUAGGAAUGUUUUGUUAUUCAUGUCCCUUCAAAAGUUUUCAAAACAAUAAUAAUAAUGCAUGAAAAAUAAUAAUAUUGCAAAUCUCAUAAUGAUGACUAAUCAGAGUUCAAUUCUUAGUUGCAGUAUUACACUUACAAAUUUAAAAUGUAAAAUCUUUACUAUAAUUAAUGUAGUAAAUAAUGUGGCAUUAUAACAUCUUCUCAUUGUGUCACAUGAGUACGCAAAUUAUUAUAUCUUAAUUAUAUAAUUGUAUAAAUUUUUUUCUCAAAACUAAAAAUUUAACUAAUAAGACACAUGGUUUGAUUCAUGUACAUAUCAUUACAUAUACCUCCCCACCCCCCCCCCCCCCCCUCCCCCUAAAAAAGUGAUGAUAGAGUUGCAAACUCUUUAGCAAAUUUAUUUUGUACAAAAUGAUAUGAUUUAAAUUUAUUCGUUGAAUGAAAUACAGAAAAUAAAAAUAGAUCAUGUAAACCAACAAUUAUUUAGUCUAACUAAUUAAAUUAUACCACAUUAAUUUAUUCAAAUGUUUUUUUUACUAUAUCUUAAAAAAGAAAGAAAGAAAAUCUAUAUUUUAAUUGGCUAGUUGUUUUCACCCAUAUAGAGAAUUCUCCUUGCAAGGAAAGAAAUCUAAUACUUGUAUCAUCUUUAUCCUUAUUUAGUUUUCUUAUAAAACAGUGUAACUGUAAUAGUAGUGUUCUUAUCCCAUCGACCUUUUUGUAUAGUUGUCCUUAUCCUUCUUUGGGUUCUUUUUCAGUCCUAACAUUAACUGGCUAACCGUUUUUGCACAUACCAAAUCCUCCUUGUAAGGAAAGCCGAUAAUAUUAGCAUUUUUGUCCCUAUUUAGUUCUCUCAUGAAAGAGUUUAAAUGUACUAAUAUUAUUCUUAUCCCUUACACCCUUUUGCACAUUUGUCUUUAUCCAUCAUUUUAUGUCUUUUAGUUGUCUCUUAUAUAUUUUCCUUUUUAUGAGUUGAUUAUUUAGUUAUCUCAUUAAAGAGUUUGAACAAUAAAAUACUAAACCUGCACAAAUAAAUUAUGUGUCACUCAUUUAUUAGUAUGCGACGUUAAUUGGAAUACAAAUUAAGAUCUAAUUAUUAGGAUCACUAGCCCUAUUAUUAUUAUUAUUAUUAUUAUUAUUAUUAUUAUUAUUAUUAUUAUUAUUAUUAUUAUUAUUAUUAUUAUUAUUAUUAUUAUUAUUAUUUAUACGGUGUUCUAUCAUAUCUUAUGCUGGUGAUUGCCACUAGAUUAUUUCUUUAAAAUGCAUACUCAAGUUGUAAUACCGGUACUGUAAAUUUCUUGAAUGACAAUAAAAUCGUUUGGAUGCAAGCUAGUUUAAUUGGUAAAAUCUCUUGAGUGAAAACAAGAAGAGUAAUGAUAUAGUCACAAACUCUUGUACAAACUUAUUUUUUACAAACUGAUAUGAUGUUAGUUCAUUGGUUGAAUUAAAUAUCUCUUGGUCCACAUGAUUUAUUAUAUUAUUUUAUAUUUUCAUUCAAUCAAUGAAUUAAUGUCAUAUCAGUUUAUACAAGAUAAGUUUGUAUAAGAAUUUGUGGCUGUAUCGAUCACUCUACAAAAUUUAAGAUAUGUAAUACUACUAGAGAAAAUAUUUAGCUAUUCCUAGACUAAAAAAUAAAUGGCUACACUUCACUAUAAAUUUGCCACCUACAAUCUCUCAAGUUGCAGUUAACAAGCAUACAUCUCUCUUUAUAAACCCAUCUUCUCCCCUUUCCUUUUCGUACAGUUCCAAAGCUUUUGCCAAACAAAUCAGAUGAACGAUAUGCUCUUCAAAAUACUUAAAAAUCAGUGAAAGCUAUUGAAUGGAGAGUCUAUUUGAAUUAUUCAAAUACUUCACCGCGUUUCAUAUUGAUUAUGAAACAAAAGUGUGGCCUCUUCUUAUUAGUAUAGAAGAGAGAUCAAGAUAUUUGAAUUACGUCGGAUUAGCGAUUUACCAGAAUGUUUCUGUUGAAGCUACGCAUCGGUAUUUCUUUAAUCUUAAUUUUCUUUCUCAUUGAGUAUGAAUUUCAAGUACUACCAAUUAUGUUUGACAAAAUAUCUAUACAUUGUGAUAGGGAAAUAAAAAUUUAUAUUAUUUCUGCGAAGAUCAACGAAUGCGGCGGACACGAGAAGGUAUGCUGCGUAAUUAUAAUCUCUGUUUAUUAAUUAAAAAAGUGAUUUUUUUUCUUUGUUUUGGAAAAUUCUUCUCUGUUUUUUUAAAACAUGAUCGCAUAAUUGUUUUCUCUGUUCUGGGAUCAGGACACGAGAGCACCAUAAUUUGCAUUCACAUAGACAACAACAAGGGAUUUUUAUUAACAUAUUUUUAUUGUUUUGCCUUUGUCAAAUGCAUUCGAUUGCAGGUACUAUACGACGAGAACCGGGACUGUCCUGCGUUCUUGUGGAAUCAGCUCGAUUCAUUUUCAUACUAGGGAUCAAAUCUUGGAUUCGCCACUGCUGGAAUGGCUUGAACGGAUGAACUUUGUCACAUAGUGUGCAUUCAAGCUGCAGCAUAUAUAUCUUCUCCUGGGUGCUUGUGUCACCAAGGACUUGGGUAAUCUGACGGCGCUUGGAAACAUCACUGUGUUAUAAUUGAUUAAUUCCGUCAUCAAAUUAUUCUCAAUGUGGGUAAAUCCAUACUUGUUGAUCCACAUUGGGACAAGUUCUGGGACCGCUGGAAUUACAAGGUUUUCCACAUUGAGCAUACGAAGAGCCUGAAAAUUAGAUUCGCAUACCAGCACCGGUGGUUGCACUGGCGGUUUGAAUUUCAAGAUUUUCAACAUUAAGCUUACCAGCAGCCUGAAAGUCGAUCAGAUUCGCAUUAGAACUUGUUCCAGGCAGACAUAUAUUGAAAUGAAAAAUAUGACACAUACAGCUGAUUAUUAGUAGCUUCAGCACCAGCGCUUGCAGAUUCGAUUUGGGCGAAUAGUUUUCGGCGUCAUUGUUCCUUUGUAAACCCAUGGACCCUGUAAAAUUGAAGUGAUGUGAAUACUCCCAAGUUAAAUGAAAACUGGUGGUUGUAAAAUAUGUAUGUACUGGAUUGAUUAUACGAGAACACACAGAAUGAAGUGAUGAAUACUCCCAAGUUUUUCUUAAACCGAACCGAUUACUUCACAAAAACUAAAAUAAAUAAAAUUUCAUAAAAAUUUAAUCUAAAUAAAUCAGCUCGAUUCCACUUUACUUCCCCAGAUUAUUGUAUUCAAUUGAAAUAUUUGUUGAAAAGUAUAUUUAGAUUAUCACUGUAGUAUUGCGUGUGUUUAUCAAUUAUAUUUUCAUGAAUAUGUUUUAAAAAUAAUCUAACCAUUAAAACAUAGUUAUGCUGGCAGAUUGAAUUAACCGUAAUUUUUAUCUUUAUUUUAUCUUAUACCUUUACAUUAUUGGUUUCCUAUAGUUUAUUAUUAGUGCUUCUCAAAGGGAAAAUCAUAUUUAAAUUAUAAUAAUUUAAUAUAAAUUAUUAGUUUAGCAAAAUUUGGUUUGGGGAUUAACAGGGAAAAAUUGGGAGAUCGAAUGACAAAGUUAAUCUCUUAACCAGUAACAAUAACCGUUCAUGCAAUCUAUUCCUUUUUGGGAAAAUGUAAAAUUAAUUGCUACUUUAAUUAAUGUUUUCAUAAAAUAAAUAAUUAAUGAACAUUAGCAAUUUUGAUAGGCACACAUACAUACAUACAUAGAAACUAAGCCUGGAACCGGAUUGGGGCCUGUGGAACACAUCCAAAGGUCAUAAUUUGCUGCACUUAGUGGACAGCACCACGUGCAGCAAAUAAAUAAAUAAAUAAAAUAAGGUAAAGGUCAAUCUAACGCGCCAAUCCAAUUCCAGAGCUUAGUUAUAGUUCAGAAUACUGGACUGAAAAUUCAUAUAAUAAAUAAUAAAAAUAAUGACAAUAAUAAGUUAAAUGGUAUUUUGUAAUUUGAAAUAAUUUAUUCCACAUAUUAAUAAUAAUACAGUUCAUUCCGAUUCUGAUUUGUACAGUUAAGAUAAAUAAUGAAUUUUGAUUCUUAUUCUAGCUCAUUUCAAUUCAACCCAUUCUAAUUACGAAUUAGUAAAUGCAAUAUAUAUAUAUAUAUAUAUAUAUAUAUAUAUAUAUAUAUAUAUAUAUAUAUAUAUUUCAAAUAGUGAUUGAAAGGAAAACAUUGAUUCGUAUUACCUAAGAUAUUUAAAAGGAGGAGGCCACCACUUUAAAAUUUGGACAUGCAAGCGAUAUUCUUCGGCGUUUCAAGUACCGAUCUCCAAGAAUCACUGGCCAUUAACCCCUGGGAAGACCAAAAUGACUUAGAAUUUGUAGAUCUUGAAAUCUUCUCAUUCUCGAGCAAUCGACAUAUGUAAAAAAUUGUAAUUAAUAGUAAAAACAUGGUAGUUAUGUAAUCAAAGGUAAAAAUUAAGAAAUUAUUUGGUAGCAAUGGAGGGUGGAAAAUGAGAAUAAGUAAGGAGUAAGAAAAUAAGAACGAGAAAGUAAGGACUAUAAAAAAAAUGGUAGUUAUGUAAUCAAAAGUAAAAAAUAAUAAGUUUUAGUGGUCAAAGAAUUUUUUUUAGAUUGCAAAUCGCUAAGGGUGGAAAAUGAGAAUGAGUAAGGAGUAAGAAAAUAAGAACGAGAAAGUACAAUUAGUAGACUGGUAAGAAGAAUAUAUAGAGGGGAAAGAUAUGAAAGCGAAAGACACGAGGCAAAUAGCGUGAAAAUCGAAAGCGAAAGAAGAAUAUUAGUUUUGGAUUUCUUCCCCUAAGAAUCAUUCGUUUUCCGCUACACACUGUAUUUGAAACUGUGAUCGCGUUAAAAAAAAUUGUAUAAUAAGAAUUUAUAAAUUUAUUUUGUACAAAUUGAUAUGUUGUAAUUAUAUUGUUUAAAGUAAAUUAUGUUUAUAAACAUAUUUUGUACAAAUUUAUUAUGUUUUUUUUUUAAAUGGAAAAGAUUUCAUUAACCAAAAGGAAUUACAGACUAUUUAAUAGCCACAAAGGUGGAACGAAAUUCCACUCCUGGGGACCUGACAUAGAACUUACUGCUCUUGCAACAGAGUGAGCAGCAAAGUUCGCAGACCGACAUACAAACGAGAAUUUCACUUCUCCUAAAGACAUAACUAGAGCUCGACAUUCUUCGAUAAUUAAUCCAAAACCAUUUGGACCUGAAAACUCCUCAACCAAAGCUCGGAACACUUGUUGGCAGUCCAUCUCUAUAAUAACACAAGGAAACUGCAACCCUUUAAGCCAACUAAGAGCUUCACAGAUGUCAAGAGCUUCAGCUUCCCGAGCUCCAAAAUUUCCUGCCAUACCAGCACACUGUGCUGCCAAGAAACAUCCUUCUGAAUUUCGAAGCACACAACCAAACCCAAUCUUUCCCUGAGAUGCAAAAACAGCUGCGUCCACAUUGCGCUUAACCCAGCCAAACUUAGGCUUCUCCCAACACAAUGCCCCAUAAACCUGCCUGGGAACAUCAUCAUUAACAUAAUACAGUUGCUUCUUUACUGCUUGCCACUGAUAAAGAAGCUGCCCAGCUGAGUUAACUGUUAAGAACUUGAUAAGCUGAGCUAGCUUUGUUGUUCCAAACUCUAUCAUUGCGAUUAAUCCAAAUCCUCCAGCAAAGCAUAACAACAAUAUUGCACUCAUCUUUAUUGCAACGUGUAAAGAUGUGAUCAAGCCAAUCCAAGAAAGAAGAGCAGUGGCCAACAAAACCCACAGGGGAAGAGAUUCAACAAGACUUAGCAAAGCUGCACUCAAUCAAAGAAUGUAUAACAGUUUCCUCAUAAGCAUUGCACACAAUACAAGUAGAGGGAAUAUCCACCCUUUUAGAAAUUAAAUUAACUGCAGUAGGCAACACAUUGGCUGCAUCUCGCCAAAUAAAAUUCUUAACCUCUUUCGGCACAUUUAAGUUUCACAGUUUUCGCCAUACACCUGCAAAAAAAUCAGGGGUAGUAGAAGUUAAUAGCUUAUAACAGCUACGAACCGAAUAGCAACCUCGAGAGUCAGCCAACCAAUACCACACAUUAUUAUCUCGGCGGGAACUAAGAGGAAUUUACAGAAUCAAUGCUUUAUCUCUUGAGUUGAAAAUGUUCGAAACCACAUCAUCAUCCCAUACUCGUUAGUUAGACAUCAUUAUACUACUUACAGAUGUUGUAGCAAGUUCCUCGUUCAGAUUAGAAGAAAUAAAGCCAUCAUUGAGAUCUGGAAGCCACGGAUACUUACUGAUGGAAAUCGUUUGUCCACUGUCAACUUGCACUCUACUCCCUUGAAUCACCACGUCCUUUGCUGCCAAAAUAGAGCACCACACAUAGCUGGGAUUGUGCCCUAAAGAAGCUCGAAGAACAGAAGUUCGUGGAUAGUAGCGAGCUUUGAGAAUUUUAGCCAUAAGAGAAUCAGGACGAGUUAAUAAUCGCCACAGUUGUUUUCCUAGCAUCGUAAUAUUGAAUAGAUGAAGUUGUUUAAAGCCAAGGCCACCACAACCCUCUGGUUUGCACAAAUAUUCCCAUCUAACCCAAGUAAUCCAUUUCCCUCCACUGUGAUUGCUACGCCACCAGAAGGAAUUCAUAAUCACUUCUAAUUCUCUACACAACUCAUUUGGCAGCAAGUAAAUGUUCAUAGCAUAAUUAGGCAUAACAAGUGCCACAAUCUUUAGUAAAAUCUCUUUGCCAGCCCAAGAGAGCAUCCGCGUACUCCACCAUUAAAGUCUUUGCCAGAGCCUGUCCCGAAUAUAUCUGAAGACUUCUUUCUUUUUCCUACCAAUGUAUGAUGGCAGACCAAAAUAGGCUCCAUGAUUAGUGGUGUUGGUAACCAUAAGAAUAUCACAUACUUGCCGAGUUCCAACUUCAAGCACAUUAGCACUAAAUGAGAUUAAAGACUUGUUAAAAUUAACCACUUGGCUAGAGGCUCGACCAUACGCCGCCAGCAAAUGCUUAAUUAAGGAAGCUUCGUUGAUGUUUGCCCGAAAGAAAAUAAAGCUAUUAUCUGUAAAAAAAAAAAAAACAAAUGCUUAAUUAAGGACACCGUCGGAGCUCCUCUCGCAAAUUUGACUCCAUGAAGCAAGCCAUUUCUUUCUUGCCUUCGAAUUAAUGAGCUUAAACCUUCCGCACAAAUAAUGAAUAAAUACGAAGAUAAUGGAUCUCCUUGGCGAAGACCUCUGCAAGGAACAAUCAGACCAAUCACCUUACCCUCACGGAGCACACUAUACCGGACAGUAGAAACGCAGAGCAUAAUUAAGUCCACCCACAUCGCAUCAAACCCCAGCUUGAGCAUCAUAGCUUGAAGAAAGUUCUACUCAAUCCUGUCAUAUGCCUUAGACAUAUCAAUUUUCAAAGCAGCUACCCCAUUUUUUCCUUGCCGCUUUCGCUUCAAGAAAUGCGAAAGUUGAGUAUGGAUGGUUGUUGUAUCGGCAACCCUAGUAUGUCUACUACUAGAGGUGUUCUUCGUGAUCUCUAGGGAGUAGUCUUAGCUGCCUUUGGUUCUUUCUUGGGGCACUAGUUAAUACCGUUUGCUGAGCUAAUGGCUAUGCUUGAAGAGUUGGAUCUUGCUGCUCAGCUGGGGUUUAAUGUUCUGGAGGUGGAAGCUGACUCGACCAUUGUGGUUUCUUGGGCUAAUUCUCAUUGUUAUGUGUGGUGGGGAUAUGUUUAUCUCCUUGGUCGGAUUCGUACUUUAUCUUCUAGUCCUUCUAUUGUUAUUAACAAUGUCUUUCAGGAGGGUACUUUUGCCACAGACUCUAUGGCCAAUUGGGCAUGUACUCACCAAACUCAUCAGCGAUUCUUUAGCACUGGAGAUCUUCCUUCUAGUUUAUUUGGCAUCCUAGAUUUAGAUGAUCUCAAGUUCUCACAUGUUCGACAUUGAUUUUGUUUUAUUAGUUCUUUUAUUUUUUUGUUUGUUUUUAUUUUUUCUGGGAAGUUUUGGCUUAUGUUCCUCUCCUCAUGUUACUUUCAUUAUCUGAUUUAUAUUAUAAAUAGAGGUUUAACCUAAACCCAUACCUUCAUGGUGGUUUAAAUUAAAAAAUAAAAAAUUAUGUACAUGAUUCUUAAAUAAAAUUUUUCCAUAAAUUUGCAUAGAAAUAUUAUUUCUGCCGCUGGAAUGAUUUUUUUUUAUUUGAAUUCACUUAGGCAAUGUGUAAAUGAUUUGUUAAUUCCAAUCUAUUAAAUCGAAUGACGUGUUAUUGUGCUGAUUGUUUAAUUGAGACAAAAAUGCAUGCCAAAUCGUUGCUGAUAAAAUGCCGAUCCGUCACGAUUAUCUUGAUUUUUUAUUUUUCCAUUUCGUUAAGGGAUCCAGUUAAAUGAAAAUUAUAAUUUGUUAAUUUAAUUUUACUAAGUACAUUUGUUAAUUUAAUUUAAAUUAAAAUAAUGGGUUGCAAAUUGAAAAUAAAGUGAAAUGGGCUGCUGCCGUGGCCUGGGGCUGCGGUCCUUUUUUCGUUAUUUUCAGUUAAAUGAAAAUUAUAUAUAUAUAUAUAUAUAUAUAUAUAUUCUGGACCGCAAUUAGUGCAACUAGGAUUUUUCCAUUUCGUUAAGGGAUCCAGUUAAAUGAAAAUUAUAAUUUGUUAAUUUAAUUUCAUUAAGUACAUUUGUUAAUUUAAUUUAAAUUAAAAUAAUGGGUUGCAAAUUGAAAAUAAAGUGAAAUGGGCUGCUGCCUUGGCCUGGGGCUGCGGUCCUUUUUUCGUUAUUUUCAGUUAAAUGAAAAUUAUAUAUAUAUAUAUAUAUAUAAAAUAUAUUCUGGACCGCAAUUAGUGCAACUAGGAUUUAACUAGUCGUCUAGAUACCAUACUAAGUUAUUAAUUAGGACUAAAUUUUCUUUUAAAUCCUUAUUAAUUAUAAAUUGGGCCUUACAAAUAUGAACUAACUAGAAAAUAGAACCGCGUUUCACGCGGCUUUGAAAAAAAAUUAGUAUUAUUUUUUUUUAUUUUACACUUGAUGAAACUGAUAAAAAAAUAUGAAUUGACUUUUUUUUAAGAUGAGGCAGCCUUAUAAAAAACAAAAAAAAAAACUAUUAGCCAGCAAUACAAAAAAAGAAGCAACACAAGAUAAAGAAUAAAAUGAGAGAAUAUAUUAUAGAGUGAUUUUAUUCAUUCCAAUUGUGUGUGUACAAAAUAAAAAAAUGAGCUCUCCUUUUAUAGUUACAUAAUCACUCCAUGAAAUUAAUGAAAAAUUAUGGAUCAUAAUUCCUUAUGAGAUAGUGGGAGUUAUAGAGAAGCUAAAGGUUGCCUAUGACUUUUUUUAAGAUGAGGCAUCCUUAUAAAAAACAAAAAAAAAAAACUAUUAGCCAGCAAUAUAAAUAAAGAAGCAACGCAAGAUAAAGAAUAAAAUGAGAUAAUAUAUUAUAGAGUGAUUUUAUUCAUUCCAAUUGUGUGUGUACAAAAUAAAAAAAUGAGCUCUCCUUUUAUAGUUACAUAAUCACUCCAUGAAAUUAAUGAAAAAUUAUGGAUCAUAAUUCCUUAUGAGAUAGUGGGAGUUAUAGGGAAGCUAAAGGUUGCUAAUGGGAGAUAGUAGGGAGACUAAGAGAUAUAUGUUAUGAACAUUUACAUUUAUUUUAAUAAAUUCAUAACACUCCUCAUUACAAAGAAUAUGCCUCAUUAAAAUCUUUACAUAAUUGUUAUUGUGUAAUAACAAUCAAAUUAAUUAUGAGAAGAUGAAAAGUCAAAUCUAAAAGAAAAUUUCUCUAUUUAUUAGAUAAUAGAGAAUAUACAAAGAUGAGAAAUUGUGAUGCCACAUCACCUUCUCAAGUCUCAGCUUUAUAUAUAUAUAUAUAUAUUACUGUUUAAAUUCGGUUUAAAAUUCAACAUCUUAAUCUUUAUUUAAAAUUUAAAAUUUGUACUUCAACAACGCAAGCCUGAUAUAAUUUUCCUUUCGGAAAAAACCCACAAAAUUAUAGGAGGCCCACGGCCCCUACCCAUUCUAUUUUGAUCGUUACCCCACCGCCCGAAUUAACUUUACACCCGAUUUGUCGAAAAUAUGGCGCCAAUUUGCGCCCGCGAAAUUCAAAUUAAAAAAAUUAAAUAAUAAACAAAAAUAUGUUGCUAUCACCGUUAUCCUUCUGCUCAGAGGGAGAGAAAAAAAGAUCUGAUGGAAAAUCCAAAUCAACUCGGUUCUCAGGUACGGAUAAUUCUGCUGCUACAUAUUUUAAUCAUUAUCAUCUGCUUCCUGUUUGGUUCCCUAGAAAACGCAGGAAAAUGAACGAAUUAAAUGGUUAUUUUCGAAUUCCCCAUAAUUCCUUUAUUUCUCCAUAAAUACAUAUGACGAUAGAAAUGUCUGAACUCUAUAAUACGAUCUUUAUUGUCACAGAUUCAAGGUUCCACAACUCCGCUAUCGCUUUCUUCUGGUUAGUACAGUUCUUUUACAUUUGGUUUUCAUAAUUUAUGAAAUUGCCCUUUCAUUUUAUUUUUAUUUAUUUUUGCUUUUGCUUCUUUGUUUGGGGGGGGGGGGGGGGGGUGUUAUUAGAGCCGCCUGAUGUUAGAAACUGGUUCUUGAGCUAUGAAUAUGAAUCCCCUGUAUUGGGCACAAUUGAUGGAUUCAAAGAUCCUGUUACUAGAGAGAGCGGAUGUUUCGUUUCCAAAGAAAGCACCAAAGAGACAGAAAAUCAUAUUAUCACCAGUGAGGUACUUGAAACCGAAUGCAUUUACUUAAUCAUACAUAAGGUUAGAGUCUCUUUUAUCUAAUAAUUAUUUUUAUUGUGAUAGAUUCUGGAUUCCUCAUGCUUGCCCUCCCAGGUUUCUGGUAUGAGUUGCUUCUUUUCAUUUAUGACGUUUGUUCGAAUGUUCGAUGGUUGCAUGAAGAUGUGAUUUUUUUUUUCUCGUUUUGGUAGAGCCUGCUGACAUUGGAAACUGGUUUUCAAGCUAUGCUUAUGAAUCUUUUGUAUUGGAUACAAAUGAUGAUGUUCAAGAUUCAGUUUCUGAAGGAAGUGAAUGUGAAAAGGAAGGGUCUCUUGUGGGAGAACGCCAUAAAGGACAAGAGAAUAUGAUUGCAACUAGAGAAAUUGAUGUUAAGAGUGAUAGUUCUUUAGGAGAUGAUAAGCCUGAUGAAAAGCCCUCAAUUAAGGUAAAGUUAUGAUUAUAUUUCUUUUGCCUUUUUGGCAUUCUGUUACCUUUUCUAGCAUAUGAAUUUAAAGGUGUAUCCAACAUUAUUUCUUGUAACUAGACAUUAUUGAUUUACUUUCACAACUACAGCGAUAAAAACCAGCUGCAAAGGGCUAAGUUUUUUAUAUCUAACACAUUGAUGUUGAUUCAGAUUUUGGAUUCAAUGGGUCCAUCUACUGUCUUCACAGGUUAGAAUUGCUGCCUUUGAAAAUUCUUAUUUGGUUGUUCAGUAAUUUUGCAGAAGUGAAUUUUGCUUUUGUUUAUUCUUGUGUUAGAACCUCCUGAUGUCAAAAAUUGGUUCUCAAGCUAUGCAUAUGAAUCUCCUGUACUGGAUACAAGUGAUCAAUUUGAAGAUUCACUUCAUUUAGAAAUGGAACCAGAAAAAUUUGUUGUUGAAGAUAGUGAUGCAGAGACAGAAGAGAAAUUGACCAUAAUUAGAAAAUUUAGAAGUGGAGAUGAAAAGGUUGAUGAGGAGAAAGAGCGUUAUAGUUUCGCAAGACAUAAUAGCUCUAUUGAAGUUCGUGAGCAGAAACAGGUUUGUAAGGUACACUUUCUGUAUCUGUCUAUCUCCUUGUUCCAAAAGAAAAUUAAAAUUGUUAUUAAGGAGGGAAAGCAUUUCACAUAUUUGUGGAAGUCAUAUUUUAACUUUCGUGGUCGUGUUGCAGAGAAUUGAUAGGAUUGGAGGGAAAAGAAGUUCGUCUUCUCAGAAUAAGAUACAAUCUGAUAAGAUUUUUAAAGACAUCUUGGAAGGUAAAGCACAGCAAAGCAAUGUCACGAGUCCAUCCAAAGAUAUUAGAGAACUAAGCUUUGAUGAUGAAGGUUCUAUCUCCAAAUUGGAGCUAAAAUUGUCCCAAGAAGCUUGUUCUGUGUCGUGGAAUCUCAAUAGAAUUUCAAGCAGUAAGAAGGAUAAACCUCAAACAAACUCGUUCCAUACGACAGACUUCAAAGAGAAGUUCAUGGAAGAAGUUAGUCCUUUAUCACCUACGAGUAACUCUAAGUUGGCUCAAGAUUGUGGAGCUUCGCCUAGGAAACAAACUCAUAGGAGGAAUGACAAGGAAAAUUAUCAAAAAGGAAUUGCAGAAAAUGGUUUUGUUGCAACAAGGAAACAUGGGAGUACAAGAACAGCAAAUGCAGAUUCUUUGAAAAUGUCGCAAGGGAUUUUAUUAGAGUGUUCAAGGAAUAAUAGAAGUGUUUCGCCUGCUGGUGAAAAGGUUGUUGAUAGAAGAAAGGCAUUGAUAGAAACGACCAAUUAUCAGAACUCUGAUGCUUUAGAGGUCACUGGAAAAUGGAGGUGUCCUCAAAAGGGUAAGCCAAGCCUUGGUCCUCCUCUGAAGCAGCUUCGUCUUGAGCGAUGGAUUCAUAGAGUAUAGAACUCUUAUCACUGUUGGGAGAAGUCUUGGACGCUUAGGAGCGACUUAAGCUAAUUGGUAUUCAAAUUCCAAAAUAAGCAAGCAGGAUCAAGUGCAGUCAACUAGUUAAGAGCAUUCUUAUGUUUUGCAAUAUUCGUUUGACGAGGAGUUAAAAAAAAAAAAAAAAACUUUUCUAGUCUUUUUAGAUGAGUAUCUAAAAUCUAUUUUUAGAAACGAUUUUUGCAAGACAAACUUUUGUUCAAACUUUUUUAUAAAAAAAAACUACAAAUCAAACCUGAACUCUAUGUUGUAAACAUACCAUGAAGGUAUGUUUACAAUUUUAGCAUAACUGUUGUGGGAUAAAUUCUCAUAAUAUAUAUAUAAAAGGAGCGCCUGAGUGAUUUGAACUUUUAAGUUAUGUCAUGUAAUAGUGAUAUAAGGUGGAAUAUUUUAUUCUAUUAUUUUUGUAAAUUCACUGUAUUUUAAAAAAUAAUUAUAAUAAUUUCCUGUUAUUUUUAAAUAUUUGACAACUAAUAUUGUUCACCCGCGGGCCAGAUUCACAAUCAAGAAUUUAAAUGAACUAAUCGUUGUUAUGGUAGUAUAUUAAAAGAAUAUAUAUGAAAUAAUCCUCUUAUUAUGCUAUUGUAUACCAACAACUAGCAAGCAAUUACGCAAAAGCUUGUUCAAUUUGAAUGAAAAUUGCUGGGAACAUUAUAAAUAGAUAUCACGUAUUUUAAUAAUUAUUUAUUUCAAACCUUUUCAUUUAUGUUAAAAAAAAGAAAAGAGAGAAACGUUUCAUUUUAAAUAAUAUGGUAUUUAGUACCUUGAUGUCAAUGAUGGGAUGAAAUGUACUUUCUAAAAUAAUUUUAAUAACUCAACAAAGAAAAUCUUUAAUACCAAGUAUCAUCUCUUGUAUCUUAUUAUAUGUACAUCUCAACCGAUCAUAAAAGUAAAGAAUAAAAAAAUUUAAUGGAUGAGAAAAUGUACACCUUAAACACCUCUAAAAACAAGAAAUUUGGAUAUAAUUAAAUCUUAUUUUGUUUAGUUUUUCUAUACAAAUCUUGGGACAGAAUUUAUGUCUAGGUUAGCUAGCUACUAUAAGGCCUUGCAAAGUUUCACUGAAGAGAGAACUAAGCCGACCCAUGAUGAUUGCACAAGCAGUUUGCAGCCCAUAGAAUUUAUAGCCUACGGCCCACGUUUCUCCGCCUGAUUAUCCAUCGCUCACUCGCUCUAUCAAAACUGUCUCUUCGUCGUCGUCGUCGUUGGUGUGCUCGCGUGGGAUCAAUUUUGAGUCAACAAUGAGUGCUUUAACGAAGCUAACGAAAACACUUGCACAUCACUGCGUCAAAAAAUCUAAAACCCAUUGGUGCAAACCUUCCCAGCCACGGUUAAAUUUAUUAAUCUCUGAAAAUAUUGUUAACAUCAACACUUCUCAGUUUCAUCAGUACCAAAGCCGUAGAACUCUCAUUCUAGAUUCCGCUUCCUCCGAAUCGGUCCAGCUUCAGCGACUCUCCGAUUCUGAUUCCGGUACUUUCACUUAUACUUUUGAUUGAAUAAAUUUUAUUUGUUGACUGAUAAAUUAGUUGCUGAUUCAAGCUUGUGAUUGAACAGGAAUAAUUGAGGUUAGUUUAAACAGACCUGCGGCAAAAAAUGCGCUUGGAACGGAUAUGUUGAGAGGCUUAAAGCAUGCAUUUGAAACUAUCAGUGAGGAUUCCUCUGCUAAUGUUGUCAUGAUACGUAGCUCGGUUCCUAAAGUGUUCUGUGCUGGAGCUGAUUUGAAGGUACUGUUAUUAAUAAUUUUUUUGAUUUAUUUGUUUUUGCUGAGCAAAUAGAAUCGAAGCAACUUGUGUCUUAAUUAGGAUGCUUUAACAAUAGGUCAAAGGAAAAAUGGAGUUUAGUUGUGAUAAUUGGAAUUUGCAGUGUAGACAAGUCUUUAUUCUGUCAACAAUUAGUUGUUGAGUGGCAGCUCAAGGCUCGUGAUCUGGUCAUUAUAAUUUUUUUUUUAAUUUCAUAUUUUUAUCUUCGCUUAAGGAUUGUAUGAAUAUUAUGGCUGACAUACACAUGCUUAACUGUUGUUGCCUUGGUGGGAUUUGCAGGAACGCAGGCAAAUGAGUCCAUCCGAGAUUCAUUUUUAUGUCAACACAUUGCGAUCUACAUUCUCCUUCUUAGAGGUUGUGACUUUGAUUGAUCACCCACUAUUAUAUAAGUUUCUAGUUAGAUAACUUGUGUGCACGAGAAUUAUGUAUUUACACAUAAGAGCAAGGGGGGUCUGUGUGUGUGUAUUUAAUAUUAGUGCUUCCAUGCUUCUAUCCACUCUCAGUCUGUACUAUGGUCAUUUCAUGAUGAUGUGGAUGUAUCUAAUUUAUCACUUAUACUCUGUUCAUGUUCAUAAAUUUUUAUAACUUGUGUUUAUAUCACUGCCUAUAAUUGCUACUUCUCAACUAGGCACUUCCUAUUCCAACCAUUGCUGUUAUUGAUGGAGCAGCAUUGGGUGGUGGACUUGAAAUGGCACUAGCAUGUGAUCUUCGCAUCUGUGGUAGGUUCAAUUUAUCGAUUUACAAUUUUCUUUUGGUCAAAAGAAUAAAAGUGUAAUUGGACUCUUCUUUCUAAUUACUCAGGAGAAGCAGCACUAUUGGGCUUGCCUGAAACAGGACUUGCUAUAAUUCCUGGGUAAUGCUUGAAAUCUUGUUUCACAUUUGGUAAAGUUGUAUUGCAUAGUUCCUGCAUUUUGUUUGGUGGCAAGGAUUUAUAUCAGUUGUAAAUGCCCAUAAGUACUUUUUCUUGCAAUCGCAGUUGAGACUUUUUAGAACUAAUUAUAUCAUUAGUUUGGCUGAGGAGAGUGGUCUUUUUUUAUUUUUUAUUUUUUUAUUUUAAGAGGAUCAUUGGAUUUCAUCCCAUUCCUCUCCCCCCCCCCCCCCCCAACCCCCCAAUGAGGCUCGAACUGUGGACUUUGGUCCUGAGUGGCUUUCUUUUCAUAUGACAAUUUUGGGCAGUUAUAUUUCUGUGUGAAUACUUCUUUGUUUCAAAAGCAGUUGCAGCGACAGGUCACUCUCUCAUGUGAUUCUGGCUUCUGACAGGGCGGGUGGGACACAGCGGCUUCCAAGAUUAGUUGGAAAAUCAGUAGCAAAAGAUAUUAUAUUUACUGGCCGUAAAGUUAGUGGCAAAGAUGCAAUGUCUUUAGGUGUGUUUAAUUGCACCAACUGAUAUAUGUUGUGUGUGUUUGUUACGUUGGCAUUUAUGUGAAAUUUAAAGAUCAUAGUAGCAGUAAAACUGCCAUGCAUCAUAUCCAGUGAAAGAGUGCCAUGCUGCAGGUCUUGUCAAUUACUAUGUUCCUGCUGGUCAAGCUCAGUUGAAGGCACUUGAAAUUGCUCAGGAAAUAAAUCAGAAGGUACAAUCUGUCUUCAGAAUUCUCUUGUAGGGAAAAGCAUGUGGUGUGUUAUAUGACUUCAAUACUGUCAAAAAUCUCUCGGCAGCCAGAACUUGAGCACAUUUACCUGAAUUUUUGGCAUCAUGAUUUUAAAAUUAUGUCAUUGUGUGGUAAAUCAUGCAUGUUCGAAAACUUUAUUUAAGCAGAGAUACGAUUAUGACUAUAUUAGAUGCACGGAAGCUUUUAGAAGACCUUCAGCCCGUAGAGUUGCAAUUACUUGGUGUAUGUAUUUGUACUUUUUGGUUGGUGUAACUUCUCGCUGUCCAAAUUAUACUUGAUGUGAUGAAGUAGAUCUGGCUUAGAAGCUAUUGAAUGGGAGAAAUAACAAACUUGAAUUUUUGAGUUCAAAGUAACAACUGGUUCUGUUCUUCAGGGUCCGAUAGCCAUUAGGAUGGCUAAAAGGGCUAUUACUAAGGGAUUGGAGGUGGAUAUGGCAUCGGCAUUGGAACUGGAAGAAGAGUGCUACAUUGAGACCUUGCAUACAGAGGAUCGGUUGGAGGGCUUGGCUGCAUUUGCCGAGAAGCGGAAACCCAAGUACGCCGGCACAUAGAGAGAGAGAACGCUGCCAAUAGCCCUUUUUCUAUCUGGACAGGUUUUCUUGGGCGCGACAAUAAUGGGCACAUGAGCAGUUCGCACUGCAUAUGUUGGACAGGCCUCAAAUGUAAUAUUGACAAUAAUGGGCUCAUAAGCAGUUCCUCUGCAGAUGUUGGACAGGCUUCAAAUGUAAUAUCAACAAUGUCAAUAAUAUUUAAUGUUAAGCUUUCAUGGGUAGCUUGAAGCUGUAUAUUUUGUGGUAGCCUAAUUUUUAUCAUUGUCAUCAAAGUCAGUCUCUUUACUUUUUGUUGUUUUUGUAGUUUGAGAUUAAUCUAACAAAUCUCUAUUUGAAAGAGAACGCACAUCAACAAUUCUACAUUUUAGCGUCAUUCCCUUCCUUCCCUUGAUCAGUUAAAAGCAUAAUAAAGAAUCUAUUUCAACUUGCUGGAUUGAAUUUCUCUUUUAUUUAACGGUUGUCAACUAUUAUAUUUCAUUAAUUUAACAUCGGUCGCCGCUGACGAUGAGCCAGUUUGGGAGUGCGGUUAUAAUUGAAUAAGCUGUUUAUUUCAUAAUUUUUUAUAAAAAUAGUAUUUGGUAAACUUUGUAAAAGCAAUUUUUUUCAUAAUUUUUUUCAUUUUAUCAGGAGCUUUUAAAAGCAGGUUAUGGGUUACUUUUCAUAAGCAGUUUAUUAAAUAAACUAUCACACCUUUUUAAAAAUCCUAUUAUAACCCUAUAUUUUAAUAAAAAGAUAAUUGUAUCUCACUUAUCUAUAAAUCUUUAUAUAUAAAUCAUCAUAUAUCAUAUUACCACCGUAACCACGUACAUUCUCUCUAGUUUUGAUGUAAUAAGUUCAUAUUCUAAUUUCAUAAUUAUGACUUUUAAAGUUUAAUCUAUAUUAUAUAUUUUAAAAAAAAGAUGUGUCUAAAUAAUUUAUUAAACAUACUCUAAAAAUAAAAAGCAAUUAAAACUUAUAUCUAUUUUGGUCAUUAUAUAAUAAAACAAUAAUUUCGUAAUAAAAUUUAUCAAAUGCAUAUACUCUAACUUUUCAAACUUACGGCAACCGCAAUAGCACAAUUUACUAAAUAUCAAACGACUUUUUUAAUCAGUAGCUUAUUUCAUAUGCACAUCACAAGCAGCUUAUUUCAUCAGCCCGUUGUAUUGUUUAUUUGUUUUAGUUUCAUAAUUUAGAUUUAAACUUAACAAUUAUUAUUAUUAUUAUUAUUAUUAUUAUUAUUAUUAUUAUUAUUAUUAUUAUUAUUAUUAUUAUUAUUAUUAUUAUUUGUUAUUCCGUAAAAACUCGAACACUUGUGUCCUGACGGCCAACGUUCGAUUCCAGCCAUUUAAUGAUGCGUUUACUUUUUGGAUUGAAGUAGGAAUCCUGAGGAGUGGGAAUUCUUAGAUUAGGAGUAUGGAAUGGGAGUGAGAGUAUGGUGUUUACUUAGACUAAAUGAAAGUAUGGAUUGUCAAUCAGAAUCCCAAUUAUUUGUUUACUUUGUCUUGGAUUGAGAGUAAAUUAUUUUAAAUUACAAUUUUAUCCGUAUGUAAAGAAUUAUAAUUUGUAAUUAAAAAAUUAAUAAAAAAUAUAUUUAGAAAAUAAAAUAAAUAUUUUAUUAUAUUUAUAAAUUAAUAAUAAUUAAUAAUAAUUAAUAAUAUUCUUAAUUAUGUAAAUCAUAAUUUUUUUAUUAAUUUUAAUUUAAAUUAUGUGAAUAAAAAUUAUUAAUAAUAACAACACAAAUGAAACAUUAUUAUUGAUAAUAUAGUACAAAAUUAAUAUUUUUUUAGAAUAAAAUAUUUAUUAUUAUUAAUUAAUUAAAUAAUUAAUAUUUAUUAAAAUUAAUGUUUAAUAUUAUUAAUUUAAAUAUAAUAUUUAUUUAUUUUUAUUUUAUUAAAUUUAAUAAAAUAAUAUGUUAAAAUUAUUAUUUUUAAUAAAUAUGAUAUUAUUUAUUUAUUUUAAUUAUGAGGGUAAAAAGGGAAGAGGGGGGAGUGGAUUCCCACUCCCACCUCUCCCCAUGGGAGUGGGAAUCCCACUCCCCCUUAAAAAAUGGUAAGUAAAUACUUAAGUGAGAGGAAUUCCCACUUCACACUCACACUCCGAAAAGUAAACGCUACCUUAUAAAUAAAGAAGGGGUAUUUUCGUCAGACCGAUAAUAUUUCCGCAUAAAUAAAAGGUACACGAAACCUAUAAAAAAGGAAUAAAGAAGAGGAAACGACAUUAUUUUUUAUUCGGUGUUUCUUCUGAUCUAGCUAAAGAGAAAGCAAAAUGGCAGCAGUAGACGAGCGUCCUUCAGCUAAGAGGUGGCUUCCUCUUGAAGCCAAUCCCGAUGUCAUGAACCAGGUAUUAUUCUACUUUUCUUUUCUUUUCUAUUUUGUUGGUUUUCUCGUUUAGUUUAUAGAUCAUCCGCUGUUUGUUCACUAAAGAAGAGAAUUGAAAUGAAUUUUUGUAUUAUUGUUAUUAAUCGCAUAACAAUUUCGAAGAGUUAUUUUUAUUUGGUCUUUUGGUUUUCCUUUCUUUUUUUUUUUUAAUUUGAAAUUUGAUAGAUUCUGGAAGUUGUUUGAAAGACACCCUUUUUUGUUUACUGAGAAAAAUGAAAGAAAGUAUCUAUUGAACUGCUUAUCUAUGGUUAUGAGUUGUUGCUUUUAUUACUUUAAAACAAAAUGGCCACAUAGAGGUUUAUUCUGUUUGUGAAGAGUAUUCUUAGUUUAGUUUACUUCAUAUUUUUUAUUUUGUAGUUCCUUUGUGGCCUUGGUCUUCCAGCUGAGGAGGCAGAGUGCUAUGAUGUGUAUGGCUUGGAUGAUGAGCUCUUGGCAAUGGUUCCACAACCUGUUCUUGCCGUGCUGUUUCUUUAUCCCUUAACUGCACAGGUCUGUUCAAACCAAAUUUGUUUCUUUAUACUUGGUAUGCUUUACGAGUAUAUACUUGUUUGCUAAUUUUUUUUUUUUCAAAUUUUGACUUCUUCAGAGUGAAGAAGAAAGAAGGUUGCAGGACAAUGACAAAAAGGUGAGUGUGAAUGUGUGAUGAUAGGAUGUAGUUACUUUUGCUUUAUUAUGCUGUUCUUGAUCAUAAAUAAUCUCUUUUUAAUUAUGAAUACAUACAUAUCUUUUGCUUCCUCUCUGUUGUUUUUUGGUUAUAAGUCUCUUGGUUUUCCUCUUAUCAUGGUUGAUCAAUUGUUUUUGUUUUCUAACUGAGCAAAUGCGCCCGGUGUUGUCGUUCACUUCUAUUUGUGGAGCACAACUUCACUCCACUUUCCUCUUUUUUUCUCUCUGUAGGAAUUUAGCAAGAAUGUUUAUUUCAUGAAGCAAACUGUUGGAAAUGCUUGUGGAACAAUUGGACUUCUUCAUGCUGUUGGGAACGUCACUUCGGAAAUCAAGUUUCGUAAGUUGUGCUUACUUUUUCUUUAAUUGAGUGUUGCUAGUGUAGCAGUGGUGCUGGCAAUACAAAUACUUUAGAAAUGCUAGUAAUGCAUGCAGCUUUUCUUGCAUUCAAGGUACCUCUAAAUGCUCAUAGUUAUCAGCCAAGUGCUUGUUUGUAUUGUCAUGUAUAUUGCUUCCCUUUACAUUUUUUCUUGUUAUUGCAGAAGCUGAUUCAUUCUUCGAUAAAUUUUACAAGUCCACAGCGAACUUGGAUCCACAAGAGGUGAUUCAUUCUUGGUUCUAUUUCUGCUUUUCCUUUUUUCCCACCCCUAGAGUUAUCUGUUGACUUUGAAUAAUAUUGUUUAUAUCCUCUCAUUUCUCACUUCUAAUUGCUAUGAGUUUUUCAUAUGCUUUCUGCAGCGUGCAGCAUUUCUUGAGAAUGAUAAGGAAAUGGAAGUUGCUCAUUCGGUAGCAGCUUCAGCUGGUGACACAGAGGUAUUUACAAAUGCUUGUUUUCAUUAUUAUCAGUAAGGACACUAGUAUGGCAUGAGAAUAUAAGCUAAAAUUUGUUAAUCAUAUGGCUGGGCAUUACAUCUUCGUGAGAAUAUAAGCUAAAAUUUGUCUAAAAUGUAUUGCUUUUGUGACCAAAUGGAAGCUUGGCUGUUAAAUUAGACAUUCUCAUAAAGCUGGGAUUUUGGAAGUGAAAAUUGCUGAUUCAUAUUUGUGGUAGUGAUUACAACCCUCAUGCUUUUGUGUGCAUAGGUUAAUAAUCCAUGUGAGUGUGAUUCUAUAUGAACUACGCAUUGUACUGAUUUCUAAAGGACCCAUUAUAAAUUCCCAUGAGAAGCUGGCUCUAAGAAAUAUCUUAUUGUUUUAUUUGGCACUAUCAAGUAAGGUUUGGGUGCCACAGUAUACUAUUGGAUUGGACUGUAGGAGUCUAAUUGUGAAAAUGUGAUUUGUCGGGUCAAAUUACUUUCUUAGCAGUUAUUAUAUAAAAGGUGACAUGAAAAUUUGACAAGUGUUGAUCGCCGUCUUUGUGAAGUUUCAUGCUCAGCUUCAAAAUGUAGAUUUAAAUGCACUGGACUGGUGGUUGAGGAUAUACUUUACUGGCUAUAGAACCAUUGAUUCCCCCUUCCCCCCCAAAAAAAAAGUGGAAUUAAGAGUUCAGCAAUCAAUAUAAUUUAUCCCCUAACAUUUUUUUUUUUUUUUUAAUUGGUAAGAGUUUGUCAGUCAAUUUCUUUUUUUCCGUUUCCUUCUGUUUUUUCCUAGUUAUCAAAUGACGUAUAACAUCGUAAGCUCCAAUUAGUUUAAUAUCGUAAGUUGCAAUUGGUUUAUCUUCAUUUGUCUUACCAUUUUCUUAUUUACAGGCUACCGAUGACGUGAAUGAUCAUUUUAUCUGCUUCACCUGUGUGGAUGGUAUAUGCUUCCUUUCGAUAGUUGACUUAUUUUUUUCCCUCUCAUAUUGAUUAGCCAUUGUUCAGCUGUUAACCAGCUUUUGAGAAAUUCUAUCUAUGCUUUUGUAUUUAUCAAAAUCUUCUAUGUAGGGGAACUUUAUGAACUUGAUGGAAGGAAGUCGGGGCCAAUAUCUCAUGGUGCUUCGUCUCCAAGCAGCUUAUUGUUGGUAUGGUAAUUGGCAUUAUAAAACUGUGUAUUUCUACCCUCUUUAGAUUCUUAGAUCCCAAAAGAAUCAAAAAUAAAGAAAUUCUUCAGUUUUGGAUCUGAGAAAGAAAAAAAUAUAAGAAAAAUGAAAAGGCAUCAAUAGUCUUAAGGUCAUAUUUAGUAUUGAGGUUGGGCAGCUGUAUCUUAAAAUCUUAAGUGUUUGGGAAACACUAACUACUAUGAUUUAGAAGUUAAGUUGAUUUGAAUGAUGAAAAAUCGAUAAUAUUUUUACUAUUUUUGUCAAAAUAAUUAUUUAAAAGUAAACAUUACUACACGCUAUUAAUUUUUAUUUCAUAUCUAUAGUUUUUUUCUACAAUAGCUGUGGUUUAAAAGUUGCGACACCUUAAUACCAAACAGGGCUAAAACUAAGUGAACUUUUCUUUAAAGAAAAAGGAGAGAAGAAAUAUUGGUUACUCUGUAGGGCUAUCUCUGAAGUAAGUUUAGACCAUCAAUAUCUUUGUUGGGCUAGGGUUAGAGUUGCUGCACAAGGUUGGGUUUGGUUUUGGGUUUCAAGUAUAACAAAUUUUAUCCUGAUUGGAUAAGCAUCUUUCUGUUUAAUGAACUACAGUCAAGGAGGUUCAACUUGCUAAUGUGUCUUUUCAUCUUUAACCUUAAGCAGAAAGUGAGCGUGCCUCGGUUGUAGCUCUUUUUUGGCAGUUUUCUUACAUAGUAUUUCACAUGUACUUUACUCUCAAGUUUGAUUAUUAAUAUUAUCUAUUAUUUAUUUAUUUUUUACAGGAUGCAGCUAAAGUGAUAAAGGGCAUGAUCCAGAAAAAUCCUGAAUCACUGAACUUCAAUGUAAUUGCCUUUUCGAAGAAAGAUUGAGGUGCAUUUUAAUGUUGAGAAUCUGAGCUUAUUAAGUUCCUGCAAAUGAUAAAGCUUCUUACUGCGGUUUUCAGUUUGUGCACAUCCACAUAUGCUGCAAACAAACUAGUUCAGUGAUGGUUGUAGGUCGACUUAGGUGGCUUUACUUUCAGAUGGUACAGCAUGUUAAUUCUGGUUGCUAUGUUUCAGUUUUAGAGCAGAUUCAUUUUACACCUUGGGAGUGCCAGCAUGACUCUUAGCCCUACAAUGCAUGUUAUGCUACAUUUCCUGCUGAUGUUAAAUUUAAAUGGGUGAACAAAUUUGGAUGUUAAAUUUAACUUUUCUAACUUCUUCCUAGUCUCUUUGAGCGUCUCACCUAUCUGUAUCGUUGCAACCGCGCUCAACAAGCUUAUUUGCGAGUUUCAAGAGCUUGAUUUCAAUCUUGAGCUCCGGUUCAAUCUCAACCAUCCCCCUACCAGGCUUCCUGUUCACUCCAACCUUGGUAUGUUUCUUUGGCUCCACCGAAAGCUUGUUGGCCUGCAUGUUUUGGUAUCCAUUAGUCUCUGAAACUCUUCUUGCCCUACGACUUUGCAAUCCCAUGGCCAUGCAUCCAAAACAAGAGAAAAUCUAUUUCUCCUAAGUUUAACCCUAAUCAAAUCGACUUAAUAAACCCCAUUUUUGUUUCCAAAGGUUUGAUAAGACUUGUUUAUAUGUUGGAAGAUAAGUGGUUCCUCGCCCAAAUAUGAUUCCCAUAGUUAAUGCGGGUUCCAACUCUGCGACAACCGGGUCGCUCAUGAAAUAAGGAAGAUUCCCACUUCUUCCUUUGAAAGCACUCUUAUCUACUACUCACCAGUUCCCCCAAGUGUUGUGUUUUACUUUUCAUAAUAUCUACGGCUCUCUUAACCUUAAACAAAGUUAACGAAAAAUGUAGAAGUUAAAUAAUUUUCUGAUAUGUUGUCAAGUGUAUGCCCCAAAAAAAAAAAAAACUAUAAUAGCAGACAACUUUAAAACUGAAAAAAUACAAAAUAAUAAUAAAAAAAAAAACCGGCCUUUAUUAUAUUUUUCAUCUAUCUCAGCAGCAAAUAUCAGCUCCUAAUAACUAUAGAGGUGGCAGCGAUCUCCAUCCCUGCGUAAAUAUUGUAGUGUACAUAAUGUGAAUACUGUAGCUUAAUGUGGUAGAUUUUCUAGAAAUUAUAAAUUUUAACACUGUUAAUAUUUUUUAAAAGAAUUUUAUAGAAACUUACAUUUUCCAAGCAUCUAUAUUUCCUAUUAGAUGAAUUUUGUCUGUGUGUGUAUGGUAAAAAUUGGUAUUCUGUUAACUUUUUAUAUCUAGAUGGGACAUGACAUUAUGAAAACAUUAGGACGAGGUAAUAAAAGUUGAUUUCUACUAGAGGGAAAGUGACAAUCUCGGUAAAUAAUUAAAAUUAUGUAUUCUCACUUUUCAUUUCUUUUAUUUUUUUUUCCAGCUGAAAAUUGCUUUGAGGUUAAACAUCAAGUGAUUUUAAAAUGAAACUUCCAUUUUUUAUUAUAGCCUUUUUUUCUUUUUGUGAAAUUCUAUCAAUAUAUAGAACUUAAACAAGCUAAUAACAAUCCCCCCAACUGGUUUAGGAUACAGAGCAAAUGUACCAUAAACGUUUACAAAUAAAAUUAUAGUAAAAUGCACUUGCUAGUUACUAGUGGCUUCAGCUUUCAGUUAACUGCAGUGAAUGAAGUGGGGGCAUUGGGGGACUAGGAACUUCCAGAUAACCUUCUAACAUUUUCACGAUCAUCAUCGUUGUAGGCCUUUUUAGUGGAUCUUCUUGAACGCACCACAGUGCUGUCAUCAACCAUUUACACACCCUUGAUUUGUCAGCCAUAGCUGCUUUAUCAUUGUCAACCAAAACCUCUAGUCUUCCUUCAACAUAGCAGUCAUAAGCCCAAUCUGUUAGCAUUGCACUUCUUUCUUCCUCCAGUUCCAUCUCCACACUUCUUCUACAGCAAAUGAUUUCCAAUAACACAACACCGAAACUGUAAACAUCCACUUUCGCCGAGACAGGUACAUUCUUGAACCAUUCUGGAGCCACAUAUCCUCGAGUUCCUCUGAUCAUUGUGCGCGUUCGAGACUGAUCAGAGAGUAACAGCUUGGAUAAUCCGAAGUCAGAAAUUUUUGCAGUGAAAUCUUGGUCUAGAAGUAUGUUUUGAGGCUUUAUGUCACAGUGGAUGAUGGGAACAUUGCACUCUUCGUGCAAGUACAGAAGCCCUCUUGCAAUCUCCAGGGAAAUCCUAAGGUCAUAUUUAGUAUUGAGGUUGGACAGCUGUAUCUUAAAAAUCUUAAGUGUUUGGGAAAUACUAACUACUAUGAUUUCGAAGUUAAGUUGAUUUGAAUGAUGAAAAAUCGAUAAUAUUUUUACUAUUUUUGUCAAAAUAAUUAUUUAAAAGUAAACAUUACUACACACUAUUAAUUUUUAUUUCAUAGCUAUAGUUGUUUUCUACAAUAGCUGUGGUUUAAAAGCUGUGACACCUUAAUGCUAAACAAGGCUAAAACUAAGUGAAUUUUUCUUUAAAGAAAAAGGAGAGAAGAAAUAUUUGUUACUCUGUAGGGCUAUCUCUGAAGCAAGUUUAGACCAUCAAUAUCUUUGUUAGGCUAGGGUUCGAGUUGUUGCACAAGGUUGGGUUUGGUUUUGGGUUUCAAGUAUAACAAAUUUUAUCCUGAUUGGAUAAGCAUCUUUCUGUUUAAUGAACUACAGUCAAGGAGGUUCAACUUGCUAAUGUGUCUUUUCAUCUUUAACCUUAAGCAGAAAGUGAGCGUGCCUCGGUUGUAGCUCUUUUUUGGCAGUUUUCUUACAUAGUAUUUCACAUUUACUUUACUCUCAAGUUUGAUUAUUAAUAUUAUCUAUUAUUUAUUUAUUUUUUAAAGGAUGCAGCUAAAGUGAUAAAAGGCAUGAUCCAGAAAAAUCCUGAAUCACUGAACUUCAAUGUAAUUGCCUUUUCGAAGAAAGCUUGAGGUGCAUUUUAAUGUUGAGAAUCUGAGCUUAUUAAGUUCCUGCAAAUGAUAAAGCUUCUUACUGCGGUUUUCAGUUUGUGCACAUCCACAUAUGCUGCAAACAAACUAGUUCAGUGAUGGUUGUAGGUCGACUUAGGUGGCUUUACUUUCAGAUGGUACAGCAUGUUAAUUCUGGUUGCUAUGUUUCAGUUUUAGAGCAGAUUCAUUUUACACCUUGGGAGUGCCAGCAUGACUCUUAGCCCUACAAUGCAUGUUAUGCUACAUUUCCUGCUGAUGUUAAAUUUAAAUGGGUGAACAAAUUUGGAUUUGGAAACAAGGCUUAUCCUUUUCUCUACGGAUUAAAACAUCACCAAGAUUAUUAAGACCUCGUUUGGUAUUGAGUGAGGUGGUUAACAGUUAUAGUUUAUGUGAGGGAAAAAGAAGAAAAAGAAAAAACAAAAGCAUAUAGCUAUGAAGAAAAAUUAAAAUUAAAAAUGUGGUAAAUAUAAUUUCUAAGUAGUAGUUUUGACAAAAAAAUGGCAAAGAUAUAGGUUUUUUUAAUUUAGUUUUUAUACAUAGUAACAAGUGUUUAUAUUUAAGUUGCUGUAAUUUAAAGUGACAACCCUGAGAGUGCCCACCAUAAUAAAACAAGGCUAUUAAAAAAAAAAAAAAAAAUCUUUUGAGCCGGAUUCUUUUCCAAUAGGGCAAAGCUGGUUUCUUCUUUCUUCUCCUUGUCACAUACACUCUGUUAGUACGGUAUCUAGUUAGUCGAUUUUUUUUUUUUUGAAGAGACAUUUUGUGGAUGAUAUAAGUGAUUCUCAUGCAAUGAAUCGGCUUGAGCGUCUAACUUCUUCCUAGUCUACUUGAGCGUCUCACCUAUCUCUGUAUUGUUGCAAUCGCGCUCAACAAGCUUAUUUGCGAGUUUCAAGAGCUUGAUUUCAAUAUUGAGCUUCGGUUCGAUCUCAACCAUCCUCUUACCAGGCUUCCUGUUCACUCCAACCUUGGUAUCUUUCUUUGGCUCCACAGCAAGCUUGUUGGCCUGCAUGUUUUGGUAUCCAUUAGUCUCUGAAACUCUUCUUGCCCUUCGACUUUGCAAUCCCAUGGCCGUGCAUCCAAAGAAAGAAAAAAAAAUUAGUAUUCUGUUAACUUUUUAUAUCUAGAUGGGACAUGACAUUAUGAAAACAUUAGGACGAGGUAAUAAAAGUUGAUUUCUACUAGAGGGAAAGUGACAAUCUCGGUAAAUAAUUAAAAUUAUGUAUUCUCACUUUUCAUUUCUUUAAUUUUUUUUUCCAGCUGAAAAUUGCUUUGAGGUUAAACAUCAAGUGAUUUUAAAAUGAAACUUCCAUUUUUUAUUAUAGCCUUUUUUUCUUUUUUGAAAUUCUAUCAAUAUAUAGAACUUAAACAAGCUAAUAACAAUCCCCCCAACUGGUUUAGGAUACAGAGCAAAUGUACCAUAAACGUAUACAAAUAAAAUUAUAGUAAAAUGCACUUGCUAGUUACUAGUGGCUUCAGCUUUCAGUUAACUGCAGUGAAUGAAGUGGGGGCAUUGGGGGACUAGGAACUUCCAGAUAACCUUCUAACAUUUUCACGAUCAUCUUCGUUGUAGGCCUUUUUAGUGGAUCUUCUUGAACGCACCACAGUGCUGUCAUCAACCAUUUACACACCCUUGAUUUGUCAGCCAUAGCUGCUUUAUCAUUGUCAACCAAAACAUCUAGUCUUCCUUCAACAUAGCAGUCAUAAGCCCAAUCUGUUAGUAUUGCACUUCUUUCUUCCUCCAGUUCCAUCUCCACACUUCUCCUACAGCAAAUGAUUUCCAAUAAAACAACACCAAAACUGUAAACAUCCACUUUGGCCGAGACAGGUACAUUCUUGAACCAUUCUGGAGCCACAUAUCCUCGAGUUCCUCUGAUCACGGUGCGUGUUCGAGACUGAUCAGAGAGUAACAGCUUGGAUAAUCCGAAAUCAGAAAUUUUUGCAGUGAAAUCUUGGUCUAGAAGUAUGUUUUGAGGCUUUAUGUCACAGUGGAUGAUGGGAACAUUGCACUCUUCGUGCAAGUACAGAAGUCCUCUUGCAAUCUCCAGGGAAAUCCUGACUCUUAGACUCCAGUCAGGUCUUGGACAUGCAAAAAGUAGGUUAGCCAAGGUGCCAAUCCCCAUGAAUUCAUAUACUAAAAGCCGGUUAAGACCUUCGUCACAGAAUCCAAGUAGCUGGACAAGAUUCUUGUGAUGUGUUCUGCCGAUUGCACUCACUUCAGUUUUGAAUUCCCUUUCCCUUUCUUGUGCCAACUUGUCCAAUUUCUUGACUGCUACAACAUUUCCUGAAGCGGAUUUGAGGACACCUUUGUAAACUAUGCCAAAAGAACCCCUCCCUAUUUCGUCCUCGAACCCACUUGUUGCUUCAUUAAGUUCAGCGAGCGAAAAGAAACGCAAAUUUGUUUCGGAAAUUGUUGAACGUUGGACCUUGUUUCCAUCUUUUCUCUUGCGCCACACAAAGACGAGAAGAGAUAUUGCCAGUAGCAAAAGUCCAUUGAAGAAUACAGAGCUACCUAAUAGAAGUGCUCCUCGUAAGAUUGCUAUUCCUUUCUUGCCACCAGUAUUGCCAUCAAAAUCAACAGGAAAACCUCCUUUCCUUACUUUGAAGAGAACUUUUGAAACUCCGGCGCCCUGUAACCACCCAUUAGAGAGUGGCAAUUUCUUCUUCCAACAUCUAUUAUGCUCAUAUAUGGCAACAGCACACAAGCAAUCAUGCAAGCAAGAUGUUUCGCACUCUGUUUGACUAUAAAGUUCCAACCUUUCAUAAUUUCCAUAAGGCCAAUUUACAUCAGCGAGUUCCCUUAUUUCAUACAACUCUUCUGCGUUUCUAGAUCCAUCAUCUGGUCCACAGCCUUGCCAGUAAUUCGGCCUGCAAUCACUAAAUCUGUUAGUUGGAUCCACAAAUAAAUACCCUGGAGGGCAUUCACAAAAAGGUCUCCCAUUUUGCAUUAAGCAGUAGCUAUUGAAGCCACAGGCACCACUACCUAACAUAUCAGAUAUAGCUCUGCAUUUGUUGUUACGAAGACGUUGUAUAGUAAACCAGCUUUGGUUAGGAGCAGAAUUCUUUGGAUAAGCAUAUUCUGUGAAUACUCCAUCAAAAUCCAAUGUUGCUCGAAAAUAGUGGUCCGCAAUAGGAGGUACUCGAUCCCAUUGUGGCAAUUGGACAAUUUGACCAUUAUUUUUCACUAUGUAUAUGUCAGCUGAUUCAUUAAAAACCAGCUGAUUACCAGACUCAGAAGAAUCGGCACUGUAAGUAUUACUGGUGUAAUAACUUUGGUAUUGGGAUGGGGUUGGCCAGGCCACAGGAAUGAGCUGAAGGCUUCCAUUUGAAAAAUGGAGCUCAAACCUGCCUUUGGACAAGUUGGUUUCUGUAAGCCUGGAAACCAACACGCUACCCAAAUCUAAUAUUUGGGUAUGCAAGAUGGUGUCUGUUGGACUUUUAAAACUCUGCCAAGCAUAAUCGGAAUUGUUACCAGAGACUAUAAGCACAAAAUUGCCUGUGUCAAGCAUGGCAGCAUCUGAUACAAUUUUGUUGGGCUUGUCAUCCCAUAUUGCUUGGCCUCCAGGAUCUUUAAGCAGAAGGCCGGUGGCAGUAAGUUCAAGUGUUGAUCCUCUGGGAGCUAGGACUGGGCGGUAGUCUUCAUUGGCAUGCCAAAUGAUGGUUCUUUCAGGUAUUUUGUUGAACCAAAUGGCAAGCAAGAAAAGAUCCGAACUGUUGUUUAGUUGGCGAAAUCCGAAAGCAAAAUCCCUUGAAGGUGAAAUCCAAGAAGAGUUGUUGCUGGUGCUUGAUAGAGUUGAACCCAAAGGUAUGUUGGCAGCGGAUAAAAAUGGUAGCAGUGGAAGAGAAAGCAAGAUAAGACAAGAGAGAGCCAAAGAAUCCAUGGUCGGUUGUUAUUGCAAUUGCGAAGAAGGGUUGCAUUUAUUAUAAGAAGAUGGUGUUUUGUGAAUAACGUGGUGCUUAAUGUUGUGUGAAUGUCGGUGUUGAAUUGACUAGUCAUUUACAUGCACGUUAAUAAUGUUGGAUAGAGAUUUUGAAGCAUGGUUGGUUAAUUCAUGAAACAUCGUAAUCUUGUUUGUUUCGGGGAGUUGCUCAUUAUACGUACGUGAAUGAAACGCGUAAAAUUUUUCAUUUUCAUGUCUUCUUCCAGGAAAUUUGAUAGAACUAUCAAAGUCAAAGUUAAUGGUUAUGAAUGGCUGUCACCUCUCUAUAUGAUGGCUAACGAUGCGUUUGGAAUUAAGAUUGGACCGACAGUAAUAAAAUAUUUAGUAAAUACUAAUUGAUAUAAAUUAAAAGUUAUGUUGAUAUGAUUUUUUAUUUGUAUAAUGAGGAAUCUAUUAUUUCUUUAAUAGUUUUAUUAAAAUUAUUAUUUAAAAUUUAUAUUUACUAUAUAUUAUUUACUUUCCUGAUUCCAACAUUGAAUAAAUCCGCAGAUAAGGGGCUAAACGAUCUGCCGAAGUUGUGGGAUGUUUCAUAGUUACAAUUUUUUUCUACAACACUUAUAGCACCUCAAUUUCAAAUGCACCCUAAAUCAAUUAGUGUAGAUACUACAACAUUAAUUCAGCUCGAUUCUGAAUUUCCAAUUAGUUUUAAAUUAAGGGCCGUUUGAGAUUAUUUUUGGGAAAUUUAAAAAAUAUUUUAAAAUUUUAAAAGUUAAUUUUAGUGUUUUAUAAUAUUUUAAAAAAAAAUUACUUUGAUGAGAUCACCUUAUCCUAUAAUAAACUUUGAGAAUUAGUUUUAUGCAUUAUAAAAAUCUAAAAUUAUUGUUAUUAAUUAGGAAACUAAAUCAUUAACUUUAAAGAGAUUAUUACUAUUACCAAAUACAUUGAGAUAAAAAAAUAAAUUAGUAAUAUAAAAUAUUUACUUUAAUUUUUAAUUAUUAUAUAUUAACAGUAAAAAUAUAUUUUACAUCCAUGUUUAGAAAUGUAUUAAUAAAUUUUAUUCAACAUAAUAUUUAAUUUAUUUAUUUAUAUUCUCACAAUAAUUUAACUGUAAGAUUUAUUGAACUGCUUUUAAAACUUACAAUAUUUUUAAAAAUAAAUUUUAUUAAAUAUUUAAUUAAUCUCUUAGUACUUGAUUAUUUUUAUGACAUUAUUAAAAGUAUUUAUUUUUAAAGUUAUAAUAUUAUUAAACUGCCCCCAAAGUCUUCGUAGACGUGCCGACAGCUUUUUUGAAACAAAAUAAUUGGGCAUAUACGGGUCCCACCUGUACAAAUCAGAGAAGAAAGUUGGCCUUUUGAAAUAAAAAAUGUUAUUUACGGAAAUUUUUUUGAAGGUUUGGCAGCCUUUCUCGAAGAGCUUAGAAGAAAAUCCAAAAGAAAAGUAAAAAUAACGACUGAAGAAAAGGAAAAAGAAAAAAGAACGAUUAAUGAAAAGAAAAAAAAUCAACGGCAGUUUACUUGUUUGUUAGUUUAGAAUUUUAAUUAAACCAAAACAGUGAAUUUAGAAUUUUGGUUAGGCAAAAAGAGUAAGGUGGCGUUUGUUUUUUAACUUAAUGACUUAAAGUGACUUAACUUAAUUAAUUAAGUUAAUUAGAGGUGUUUGUUUUUAUAACUUAAUGAGACUUUUUAGAUAAUUUUGACUUAAUAAAAUAAGCCAAUUUUUUUUGCUUUUUACUUAAUGGAGAAAUCUGAAUUAAGUCAAUUACUUGCUAAUGUCAAAAAUAUCCAUAUUUUAUAAUUUAUUUUUUAUGUCUAUCCCAAAACGCACCCAUAGAUAUUUACCCCACAUAAAAAUAUCCAUGUUUUUUUUUCUUAUAUUAUAUACGCUAAAAUUUGAAAUUUAUAGUAUUUUAUAUAUUAAAUUCCAAAAUAAUUAUGUAUUCACUUGAAUAUAGUUUUACUUAUAAAUGUUAAAAUAUUGUGGUAUUUAAUAUAUUAUUUAUUUGACAUUCAAAUUUAAUAAGGAUACAAAUGUAAAAGUACAUAUUUUUUAGCUUUUUAAGUUGAAAAAAACAAACAACUUAAUACUUAUUUUUCAAGAUUCAGACGAAAAAACAAACAUAUUAUUCAGAUUCAGACAUUCAGACCUAUUCAAAAUUCAGACUAAUUCAGGUCUAUUCAGAUUUCAGACAAAAAAACAAACGCCACCUAAGUUUUUAUGAUUAUUAAGAAAAGUUGUGAAUAGAUAUAAUCUUGUCCAUAGAAUUAUUUAAUUACCACGUGUUAAAAUUACCAAUAAAAAUUAGAAAAAAUUAAAUUAAGAGAGAAUCCAAAUCCAAUUAGAAUUAUGGCCUCUUGAUUUUUUUUAGUCAGGAAACCAAAUUGAUUACGGACGAAGAUUCAUUUACAAGUUUACAAAAUCAGGAAAAAAAAAAUUUUGGCAAAAAAUUUUUCUUCAGAGCCCCUACCCUCACCCAAAAAGCUAGCUUUGAUGCAUAUUUAAUGCGCAUCUUGACAAUGUUUUAGAUGCAACUACAAUCUUACUAGUUUAAAGUUGUCUAGAUGAAGAACCUUGAACAAUGCUAUAUUCAGAGCAGGAAUUCAGAGGAAUAAACUAUUAAGCAUCGAUGAUACAACUCCUCUAUAUACAGUGGCGGUGUCAGCAAGUUAAUCUAGUAUGGACUAAAUUUAAAUAAUAAUAUAAUUUAAAAAUAAUCAACAAGUAUCAAAUACCAAAAUAAAAAUUUAUUAAUAUAUUUUAUUCAAUACAUUUACAACUGACAUCGUCUUAUUUUCAUAUGUUAAACAAAAUUGAAAAAUAACCUGAUCAUCAAGAAUACAAAAUAAAUCUUUUUUUUUAUAUAUACAACAAUAAUAUCACUCAAUCAUUGAUCUCUUAUCUGAUCUCAUCGAUGAUUUUUCACAAAAUUCAUAGCAAAAAAUACUUUUUUUAUUAUAGUUAUGAGAACUAGUAAAAACAAUAAAUAAAUUAAUGAAUAUAAUUUAUCCUUUUUAAUAUCAACUAUUUUUCUUAUUAGCUUAUCAAUUCCUUUCAAUUUUUGAAAAUUUGUUAUUAGAACUCACUUCUAUAAUGUAAAUAUUAAGUUGAAUUUUAAGUGCUAUAAGACUCAUUAAAGAAAAAUCAUUUGAAUAAACUCUAAGGUGAAAUAGUUUUUUUUUUUUUUUUUUUUUUGUGUGAGGAGAGUUAGGGCCGGAGAAACUUCAAAAUACAAUGUUUCUUUGUGGGUUGGAAGUACAAAAAUAAAUACUUAAUAUUUUGGUUAUUUUUAAAAUUUUAGCACGGACUUUCUUAGUAAAUCAAAUUCAAAAUAAGACAAAUAUCUAACUAAAUUUAUAAAUUUUAAAAAGUUAAGGGGACUUCAACCCCCUAGUUCUAAUGUGGCACGGCACCGCCACUGUCUGUAUAUAUAUAUAUCUUUGAUUCUUUCCCAGUAGCUUAAGUGCCCAGCAGCCAAAAAACUCUUUCAUCAGAUGCUCUAAUGACUAAAAUCAUCAUUUUACAAAACCGAAAUCAUCCGUAUGGCUUAUGAACUGAACCUACCUCUCGAAGCCGCCAUGUUGCCAGGCACCUUGACAGAAAGAACAAAGAAUGACUUCACAUCCAUCAAUUAAAACAAGCUUCUUAAUAUGGUAAAGUAAAUAUAAUACCAGAUACGCAAGGCAGAGAAGCCGGCGGCCUUCAUAAUUUCACAAGUUUUGUCUCGAAAAGUUAUCCUUUCUUCAUUGAAACCGUAGACGACUAUCGUCUUUAUUUUUUAUUAUUUAUAUGAUGUGUCGUCUUAGUUCUCUCUUGCAGACGUCCUGUCGUCGAAUAUAUGGACCGACAUCAUCAUCAUUACGACAAUUCGUCUGAUUGAUUUUAAAAUAGACGUCUUGCCACCCCCCCCCCCCCCCCCCCUUUUCUGGUUGUUCAUCUAUUUAAAUUUUUUUUAUCAUUUGCACACUGUGUUUUUAUUUUAAUUAAUCAAUUACAAUGUGUCUCGAAGGCAGAUAAAAAUUGUGCUUGUUAUCAAAGAUAAUGCAAAAUGUUAAGGAAGCUCGCUGCAAGAAGAAAGAAAAGCUAAAGCCGAGAAAGAUUAACAAGCCUAUGACGUCAGAUGAUAGUAAGCAAAGUGAUUACAAUUCAUUGUGUAUGUGCUAAUCAUUUUAGUUAGUUAUGAAUUAGUUACAAUAAUGAUGCCUAAGCAGUGACUGUAAAUUGAAUGUAAUUGUAACAUUUUGUUUUAAGCAAUAAAAAUAAGAAAUCUGGAACAUUCUCUGAGAUAUUUUUUGAGCCACCAAACAACUCCAUUUCUGUUUCUUUCACAAAAGAUCCACGAAGUAUGGUGGCUUAAUGCUUUGAGCUACCCCUAUGAGACUAUUUUGAUUGUUCUGUACUGCCGCCCAAAGAAAGCAUCAAAAUUUCCCAAACUCAUUAUCUAAUAAACUCCUAAACAACAGCUAAAACUAAUAAAUUUUAUAUCCAAUGCUAAGCUGAGCUUUUUAUAAUUUUUUUUUUUCAUGUACAUCCACAAGUGCAUAAUUAAGAUUUAAUAUAUUUUUGUCUAAUAACUACUAAUAACCAUAGUAUUAAACAAAAGUAAGAACGUUUUUGGCGUUCUUCGAGUGUUGCGUCUUAUCCCUUUAGUUAUUUCCGCAUGGGCAGCCUAUUAUCAUGACUUGUUGAAGCAUAUAUGUGAUUGAAUGGAAAAAAAAAAAAAGGCAGUAUCACUCCUAAUAUAGCGCCCAAAAAUUAUCAAAAAAAUGAGAUAAGAGAGUCGAUGAUUUUUUUCUUUUUUGCUAUAAUUUGCUAUAACAUUUUCUGCCAAACCGACUAGGAGUAUUUUUUACUUCAUAUUAUUAUCUAAAUUUACAUUAAAAACUCUAUGUCUCUGAUAUCUUACUUAAGUAUUUGAGGAUUAUUGAGAGCUACAACAUAAGCACACUUUACAAUUACAACUACGGUACCAUCUUACAAUUAUAAUUUUGUUCUUUGAAGCCGAAAUUUAGCAUCAACAUAAUUGAUUUAAGAACUAGAAUUUGCGUCGUCAAUUUAAAUAUAAAAAUUUAAGUUCACAUAUUUAUAUCUGCCCUAUAUUAGAAGUAAUGUGUUUUCAGUUGAAAAUAAGUAGAACUAGUGAGUUUACUGAAAAGUGAAAAUGGGUUGAGAAAGAGAGUUGACAAGAACAGCUGAUGUGGCAGCCAACUGAGCCAAAGUUAAUUACAAAUGCUCAGCUAUGUUUGUUUGGAAAUCUGUAAUUACUGUUUUGUUUAUCAAAUUAUCUUAGCAUUAGCUUUGCGUGAUUCGAUGAUUAAUUAAAACGGUUGCUGAAAUAGUACUUUAAAGACGUAUGUUUUUAUCUAAUCUUCAUUAAUUGAAUCAGAAACCAACAAAGUGUUGGCUCCAUUGGCAAUGGACUCCCCUUAAGUGGCUUGACUGGGUUUGCUCCUCAGUUCGAGUCGCAGGGAAGUCGCCUUUGUUGGGAGAACCUGUGUCUCUCGGUUCGAGCGAGGACUUCUAGUCUGGGUUGUGGUACGGGCUUAAAGGUACCUCCCACAGUUGGGGCCCUCACCAGAAUACCUCGUGGAUAAGACAAAAAAAAAAUAAUUAAUUGAAUCAGAAGAAAGGGAAUUUUUUUUUUUUAAUGUUUUGGAAUUCUUUAAUUAGUGUUUUGUUUAAUAAUUCAGUAAGGGUAGUUACCUUGGCAUUCGUUUAACGCGAUUCGCUGAUGAAUUAAAAUGGACUCCAAAUUGUUGAAAUAGUCCGUCAAAGACGUAUGUCUUUGUCUAGUCUUCAUUAGUUGAAUCAGAAGAAAGAUAAUUUUUUUUUUAAUGUUUUGGAUUGUUUAAUAAUAUAAUAAGGGUAGUUAUCUUAGCAUUCGUUUAACGUGAUUCGCUGAUGAAUGAAAACGGACUCCAAAUUGUUGAAAUAGUCCGUCAAAGACGUAUGUCUUUGUCUAGUCUUCAUUAAUUGAAUCAGAAGAAAGAGAAUGAUUUCCAUUAAAAAAUUAACGUGGCAUGUUCUCGUGUUUAUAUCGAAUCUAUGACCCUUGGCCAUGCAUGAUUUUUAUCUCUUGAUAUAAGCGUGUCCACAUUCUGUAUUCUCUAGUAAAGGAGUUUGUGCAUUUGGCUAUUAGUAUCCUCCUUUGACUUAUUAAGGGAAAUUUGAAAUUAUUGUGCAGGGACUUUAUCCACUAAUAACGCAAAUAAAAUUGUUAGCUAUUGACUACAAGAGGAUGAUUUGUUGUUAAAGUGAAAAUUGAUGUCGAGUAAAGGAAAAAUUCCCGAAUAUUUCCUGUGUGGAUACCCUCUCUCUUGAUUAAAUGAGAGCAGCACAUUGUAAGAAUCAAAUGGAAGAGGGUGAAAGAAAGAAACUUUCUGUUUCACUCUAAAUAACAAUAGAACAUUACAGUUUACAUAUGUAUUUGAAUGUGAUAAAUAUAAGUAACAAUCCCUAAUAGGUAACAGUGAAAUUGACUCGCUGGUAGCUUCAUCUUCCGGUACCUGCAAUGCUGAAAGGAGGGCAUGGGGGAUUAGGAACUUCCAAAAGACCUUCUAACAUUUGCAAGACCUUCUAACAUUUUCUUUUUUAAAAUUCUAUUACUGGCUUAAUGUCAUGGGACGAGUGUUUUGCGCAGCAAACCCGUGCGGCACUUAGGCAACUUUGUCGAAUGUUGCUAAGUAAGCCUUAAGCUUCUCGACUAGCUAAGCCUAGAAGUUUUCGAAGAGCUAGAGAGAAGAGAGCAAUGGAGCUGAAUAAGGAAAAUUGUAUUACUCGAGAGAAAGAUUACAAGAUAGCUUACAAGUGUUUGAGUUGCUUGCUCUAAGCUUGUUACUCAAAUGCUAAAUGACAUGCCCUAUUUAUAGGGGAGGCUUGUCAUGCUCUACAAUUAUAGAGAAUUCUACCAAGUGGCCUAGAACUCUAGAUAUUUACAAGUGCUGGAAAUGUGUGGAGUAUUCUAUAUAUUUAUAAGCUCAAAUGUGCUAGAGUUGCCUAAAAAUUUCCGGAAUCGGGCCAAGCUAGCACUCUUGGCUUUGCCUUGCGCUCUCCAGCUCGAAAUUGUGGGCAAUUAGGCUAGGAACUUGGGCGGUCCGCAACAUUAAGCCGUUAAGCAUCAAUAUAUAAAACUCCCCCCAAUUGGUUUAGGAUACGGAGCAAAUGUACCAUAAAUGUUUACAUCUAAAAUUAUAGUAAAAUGCACUUGCUAGUUACUGGUAGCUUCAGCUUUCAGUUAACUGCAGUGAAUGAAGUGGGGGCAUUGGGGGACUAGGAACUUCCAGAUAACCUUCCAACAUUUGCACGAUCAUCUUCAUUGCAGGCCUUUUUAGUGGAUCUUCUUGAAUGCACCACAGUGCUAUCAUCAACCAUUUACACGCCCUUGAUUUGUCAGCCAUAGCUGCUUUAUCAUUGUCAACCAAAACAUCUAGUUUUCCUUCAACAUAGCAGUCAUAAGCCCAGUCUGUUAGUAUUGCACUUCUUUCUUCCCCCAGUUCCAUCUCCACACUUCUCUUACAGCAAAUGAUUUUCAAUAACACAACACCGAAACUGUAAACAUCCACUUUGGCCGAGACCGGUACAUUCUUGAACCAUUCUGGAGCCACAUAUCCUUGCGUUCCUCUGAUCAUGGUGCCCGUUCGAGACUGAUCAGAGAGUAACAGCUUGGAUAAUCCGAAGUCAGAAAUUUUUGCAGUGAAAUCUUGGUCUAGAAGUAUGUUUUGAGGCUUUAUGUCACAGUGGAUGAUGGGAACAUUGCACUCUUCGUGCAAGUACAGAAGCCCUCUUGCAAUCUCCAGGGAAAUCCUGACCCUUAGACUCCAGUCAGGUCUUGGAAUUGCAAAAAGUAGGUUAGCCAAGGUGCCAUUCCCCAUGAAUUCAUAUACUAAAAGCCGGUUAAGACCUUCGUCACAGAAUCCAAGUAGCUGGACAAGAUUCUUGUGAUGUGUUCUGCCGAUUGCACUCACUUCAGUUUUGAAUUCCCUUUCCCUUUCUUGUGCCAACUCGUCCAAUUUCUUGACUGCUACAGCAUUUCCUGAAGCGGAUUUGAAGACACCUUUGUAAACUAUGCCAAAAGAACCCCUCCCUAGUUCUUCCUCGAACCCAUUUGUUGCUUCAUUGAGUUCAACGAGCGAAAAGAAACGCAAAUUUGUUUCGGAAAUACUUGAACGUUGGACCUUGUUUCCAUCUUUUCUCUUGCGCCACACAAAGACGAGAAGAGAUAUUGUCAGUAGCAAAAGUCCAUUGAAGAAUACAGAGCUACCUAAUAGAAGUGCUCCUCGUAAGAUUGGUAUUCCUUUCUUGCCACCAGUAUUGCCAUCAAAAUCAACACGAAAACCUCCUUUCCUUACUUUGAUGAGAGCUUUUGUAAAUCCUGUUCCUGCAUUGUCAUAGGCCCCAAGGGAAAGGGGGAAUCUCUUCUUCCAACAUUGUCUAGCAUUAUUAUAUAUGGCAACAGCACACAAGCAAUCAUGCAAGCAAGAUGUUUCACACUCUGUUUGAUCAUAAGGUUCCAACCUUUCAUAAUCUCCAAAAGGCCAAUUUACAUUAGCGAGUUCCCUCAUUUCAUACAACUCUUCUGCAUUUCUAGAUCCAUCAUCUGGUCCACAGCCUUGCGAGUAAUUUGGCUUGCAACCACUAAAUCUGUUACUUGGAUCCACAAAUAAAUACCCUGGAGGGCAUUCACAAAAAGGUCUCCCAUUUUGAAGUAAGCAGUAGCUAUUGAAGCCACAGGCACCACUACCGAACUCAUCAGAUAUAGCAGUGCAAAUGUUGUUAGGAAGACGACGUGUAGUAAACCAGCUUUGGUUAGGAGCAGAAUUCUUUGGAUAAGCAUAUUCUGUGAAUACUCCAUCAAAGUCCAAUGUUGCUCGAAAAAGGAGAUAGUUGAUACCAUUGUGGCAAUUGAACAAUUUGACCAUUAUUAUUUUCUAUGUAUAUGUCAGCUGAUUUAUUAAAAACCAACUGGUGACCAGACUCAGAAGAAUUAGCGCUGUAAGUAUUACUGGUAUAAUAACUUUUGUAUUGGGAUGGGGUUGGCCGGGCCACAGGAAUGAGUUGAAGGCUUCCAUUUGAAAAAUGGAGCUCAAACCUGCCUUUGGACAAGUUGGUUUCUGUAAGCCUGGAAACCAACACGCUACCCAAAUCCAAUAUUUGGGUAGGCAAGAUGGUGUCUGUUGGACUUUUGAAACUCUGCCAAGCAUAAUCGGAAUGGUUACCAGAGGCUAUAAGCACAAAAUUACCUGUAUCAAGCAUGGCAGCAUCUCAUACAAUUUUGUUGGGCUUUUCAUCCCAUAUUGCUUGGCCUCCCGGAUCUUUAAGCAGAAGACCGGUAGCAGUAAGCUCAAGAGUUGUUCCUCUGGGAGCUAGGACUGGGUGGUUGUCUUCAUUGGCAUGCCAAAUAAUGGUUCUUUCAGGCAUUUUGUUGAACCAAAUGGCAAGCAAGAAAAGAUCUGAAUUAUUGUUUAGUGGGCGAAAUCCGAAAGCAAAAUCCCUUGAAGGUGAAAUCCAUGAAGAGUUGUUGCUGGUGCUUGAUAGAGUUGAACCCAAAGGUAUGUUGGCAGCGGAUAAAAAUGGUAGCAGUGGAAGAGAAAGCAAGAUAAGACAAGAGAGAGCCAAAGAAUCCAUGGUAGGUCGUUACUGCAAUUGCGGAGAAGGGUUGCGUUUGCAUUUACUAUGAGAAGAUGGUGUUUUGUUGUUAGUCAAUUACAUGGACUUUAAUAAUGUUGGAUAGAUAUUUUGACGUAUGGUAUACGUGUUUGAUAUUUGCAAUUGAAGAAUGUGGUUCACUUGAGUCACUUUAUGGAACAGGUAAUCCAUGAAACAACGUAAUCUUGUUUGUUUCGGAGAAUUGCUCAUGAUACGUACAUGAAUGAAACGAACAAAAUUUUUCAUUUUCAUGUCUUCUUCCAGGAAAUUUGAUACAACCAUCAAAGUUAAUGGUUAUGAAUGGUUGCCACCUCUCUAUAUGAUGGCUAAAUCAAUUAGUGUUAGAUAUCACAGCAUUAAUUCAUCUCGAUUCCGAAUUUCCAAUUAGUUUUAAAUUAAGUGCCGUUUAGGAUUGUUUUUGAGAGAUUCAAAAGAGAUUUAAAAAUUUUAAAAGUUAAUUUUAGUGUUUUAUAAAUUUUUUUAGAAAGUACUUUUGAUAAGAUCACCUCAGCCUAUAAUAAAUUUUGAGGAUUAGUUCUAUAUUUUAUAAAAAAUUAAAAUUAUUCUUAUUAAUUAGGAAAUAAAAUCAUUAACUUUGAAGAUAAUAUUAUUAUUACCAAUUAUAUUGAGAUAAAGAAUAAAUUAAUAAUAUAAAAUAUUUAUUUUAGUUUUCAAUUAUUAUAUACAAAUAGUAAAAAAAUAUUUUAUCUACAUAUUUAAAAAUGUGUAAAUAAAGCUUAUUCAACAUUAUGUCUAAUUUAUUUAUUUACAUUCUUACAAUAAUUUAACAGUAAGAUUUACUAAAUUACUUUUAAAUCUUACAAUAUUUGUACAAAUAAAUCUUAUCAAAUAUUUAAAUAGUCGUUUAAUGGUUGAUUAUUUCUAAACAUAAUUAUUUUAACAGUUGGAACGUUAUUGAACUGUUGCCAAAGUUUUCGUACGCACGCUGAUAGCUUUAAAAAGGAAAUUAACUGGGCAUAUGUGGGUCCCACCUGCACAAAUCAGAUGAGAAACUUGGCCUUUUGGAUUCAUGGCCUGUUGAUUUUUCAGUCAGGAAACCAGAUUGAUUAUGGACCGAGAUUCAUUUACAAGAAGUUGAUAGGAUCAGAUUCUGGUAUUUUUGGCAAUGAUCUUUUCUUCAGAUCAUUCCCAAAGAAAACAACCAAAAAAAAAAAAAAAUUGAAAAAAACACGGAAGGUAGCUUUAAUGGCAUAUUUAAUAGGAUUACUGAAAAUGUUUCAGAUGCAAUUACAAUCUUACUAGUUUAAAAUUGUCUAGAUGAAACACCUUGAGCAAGGCUAUAUUCAGAGCAGGAAUUCAGAUGAAUAAACUAUUGAGCAUCGACGAUACUACUCCUCCCUGAAAAUGUUGUCGAGAUUUGUUUGCAGCUUGUCUAUAUAUAUAUAUAUAUAUAUAUUCUUUGAUUCUUUCCCAAUAGCGUAAGUGGCCAGCGGCAAAAGAACUCUUUCAUCAGAUGCUCUAAUGACUAACAUCAUCAUUUUACAAAACCGACAAUCACCCGUACGACUUAUGGACUGAACAUACCUCUCGAUACUGCCAUUUUGCCGGGGACCUUGACAGCAGAAAGAAUAACUUCUCACCCAUCAAUUAAAACAAGCUUCUUAAUUUGGCAAUGGGUAAAUAUAAUACCAGUCUACCAGAUACACAAGGCGGAGAGGUCGGCGGCCCGCAUAAUUUCACAAGUUUUCUCCCAGAUAAGUUGUAGUUUCUUUAUCGAAACCGUAGACAGCUAUCGUCUUUAUUUUUAUAAUUUAUAUGACGUGUCGUUCUAAUUCUUUCAUGUAGACGUCCUGUCGUCGAUACUAUACGCUGACAUCAUCCUAUUUACGACAAUUCUUCUGAUUGAUUUUAAAAUGGACGUCUUGUCCUCUUUUUUUUUUGUUUUCAUUUUUAACCUCUUUUCUUCACGUGAUGUUAAAAUUUCAUCUAUUUAAAUUUUUAUCUUUUGUACACCGUUUUUAAUUUUAAUUAAUUAAUUACAACGUGUCUCGGGUCUCGGAGGUAGAUUUUUAAUUACACGUUGUUAGGGAUGACAAUAAAAUCCAAUCCGAUUUUUAUUUUGAUUGACCUAAUUUUCAUAUCCCAACUUGAAUUUAAGGAUCAAAGUCAAGUUCAGACUUAAAAAUCAAAGCCCGAUCAAAUUCAGGUUAGGAUUCGGGUCUUAUCCGAUCCGACCUGACCCGACCCAAACACUUAAAGAUAAAAAAAAACACACAUGCUGCACACGUGACACACAUAACACAUUCACACACGAACACAUUUCUUAUUCUAAAACACAAAAAAAAAACAUAACAUCUAAAGAAGUCGCCAAAAACUCAAAGCCACUGCUUCAACUCCAAGCCUCUACCACGGCAUCAGUUCGAUCACAUGGCCCACACCAAUCGUCACUAAGCACAGCCAGUGGCAGCACAAACUCAUGCCACGACAGCCGCGCCACCACCAGCCAACUAGCCACCAAAAUCAACCAACUAACCAGUCACGGCGGCCCGCAUCACCGCCAUAAUAGCCGUGCACGAGAGUUUUCUAUCACUGGCACCGCUUCGUUUAGGUAUAGAUGUGUAAUGUUUGCACUUCAUUUGUCCCUGCGAAAGGUACCAGCUUUGAGUUAAAUUUUAGUUGCAUCACACUACUGAUGUAAACGUUUGCUAAUGAAGGUUACAUGAUCAUAGAGAUGAUUUAUGUUGAUUGGAAAUUUCAUUGUAGGUGCCUGGUGCUUGUAUUGGGUUCUAUUAUCUGUAGUAUCAUGUCUUAUUCAAGUGAAUGAGCAAAUUAUAGCAGUACAACUUUAGUUCUGUAGUGUUUAUACUACACAUUUUGUACUUUUUUUUCUUGUAUUUUGUUGCGGAAGCGCAAGUUGAGCAAUUAUUAAUAUUCUGGUGACUGUGACUUUUGGAUAAAUAUAAAUGUGACAAAUAAAUUCAAAGAAAAUAGAACACAAUAAUUUAUGUGAUUCAGCAUAAAGCUUAUAUCCACGGACAAAGAUUAAAAGAUAAUUUUACUAACAAAUGAAAAUUUACAAAAGUGGAAAAAACUCUCAAAACCCACAACCCAAUACACUCAAUUGAAUUCUCACUAAAACACUCAAGUAAAAGCUCUCUCAAAUCUCUCAAAUUGCUUUAUUUGCAGUUACUCUCAAUUCUCUCAAUUGGGAUGAUAAAACAAAUGAAGAACCACCCCUCUAUUCAUAAGGAAAAUGGGGUGCACUAUUACACUAACUUCAACAAUUUUGUCAAAAACAAUUAGGCACCUAAAUUACACCAAUUCCAAAAUUUGUCAACAAAUUUGGCUCCCAUUUUUUUGAAUGCAUGCAUAUGUUUUUCUUUUCAAUUUGAAUGCAAGUUCGUCAAUUGCUUGCACCGCCAUUUUUGCCAAUUGCAUGCACCGCCAAUGACUUUUCAACAUAUUUAACCAAAGCAAUCCAUGUUAAUUGUUGCCCUUAACGUCAAUUGACAUUUUUUGCCCUUAUUUGCAUUUGUUUUCGAUGCUUUUGAUCUCAUUUUCCUUGGGGGAUUAUUGUUGAACAACUUAAGUUUAGAUAAAGUUGAUUAGGCAUUUGAUCUUAUUAAGGGUCAAUGUAUUUUGUAUCUAUCUGUGUUUUCUUGUACGUUAUUAUUUAUAAUUGUAAAUUCAGUUUAUUUUGAAUUAGACAUGAUUUUUUUAUGUUUAAUUAUUUAUAUAAUUUAUGGUUCACAUGUUGAGUAAUUUUUAUGUUUAAAUUACUUUUAAAAAUUUUUAAAUUUUAAUAUAUUAAGAGAGGUAGAUUUAAAUUAUUUAAAUACUAAAAAAUUAAAAAAAAAAAUUUGGUCUGGCCGAGCCCAACUCUGACUCGAUUCAGGUUGGGUCGAAGGUGAAACAAUCAGAAUUUUUUGCCAGGCUUGGGCCCUUUAUUUUAUAUUGUCGGGUCAGACUCGGGCUUACCAAACCCAUUGCCAUCCCUUCAUGUUGUUUUAUCUUUGGCUACCUCUUCAAGAAAAUUGUGCUUGGAAUCAAAGAUAAUGCAAAAGAUCCACGAAGUAUGCUGGCUUAAUGAUUUGAGGUGCUCCUAUGAGGCUAUUUUGAUUGUUCCCUGUUGCCUCUCGAGCAUAUUAUCAAAAUUUCCCAAACUCAUUAUCUAAUAAACUACUAAACAACAACUAAAAAUUAAUAAAUUUGGAUUCAGUGCUAAGUUGAGCUUUUUAUAAUUUUUUUAAUACACAUCCAUAAAUGUAUAAUUAAAAAUUAGUACAUGUUACUUUUUGUUUAAUAACUAUCAAUCACAACAUUAAAUAAAGCGAAAAGAUUUUUGGUGUUCUUAGAGUAUUGUGUUUUAUCCAUUCAAUUUUUACCACGUGGGUAUACCUAUUAUCAGGAUUGGUUAAGCAUACACCUGAUUAAAUAGGGGGAAAAAAAAGCAGUACUCCAAGAGUAUCCAUGACUUGUAUAAGGCUAAGCUCAACAUUGAACUUAAAUCAAAACUUGCAGCACUUCCUGAGAAUGAAGGAGUAAGAAAUAUCACUCCUAAUAUAGUGCCCACAAAUUACCCAAAAAAUGAGAGAAGAGAGACGAUGAUUUGUUCUCUUUGCUACAACAUUUUCUGCCAAUUCGAUUAAGAUCAUUUUUUUUUCACUUUAUUUUAUAUCUAAAAUUUACAUUAAAGACUUUGUAUCUCUAUCCUCCUACUUGAGCAGUUGAGGAUUAUUGCGAGCUACAAGCACCCUUUACAGUUACAACUAUUACAACUGUGGUAUCAUAUUACAACUAUAAUUUUGUUCUUUGAAGCCGAAAUUUAGCAUCAACAUAAUUGAUUUAAGAACGUGAACCUGCGUCAUCAAUUUAAAUAAAAAAUUUAAGUUAACAUAUUUAUAUCUACCCUAUAUUAAAACUAAUGUGUUUUCAGUUGAAAAUAAGUAGAAUUAGUGAGAUUCCUGAAAAGUGAAAAUGGGUUGAGAAAGAGAGCUUACAUCUAGCUUCCGUCGAAACCAAAAUCCUAGUACUAACGCGACAAAGUUUUACUAAGAACCUGAUAUAUAUGUGUGCGGUUAAAAUACAGUUACAAGAACAGCUGAUGUGGCAGCCAACUGCGCCAAAGUUAGUUACAAAAUUGCCAGCUCAGCUAUGUUGUUUGGAAUUCUGUAAUUACAGCUUUGUUUAUCAAAUUAUCUUAGCAUUAGCUCUGCAUGAUUCGGUGAUUAAUUAAAAUUGACUACAAAUUGUUGAAAUAGUACGUCAAAGACGUAUGUCUUUAUCUAAUCUUCAUUAAUUGAAUCAGAAGAAGGAGAAUCAUUCCCAUUAAAUGAUUAACUUGGCAUGUUCUUGAGUUUAACUCUACGACCCUUCGCCAUUCAUGAUUUAUCUGUUGAUAUAAGUGAGUCCAGAUUCUGUGUUCUCUAAUAAAGGAGUUUCUAUUGUGGCUAUUAAUUUCCUCCUUUGACCUAUUAAGGGAAAUUUGAAAUUGUUGUGCUGGGACUUCAUCCACUGAUGAUGCAAAUGAAAUUGUUAGCUAUCAACUAUAAGAGGGUGAUUUAUUGUUUAAGUGAAAAUUGAGGUUGAGUAAAGGAAAAAUUCUUGAAUAUUUCCAGUGUAGAUACCCUCUUUUUUUAUUAGAUGAGAGCGGCACGUGGUAAGAAUCAAAUGAAAGAGGGUGUAAACAUUAGAGCACCGAAGACUCUUCUUAAUAUGUUAGUUGGGAGAUAAACAUGGGAAAAAAAAACCUUAUUGAAAAUUUGAUAAUUAAAAGGAACUAAAUUUUUUUCAGAAAGUUGUUCCAGGGUGAAAGAAAGAAACUUUCUAUUUCACACUAAAUAACAAUAGAACAAAUUGCAGUUUACAUAGUUAUUUGAAGUUGAUAAAUAUGAAUAACUAUCCCUAAUAGGUAACAGUGAAAUUGACUCGCUAGCAGCUUCAGCUUUCAGUAACUGCAAUGCUGAAAGAAGAAGACCAUGGAGGAUUAGGAACUUCCAAUAGACCUUCUAACAUUUGCAUGACCACCUUCAUUGUAGGCCUUUUUGAUGGAUCUUCUUGGAUGCACCACAUUGCUAUCAUCAGCCAUUUAUGUAGCCUUGAUCUGUCAGCCAUUGCAGCUUCAUCACUGUCUAUCAAAGCAUCUAGUCUUCCUUCAACAUAGCAGUCAUAGGCCCAAUCAGUCAAUAUUGCUCUUCCUUCUUCCUCCAACUCCAUCUCCACACUUUUCCGACAGCAAAUAAUUUCCAAUAACAUAACACCAAAACUGUAAACAUCCACUUUAGCUGAGACAGGUGCAUUCUUCAACCAUUCUGGAGCCACAUAUCCUCGAGUUCCUCUGAUCAUGGUAUGUGUUCGAGAGUGAUCAGAGAGUAACAACUUGGAUAAUCCAAAGUCAGAAAUUUUUGGGCUGAAAUAGUGAUCCAGAAGUAUGUUUUGAGGCUUUAUAUCACAGUGGAUGAUGGGCACAUUGCACCCUUCAUGCAAGUACACAAGCCCUCUUGCAAUUUCCAGGGAAAUCCGAACUCGGAGAUUCCAGUCAGGUUUUGGAAUUGCAAAUAUUAAGUUUGCCAAAGUGCCAUUGCCCAUGAAUUCGUAUACUAAAAGCCGGUUGAGAGCUUCAUCACAGAAUCCAAGUAACUGGACUAGAUUCUUGUGAUGAGUUCUCCCAAUUGCACUCACUUCAGAUUUGAAUU